UACUGGUCUCCGGCCAAAAGAGAGGGAAAAUGAGUGACUUGUGAGACAAUCCUCAUGGCUUUGUUGACAUCAGUUUGGUGGUUGAUUGAGAAUGAAUGAUCAUACAUACAUACAAAUACUUGUUAGAGGGCUUGUUCUGUUGAAUUAUGCUGGCGGCAUAAACUACAAGGCAUUGUUGACGAUUGGAGAAUCAAGCUAUUGUUUCCAUUGCUUUGGCUAAUUGAUCCUUUGUUGUUGAAGCAAAGGCCAAUUGCAGAUGCAAUCUUUGAAGAUGUGAAACGAAGGUAUUUUCUCUUCUCUCUAUUCAGUCCAUUUUUCGUUAUCCUAAAAUAUCAUGAAUGAAACACCUGCAUUUAAAAAAAAAUAGGGAAAAAAAUAACACGCCAAGUAGAUUAAAUCUGCAGGAAAAGAAGGCCAGUAAUUUUACAAUGCUAAAUACGUGCUUUCACUAUACCCUUCAUCUAAUACGGUAUAAUUCAACACUCUAGUGUGAAUUUGUGUUACAUGCACCACGUCCCUCGGAAAUGAUUACAUGCAUGUUUUGUUCCAAGACUGAUCUUGGCUUUUUUUUUUUUAAUUAUUAAUAGUGAUUAGAAAAGAGAAAAAAAUAAAAUUACAUUCAUGAAAAUCUUAAGCCUUCUUCGUAACAGUUGAAACAUCUGCUUGGAACUUCCAUUGAAUCCGUAGAAUCUGGGAUGUAAAGUAAAUGGACUCCACAUUUUUUCACCCCGCAGCACUCGCACUCCAAAGAUGGAAAACGAUCAAAAUCAUCAAAAAAGAAGCGGACUGCCUCAGGAACGCAAUUAUAUUUCCAAAAACCAUUGAAAUCCUCCUCACUGAAAAAAUAGCACCCCAAAAGUAAGUGAGCUGAUUCUACGUAAGCAAGGCGCUUCAGAAAUCUCCGCGUGACAUGCGGAUCACAAUCUUCGGUUUUCAUUUUGAACUCACAAGAAAAUGAAAACCAUCUGUCAUCAUCUACAUGACGGUCUGAAAAUGCUACAAUAGCACUAAAUGAUUGCAGAACUUGGGAAUAAAAAUUAUUGCUCUAGUAAAAAAACACUGCUUAUAUAUAAAAUUCAGAACUUGGGAAUAAACCUGAUAAUGAUUGCAGCGAUGUGCAAUUAUCGGCAUCUAAACAUCGUAUAAGGAAUGGAAGCUUUGGUUCGGAUUUAAGCCUCUCACAAUAGCUUAAGCGGAGGUAAGUCAACACAGAAAUUUGGAUGAUGCUUUCUGGUAUUCUCUCAAUAUUGGUUUUCUCUAGAAGCAAUGUUCCUAGAGAGGACAACUGGCCAAGACAUUCGGGCAAUCUCUGAAGAUUUGAGCAACCACUGAGAUCAAGAAUUUCAAGAGAUUUCAACUUACAUAGGCUGCUUGGGAGACUCUUAAGCCUUUUACAGUCUGAAAGGUCCAAGUACUCCAGCCUAAGUAGAAGCUCAAUUGAUGAAGGCAGUUCUUCAAUUGCAGUUCCACUUAAAAAAAGGCAGCUUAUAUUACAAAAACAUCAUACUUCUUGUUGUUUCGAGAAAAAGAAGCCAUAAUCAACAGAAGCAGUUGAAUUGAUUAGAGAGAGAUUGUGAUCAGAUGAAAACAAUUACUAAGCCAAAAUGAGCGUGACUCUGCAGCAUAUAUUGACCUGAUAUCUCAUUUUCCAAGCUUCCUGGACAAUGAUUCAUGGAAUAUUCAAGGGUUAUUGAAACGCCCACCUAAUUUUUCGACUUGGCAGAUUUUUUCAGUUGAAAUUAUAGGCACGGCGUUAUGAGUCAAGACUAUUGGCACUCUGCCGUUACUUUCGUAGAACUCUUACUGUAUGUUAUGAGUUAGACACGGCGUUAUGAGUAAGACUAUUGGCACUCUUCCUUGAAGUUUCGUGAUAAUUUUCAACUUCAUCUCAUUGUCCAGGCACCGUGCACUGCACGAUAAUUUCACUGCUUUUUAGACUUUUACCUGAAAUUUCCCCAUGAACACCAUAGUUUUCAACACAUGGCUUUUGUCCUUUUAAUUCUCAAAUUGAGUGGGUCAUGACUAUCAACCAUGAGUAGUUGGUUGAUUUUUUAAUAUUUUUCCCCCCAAUUUUUCUCAUUAGUCAUCAUCUCUCAAUUAAUUGCAUUUAAUUUUAAAAUUAUCCUUAUUUAUCAUUUUUGUUUUAAUAAUUCUUAUUCAUAUUCCUUCGGGUUAUUUGUUAAACGUGUGUGAAGUCUAAUUUUUGUUUUUUAAGUAAACUUUUAUCUAAUAUAUGAAAAUAUCUCAAUAGAAAGUAAAUGCUAUAUCCCAAAAUUAUCUCUAUUAAAUAUAGUUAUUUCCUAAAUUGUAAAAUAUAAUCCCUUUGUUCAUUUUGAAUAAAAAAUCUGAUGUAAUUCAAAAAGCAUCUUUUGAAUUAUAGUUUUAGUAGCAGGAGUCAAAUAUGAAAUAAAAUGUUGCAUCAAACAAUGUUAUCAGUAGCAGAAGUCAAAUAUGAAAUAAAAAAUCUGCGUUCGGCUAAUUUAUCAAUAAAAUGCAACUAGAAACUGAUGUAAUUCAAAAAGCGUCUUUUUUUUUUUUUGGUUUUGACCACGAGGUAUCCUGGGGAAGGCCCCAACUGUGGGAGGCACCUUUAAGCCCGUACCACAACCCAGAUUAGAAGUCCCAGAGGCACAUGUUCUCUCAACAAAGGCGACUUCCCUGCGACUCGAACUGGGGAGCAAACCCAGUCAAGCUACUUAAGGGGACUCCAUUGCCAGUGGAACCAACACUUUGUUGGUCAAAAAGCGUCUUUUGUUAGAGUAUUAGUAGCAGAAGUCAAAUAUGAAAUAAAAUGUUGGAGAAAUAUUCGAGGACAAUAAUAAUUGCGGAAAGAGUGGGACUAUUAGCACCCCUUCUAUUUACCCCUUAAAAGCCCUAUUUGGAUAAUUACAAUUAUAUACUAAAUUAAGAUUAUGAUAAUGGACAAACAAGUAGAUACAAUCUAAUUGGAUGCGGAAAUAAUUUCAUCUGAAAUUCUCUAAAGUUUAAACUAAUUUGCAUUUUUUUUCACAUUGAAAGAGGAAUAGGUGAAAAGGGUAAAACUGUAGAAGAAUCUUAUAACAUUUUCCAAGAAAAAAUCUUUAUGACACAUUUUGAGCUUGUUGCAAUUUUUCAAUCCUGAACUUUAAGCAUACGAAAAGUGGAUUCUCUGAUUUCCACCAUUUGUGAGGAUGACAAAUCGAUAUUAUUCCAGUUGAUUUAUGUGUAAAUCUUGUGAAUCUCAUUACCAAAGGAUCCUUAGCAAUCCUCGCCCCUCUCUAGUUAGGAUAUUCAAACCUAACGUCAAAUUGGUUUUUUCUUUUUUAAUCUAAACCAUCAUGAAGGUGGGGGAUUAGGCCAGACCUCUACCUACAAUGAAAAAAAAAUUAGAUGAUGAAAAUAAUAUGAAGAGGGGACAUCAACCAAAACUUCUUUAAAAAAAAAAAGGAAAACAAACUAUAAAAGAAACCAACAAAGGGAAAUCAAUGUUGAACAUAAAGGAACUCGAGAGCAUCUAAAUGAAGAAUGACAAAUAGACCAGAUAUAAGAUCCCCAGAGCUGAAGAAUCGCUGAUGAGUCUUAUGAGUACAUGCUUAAUCAACCAUGAAGUCAGUGGCUGAAGUGGCCUCCCAAAAGACAUGUUUGAUAGUAAUAAAAGGACUAGAAGAUAAAGCAUGAAUCCAACCCAGGAGAUAAGCAAAUUCUUAUUGCACUGAACCAUGUGAAGUAGCUAAAGAAACCACAGUGGCCAAGUUAGAUUCCAACUCUAGAACAGUAAACCCAAGCUGAGCACAAGAUCUAAUCCUUCAAGCAUAGCCAACAGCUCAGCAAACAGUAUUGAUUGGUGCCCUAAGAAAGAACCAAAAGCAACUAAUACUACUCCCGAAUGAUCAUGUAGAACACUUUCAGCAGCAGACAUACCAGAGGUGCCCCUAGAGUAACCAUCCGCAUUUAACUUCAUCACGCCAGGCGGUAGCCUCAACUAGGAAACCAAGCGAUCGGUCAAAGAGGAGGCAAAAUAUCUACAAACCCUCUCUAAUAUGGGUAUCCAAAACACCCCUCAAUUGGGAUAACUUAAAACCAAAAACAGAGCUAGCGAGUCUAAGGCCCGAAACCACUCAAAAAGCAAUGACAACUAGAAUCGAAUCUAAAAGCAUUUCAAGGCUUUAAGACAUGCCACAGGAUGAAGCAUGAGAGAAGGACUCGAAAAUGUCUCGAAGAAUGGGCACAAUGCCGCCAGUGAACAAGCAACGUAUGAGGAGAUAGAAAGGAAGGUAUCAAAGACCAAUCAUCGAGUAAAAUCGUUGUCAGAUUUGCCCAACUAAUGAGCAAUUCACAAAAUAACUGCCUGAAUAUCUUAAUGGUGCAAGCCCAAGGCAUCAUUCGCAGCUAAGAAACCAUACAACAACCACAAUAACAAAAAAAACCUCAUUAGGAAUAUGUUGCUGCCAAAUAUAAGUAAAAAUCUCAUUCCAGAUCCGAGACCCACGAACAAGCUCCCAAAUAGUCUUUAUAGAAAAAUUCCCAUCCCUAGAUAGAGUCCAAUGAAGAAUAUUCGGUCUAACACCAAAAAUAGUGAUCAACAAAAUCUACUCAACAAUUGAAGUAGAACAGACAAUAGCCUGCUCCUAUCCUAAACUGCUCCUCGCCAAAAGAAUGACACAGGAACCAUAGAAGCAGUACCAAUGUUAAAAAGAAAGAGAAGUAUAAAGCACAAACAACAAUCAUACAAGAAAUUAUUAUCACUAGAUCUAAUUAGCCAGUGUAUAUGAGGCUUAGCAACAUAACAAAUGGAGCAAAAAUGUCGACAAAAUGGGGAAAUAGAAUAGUGAAAACGAACCAUUUUGGGAUGUUAGGUUUUGCAAUACUUGGACUUCAUGAGUGAAGCCCAAAGAGAUUGCUGGUCCCGAAAUCUCUACCACAUUUUCAACUCAAAUGCAUCUGCCAGAUUUGAAAAAGAAAAUGAAUUCCCAAACCACUUUCAUCCACAAGGAAGUAAACAUAUGGUAAUUUGCACCAGUAGAUGCGUCGUCUUGAAUUUGUAUCUCCUAAUAAGAAAUUGGUGAACUAUUACUCGAGAUGAUUAAUGACUACCGUAGGCAAUCAGAGGACUUGGAAGAUAUGUAACGGUAUGGAAGAAGCACAUGCCAUAAAAGUACAAGCUUACCCUCAAAAGAGAGAAGCCAGUUAUCUCACCCUAAAAUCCAAUCUCCAAUUUAGAUCAUAUCAUCAAAGUACCAGAUCCAUGUGCAAUACACUUAGCAUCCUAGAUAAGUAAAAGUAAGCUGGUACUGCUGGAACCCAACAUCAAAUCAAUUCUUAUAUGACAAUUGAGAUAACAAGUCUCAAAGGUUCAUAUUAAAAAAUGUUGAAAUAAAUUCUCCUUUUUAAUUAUGUUUAAUGUGAAGAUAGAGAGACAAUUGUACAGGACUUUGAAUUAUAUGUAAACUAUUGUAAAAAAAUAAAAUAAAUAAGUAAUAGUUGUGUUGGAUUUUUUAAUCUAGGAUUGUUAAAUCCUUAACCCAACGCCAGGAUUAUAUGUGAAUAAUUAUGUGUUGCAAACUGUCAUAUAAAAUUAAGCCCAAUUAAAAGAGAUCUAUUAAGAUUUUUAGUAUUAUGGGCUUCAAUGUAUCUAAUAGGCUAUGGGCCUUUAAUGUAUAGAUAAAACGACCUGCCCCGAAACCUCAGAACGAGUCAUCUAAUCCCAUCUAAUUGAACCGAUAAUAAAUCUAAUAUUUAAGGAUUCUACCAAAGAUUAUUCGGUAGAGUCUCCUCUACAAUUAUGACAUUCCCAAACCUGAAAUUUAUAAAAUUAGCACUCUAAAAAAUAAUUCAAUAUUCAACCAACCUCCACGACCAACUUCCUUAAUCAACAUACCAAAUAUCACCCAAAUAUUUUAAUGUCAACUACAAUAGAGUAUCCUUAGUCACAAAUAUGUAAUAAUUUAUACAAUCCAAAAUAUCCCAACAAUACAUCUAUGAUUCCUAGCACCAUCACGUGGCCACAAUUUCAAAAAUAGUUAUUGUUGUUGGGUCGACUAAUGUACCUGCAAAUCUCCUGGGGGGAAAUAUAAUAAAAACGGGGUGAGUAUAAAACUCAAUGAGCUCAGUGAGUGGAUAAUAGUUUUUGAAAAUAAAUUUACUUUAAAAUAAUUUAAUCUGUCUCAAAUCAAUUUCAUCAAAAUAUCAUAAGAACUUAAAUAAACUCAUGUAAUUUAAAUCAAGUACUAAUAUAACAAUAAUACAUAAUACUGCAUAAAAUCAAUGAAAUCAUAACAUAUUGUAAUCUCAAACACUGUAAUUCUGAAAACUGUCACCAAACAAUUACCCAAGCAAAUAAUCUUGUCAUACCCAGACCUCGAUGGACGGGCAAUCAGGAAACCGUCAUGCCCCGGAGUUGCAACGGGUAGAUAGGAAAAUGUCGUCUCAUAUGUCUCAUAUCUCAUAUCUCGUAUCUGCAUAAUCUGGUCCCCAAAGGACAAAGUGUCCAAGUACACGGCCCAAAGCCUCUAUAUGUACUCAGACGAGCCCUAAAGGACUCUCAUCUCAUCUGUAUCACUGUAUCUGAAGGGGAAUGGUACUGUCUAAUGAUUUCAAAAACAAUCUUUAUACUCAUAACCAUAUACUUUUUAAUCAUAUUGAAAAUCAUACUGUUCUUUUCAUUAACACAUUUGAAUUUUUCUUGUCUUAAGAAUACUAUCAUGCUUUAUUCAAAUCAAUACGGAAAACUAUUAACCAAACAUUUUAAUAAAAUAUCAUUGCGUGAAUAAAAUCCAUUUCAAGAAAAUCAUUAAAUCAGAAUAUUUAAGAUACUCAUUUCACAAAUAGGCUUUACUAUCAUAAUUAACUAUGAAAAUAGGUUUUGUAUAUUCCACUCACAAUGAUUACACUCAAACUCAAGUAUCGGUUACGUUUGCGGAUUGAUUCUCGUUUGCGGUUCCUCCUAAAUUAAGGAAACGACAUAGUUAUCUGUAACAUGAAAUACAACUAAAUUUACGCAAUAAAGCUCGAAACGAACAUUUUCCCAAAAUCAACUACUCCCGUAUGAAUGAAAUUACCAAAAUACCCCUGCAUGCCAAAAAUUACCAAAAUGCCGUCGACACCAUAAUUUACCAAAUUUUCCUCAGAAUUCUAAAUUACUAAACUAUCCUCAAUUCAUACUACAAAAAUAACCAUAAGGUACGAAAGCACGAAUUUACCCUUGAAUUUUGAAAUUACCGAAAUGCCCUUAAUAACUUAAAUUACUGAAUUACCCUUGAAAUCUCAAAUUACCUAACUGCCCUAGUCCAAAAUUACUAAAUUAUCCACUAAUUUCAGAAAUUACAACAUUAUCCCAAAAGUUUGUGAAAUUACUGAAUUGCCCGUACUGGUCGAUGGCAACCAAAAUUCAGUCAACGGAGACCGGAAGCCAGGUCUGAUAGUUUUGAUUUUUUUUCAUAAAGAUAAUAUUGUAAAAUGAUGGUACCAGGAGAGUUAUUAAAUAUUGUGAAAAUAGUCUCUAUAAUUGGUAUAUAUUAAUUUAAGUAAGGAACUUUACAAUGUCCCUAUAAAUUAAUAACUCUUAAAUUAUAGGGAUAUGUUAUAUGUGGGAGAGAUUUUUAUUUUUACUUUUAUUUUUAUUUUUUUAUUUAUUAUUUUUGGUCAUGGUAAAUGACUGAGAGAUUGGAAAAAACGACAGAACACCAUUAAUUUUGUUAAAGUAUAUUGCAAACUUUUGGAGCUUUUAUUAUUAGUUCUGUAAAAAUUCUUUUAUAGGAGUUCAAAAGUGGGGACGUUCAAGAAGUCUAGAAUUUGAUGCCUAAAAAAAAUUUAAAAGUGUAGUUUAACAUCUGGAAAAUUUAACUAAGAGUGCUGCGUGAAUUUUAUUUACAGUGUUAAAUAUUAGUAUGCGAAAUUAAAAGUAACUUUUCACCUGAUGUUAUGAGAAUUAAAGCCAGACUAAGUGGCUGCUUCCUUCAAAGCAUUCCUCCAAGUCUGCAGCUUCUCUGACUUCUCUUUAAAUCUUUCUUCAAGCUUCGAAAAUGAAAUCCCAAAAGACCCAUACUUUAUGGCUAGUAAAAUUGUCACGGGUGUCCUCUCCUCUGAAUCUGACAAAAACACCAUAAUUGAUGUUUAGGGGUCUCAUCAAACACAGACUGGUGGAUGGAUGAGAAGAAGAUGAAGAAACCAUGAUAGAAACAGUUCAACUGAAUUGAAUGUGUCUGUGCGCUCGAAUCCUCCACUACUACCUUUAAUCUUCAAGGAAGUUUCGUAGUAAUUUCAUUCAACUCAUUGUCUGCCGCCUUUCUCAAAAUUUCUUUGAGGACUGACUGUAAAAAGUCCAAUUUGGCCGACUAGAGAUUUUUGGCGGGUUGUGGACUCCACAGUUCCCACCCCCAAUUUUGAUGUGUUUAUGGAGAUUAAAGAAAAGCGAGUGAUGAUAUAACCAUAAAUUUUUGUAUAAAUUUAUUUUGUACAAACUGAUGUAGUAUUAAUUCAUUGGUUGAAUGAAAAUACAAAAUAAUGAAAAUAAAUCACGUGGGUUAAGAGAUAUUUAAUUCAACCAAUUUUAUCACGCCACAUCAAUUGGUACAAGAUAAGUUUGUAUAAGAGUUUGUAGCUAUAUCAUUACUCAAAGAAAAAUAAUUCCAAAAUUCUUAACAAAUAUGUAUUUUUUUAGUUAUUAUUUUUAAUAAUUUAAAAUUUUUUAUAUGUUAAUAAUUUUAUUUGGCCCAUAAUUUUCACCUCAUUCUCUAAUAAAUUUUAGUGGAGUGAAGACUGAAGAUCAAGAAUCCCCAAAUGAAGAUCAAUUUUUCUAUCCACAUCCUGUAACACAUUUAUCUUUUUUAUAAUAGAUUCUUACAUGUAAUUUUAGAAUGGAAAAAGGCUUCCCUACCACCACCUGCAUGAAAUACUAACUAGGCAAUCCAAGAGGGGGGUGAAUUGGGAUUUUAAAAAUUAAGCUAAGCAAACCACACACAAAUCCAAUCUAAUGCCUUAAUCAAAUUGAAAACAAUAAAUUCAAUCAUGCACAAUAUUAAAAGAGUAAGGGAAGAGAAAACAAACACAAUGAUUUUUACGUGGUUCGGCAAUCCCCGCCUACGUCCACGCCUCCAAGCUCACCGGGCUUGAGGAUUUCACUAAGCUAGCCUCCCAAGGCUUCAAACGCUUACAAUUGACUUCCAAGGUGUCAAUGGACCUUUACAACAAGAGAUUAUCCCAAAUCUCUUAACCCAAGUGUAUCCCAACACUUACAAUCUUUUAACUUGAUUUUACAAAAAAAGAUUACAAAUGAAUCUCUCUCACACAAUGUGUUUGAUCACAAGUGAAAGCUCAAUGUGCGAAUGAAUAAGAUGAAUACAAGAAUUUAAAGCUCAAUGAAAGUUGUAUUCUCAAUAUUUUGCUCAAUGAUGAUCGUUGGAAAUCUUCUUGUUUGAAUUGGAUUGAGCUUAUUUAUAGUUGGAGCUGAAAACUAGCCGUUAUUGACUUUCUGCACACUGUCGGAUCGCCGUUAGCUAGAUGUCGGAUCGCCGUUUGACUGGUCAAUAUGACCGUUGGGCAUAUUUUUCAAAUUGUCGGAUCGCCGUUAACUAUAUGUCGGAUCGCCGUUUAGGUCCAGAGGCUACUGGUUGAUAUCGGCGAGCCGUUUAUCACACAUGUCGGUUCGCCGUUUAGGUCCAGAGACAAAUCUUCAAUUCUGUUAGAUGUCGGCGAGCCGUUAUCAAGAUGUCGGAUCGCCGUUUUCUACAGUAACUGCUACAGUAACUGCUACAGUAACUGCUACAGUGAAAUAUUUUCCAAAUUCACAGUUUGACCCCAAAACUUUAUAAAAUUGUGUUACGGCCCAAAACGUUAUAAAACUUUACAAAUAGGUCCAAUUUCAGAAUUUCUAAGUAAUGCUUUGUUAAUCCCAAAACUUUCUGAAAUUAUGGUAUAGCCCAAAAUGCUAUGACACUUUUCAAAUAAGUCAUUCUCCAAAAUUUCAAGCAAUACUUGUUUAUUUCAAAGUUUUCAAAAUUCUUUCAAUUAAACCAUAAACUUUGAAAAACAACCAAUUUCAUAAAAUCAUUUUUCCAUUAUAUAUGAAACAUUUAUAAUGUGAAAAUGAAGAUUUAUUUAAAAAGAAUAAAAACAAUCAAUUUCAUAAAAUCAUUUUUCCAUUAAAUAUAAAACCUUUAAAAUGUGAAAAUAAUGAUUUAUUCAAAAUAUAUAAAAAAUAAUUUGAUCUUCAAAAAUUAAUCAUUCUUAAUCUUGCUUGUUAUCAUCAAAAUCAAUAUUGUGGAAACAUAUAUGUUAACAAUCUCCCCCUUUUUUAUGAUGACAAACAUUUCAUGUAUUUAAAGAAUGAUUCCACAAAUUGCUUCCCCUAAAUAUAAUUUUCUUUUACAAUUUGCCAAUUAGCUAAAUUAACAAUUUAAAUACAUGGAUUUUUCUCCCCCUCAUCAUCAAAAAGAUAAACUUAAUUGGCAAAGACAAAAGUAGCAAAUUUUUAUAGAUUUGAAAACAUGUAUUCUUCUCCCCCUUCAUCAUCAAAAAGAAAACUUGAAAGGAAAAGAAUAAAAAAUAACAAAUUUGUUACCCAUGUUGUUUGAGUAGAAAUUUUGAAAGAAUCUCCCCCUAACAACAAGCAUCACCUCAAAUACAAAUUUAGUGAUAUUACUCACAAAUUAUCAUAAUCAUAUAAUCCAUCAACCAUAAAAUGAUCAUGAACUAUUAUUCCAUUAAUUAUCAAAUCAACAAGUCAAAACAUAAAAUUAUCAUAUAAAACACCCAUGUAAUCAAAUCAUCAUAUCUCAAAAUUAUCAAAACAAUUACUCAAAAUGCAUAUUAUUCUUCUCAUUUUGACAAUAUCGAAAUAAGAUAUUACUUUGUCUCCCCCUUUGGACAACAAAAAAGUUCAAAAUGCAUAUUAUCCAAAAUCAUAUUAUAUGCUCCCCCUAAAUAUAUGGCCAAUUUAAGAAUUUAACCCAAAUGAUUUUAUCCAAAAAUAUAUCAUAUUUAUCUCCCCCUUUAUCAUAAAAAGAAAAGAUAGAUAGAUGCAAUCGAAACAAGAUCAUCAAAAAUAAUUCGAUGAAGAUAUUACCCAUUUUGUGUGAGCAAAAAUUUCGGCAAAGUCUCCCCUUAAAGAUGAAAAAAUUCUCAAAUACACAACAUGGUUAAAAAGAUAUAAGCUUCAACAAUUAUAACAAACCAACAACUCAUUCAAUUCAUCAAGCAACGCACAUAUAAUCAUCAAUUACCAAAAUCAUCAAGAAAUCAAAUCAUCCCAAGUUUAUGCCGAAUUUUUGAAAAUUCUUCUUCGCGAAGAGGUUUUGAUUUCUUUACCAAAUUGACAUGCAUAUUAUCAAAUAUUCAAGCUCCAUAAUUACCAAUCACAUUUUAUAAAUAAAGACAACUAAACUCAUCAAAUAUCUAAUGUGACAUUUCAAUUUGACAAAAAAAAUCUCAUAUGCUUAAAAUUCUCGAAGUAUAUGUAUUUCUCCCCUUUUCGAUAUUAUUUAUAGCAAGUAAUGCAUAUUUGAUAAUACAUCAAUAAAGUACAAAAAAUGCAUCCAUUUACCAAUCAUAGAUUGCAUAAGAUCAAACUUCCUCAAAUACAUGUAAUCAUCAAAGCAUAUUCUUUAUCUCAAAUCUUAAGCAAAACAUAAGCGUAUAAUUGCAAUAUAAGAUCAUCAAAAUCAACAUAGCUAUCAAGAUAAGCCAUCAUUAUGAGUAAAGAACAAGUGAUCAAAUUCAUAAGCGCAAUAAGUCAUUAGUGCGAAUUUUAUAAAUAAUAUAACAAUUGAUGGCAUAUGAAUUCACAAAUACAAUUCAUUCAUCAUGUAUAUAUUUUACACAAUCAUGAAACAUAUGAGCAUUCAAAGAUUAAUAAUUCAAGCAUAUCACUCAUUUAUCAAGCUUAGGCAUUACAUAAUCACCAAAAUCAAACAAAUCUAUCAUGAUGAGUUGACAAGCUAUCAUCAUAAAUAUAUAACCAUGCAUCAUGAUAAAGCACUCAAUGUUAAACACAAUGAUAAUUUGAUCAUGUAAAUAUACAAGUAUUACUUUCACAAAUUCAAGCUACUAUCCAUUUAUCAUGAUAUACUCAACAUAAUAAAUAGGCAAGAUAAACUUACCCACUUCAUGUUAAUGCACUUAAUAUUAUGAUACGAAGUGAAAUGUUAAAUAUUUACUAAGAUUAAAACAUCAUCACUUAUAAUCAAUAAGGCAAUAAUAGUUAGCAAAACAAUUAAAUCAUCUUGCCUCAUUAUUUUUGCUUAGACCAUGAUCAAGUGAUUAUCCUCAUAAUUCAUCAAGCAACUCUCCACCAUUCCUUGAUUGUGGUACCUACAAAGAAAACAUUCACGUUGUGCCCUUUGGUACCCAAAUACUCUUGGGUCCUUGAGUGUUAGAUUUAGUUCCUUUCGGAACCCAAAUACAUUUGACUCCAUAAUACACAUUUCUUUUAAUUGGACAUCUAUUCUUCAUAUGACCAUUUUGAUUGCAGUAAUGACAUACAAUUUUAUGAUCACUUGUGGAGGUAGCUUUAACAAAAUAAUUCUUAUAAUAUUUUUGUUUCAAAUAAGGCUUAUAUCCAAGUCCUCCUUUAUCAAACACACAUUUUUGAGAAUUAAUCAAGUUAUCCAACAUCUUUUGCCCAUUUGUGAAUUUUAAAACAAUCUCAUUCAACUCAUUGCUCCUUUUCUUAAGUGUUUCAUUUUCAUUUAUUAAUUCAUCAACAUGUGAUUUCUCAUGCUCAUACGAAUUACUUUGUUUACAUGUGAAUGAUGCAAUUCUAUCAUGCAACAUUUUAUUAUCUAACUCUAGUCCUUUAAUCUUUUCAUUUAAUGAAUCAUUGCAUUUUUGUAAAGCAUCCUUUUCAUUUUUCAAGUCAUCUACAUAUGAUUCUAGAUGCUCAUGUGAAGUGCUAGGUUUCUCAUUCGAUAAUGCAACUUUAUCAUGCAAUGUUUUAUUCUCUAAUUCUAGGCAUGUAAUCUUUGCACUUAGAGAUUCAUUCUCAUUUGUGAGCUUUACCAUUUUCUUUUUAAGACAUGCAUUCUUUCUACCAAUUUUUAUCCAAUUAUCAUGCAAUUCUUUAAAAGCAUCAUAUAAUUCAUCAUAAGUAGAAAGAUCAUUUACCUCAUCAAGUUCAUCAUCCGAUUCAUCUCCAAUUGCCAUGAGAGCUAGAUUUGUCAUUUCUUGAUGUUCUUCACCAUCACUUGUUUCCUCAUCGCUAUCAUCCCAUGUGGCUACCAUUGCUUUCUUCUUGAGUUUGUUGAGAAGAGGACAUUCCGGUCGUAUGUGUCCGGGCUUCUUGCAUUCAUAACAAGUGAUUACUUCCUUCUUCUCCUUUCGGUUCUUGAGGUCUCUAGAUUUUCUUCGCUCACCGGAUUUCUUAAAAAGUUUUCUGAACCUCCUAGCCAACAUAUCCAUCUCCUCCUCAUCCAGCUCGCUUUCCUCAUCACUUUCAUGUUUCAAGGCUUUGAGAGCAAUGCUUUUCUUCUUCUCCUCAUUGCCUCUUUCGGCUGCCAAGUCUUCCUCAUAAGAAAUAAGAGAGCCAAUUAAAUCAUCAAUAGGUAAUACAUUUAAAUCUUUGGCUUCCUCAAUGGCAGUCCUUUUUGGUCUCCAUUCCUUAGGUAGUGACCUAAUGAUUUUCUUAACUUUCUCACUAUUUGAAAAGGUCUUUCCUAGGGCUCCUAGAGUGUUCACUAUGUCCGUAAAUCUAGUGUACAUAGAAUACACACUCUUAUUUUGUUCCAUUUGAAACAAUUCAUAUUGUCGAGUGUACCUACUAAUUUUAGACUCUUUCACUUGAUUUGUGCCUUCAUAAACAACUUCAAGUUUGUGCCAAAUUUCAUUAGCACUUUCACAACUAGAUACUCUAUGAAACUCUUUCUUAUCUAGUGCACAAAACAAGGCAUUCAUAGCUUUGGAGUUUAGAGAAGCUUUUCUCUUUUCCAAUUCAUUCCAUUCCCUUGAAGGUUUUGGAAUAUCUUCCCCAACUUCGUUUUUAAUCAAAGGCAUAAAUGGACCAUCACAAACAAUUUCCCAAAUUUCAUAAUCUAAAGCUUGUAAAUAAAUUCUCAUCCUAGUUUUCCAAUAUGGGUAGUCAUUACCGUCAAAGAACGGUGGUCUAAUUGUGGAUUGUCCUUCCCUAAAGGUUGAGUCACUAUGGGUUGCCAUGAAUCUUUAACUCUAGACGGUUAAGUCUACACAAGAGCACCUCGCUCUGAUACCAAAUGAAAUACUAACUAGGCAAUCCAAGAGGGGGGUGAAUUGGGAUUUUAAAAAUUAAGCUAAGCAAACCACACACAAAUCCAAUCUAAUGCCUUAAUCAAAUUGAAAACAAUAAAUUCAAUCAUGCACAAUAUUAAAAGAGUAAGGGAAGAGAAAACAAACACAAUGAUUUUUACGUGGUUCGGCAAUCCCCGCCUACAUCCACGCCUCCAAGCUCACCGGGCUUGAGGAUUUCACUAAGCUAGCCUCCCAAGGCUUCAAACGCUUACAAUUGACUUCCAAGGUGUCAAUGGACCUUUACAACAAGAGAUUAUCCCCAAUCUCUUAACCCAAGUGUAUCCCAACACUUACAAUCUUUUAACUUGAUUUUACAAAAAAAGAUUACAAAUGAAUCUCUCUCACACAAUGUGUUUGAUCACAAGUGAAAGCUCAAUGUGUGAUGAAUAAGAUGAAUACAAGAAUUUAAAGCUCAAUGAAAGUUGUAUUCUCAAUAUUUUGCUCAAUGAUGAUCGUUGAAAAUCUUCUUGUUUGAAUUGGAUUGAGCUUAUUUAUAGUUGGAGCUGAAAACUAGCCGUUAUUGACUUUCUGCACACUGUCGGAUCGCCGUUAGCUAGAUGUCGGAUCGCCGUUUGACUGGUCAAUAUGACCGUUGGGCAAAUUUUUCAAAUUGUCGGAUCGCCGUUAACUAUAUGUCGGAUCACCGUUUAGGUCCAGAGGCUACUGGUUGAUAUCGGCGAGCCGUUUAUCACACAUGUCGGUUCGCCGUUUAGGUCCAGAGACAAAUCUUCAAUUCUGUUAGAUGUCGGCGAGCCGUUAUCAAGAUGUCGGAUCGCCGUUUUCUACAGUAACUGCUACAAUGAAAUAUUUUCCAAAUUCACAGUUUGACCCCAAAACUUUAUAAAAUUGUGUUACGGCCCAAAACGUUAUAAAACUUUACAAAUAGGUCCAAUUUCAGAAUUUCUAAGUAAUGCUUUGUUAAUCCCAAAACUUUCUGAAAUUAUGGUAUAGCCCAAAAUGCUAUGACACUUUUCAAAUAAGUCAUUCUCCAAAAUUUCAAGCAAUACUUGUUUAUUUCAAAGUUUUCAAAAUUCUUUCAAUUAACCCAUAAACUUUGAAAAACAACCAAUUUCAUAAAAUCAUUUUUCCAUUAUAUAUGAAACAUUUAUAAUGUGAAAAUGAUUAUUUAUUUAAAAAGAAUAAAAACAAUCAAUUUCAUAAAAUCAUUUUUCCAUUAAAUAUAAAACCUUUAAAAUGUGAAAAUAAUGAUUUAUUCAAAAUAUAUAAAAAAUAAUUUGAUCUUCAAAAAUUAAUCAUUCUUAAUCUUGUUUGUUAUCAUCAAAAUCAAUAUUGUGGAAACAUAUAUGUUAACACUGCAUACCUUCUUUUUAUGGGCAAUUAUCAAAUUAAUCCUUACUAAAUUUUUUGUUGGCUACUGAUAUCUCCAAAUCCACCCCAUUUUUAAAAAACAAAUACAAAAAGUACACAUUAUUUUUAAAAAAUAAAUAAAUAAGAACUUUGGAGAACAAAUUAACAAAUCUAUCUUAAUUUACUUUUUGUGACUUAAAUUUUUUUAUUAUAUUUGAUCAUAAAGAUUGAUUUGACAUAAGUCUAAAUUGAUUAUUUUAUCCUUAUAAGGUCAAACUAAUUCUUUAACUUCAAUAUUUUCUAAUUUUAUAGCAAUUCAUUAUUUCUAAUACUACUUUAUUAGUAUGAUUAUAAAACAUUAAUUAAACAAACAUAAUGGCUUUAUGGCACAAUACUCAUGUAAAUUAUUAGCUUGUCAAAUUUACAUCAUUUACACGUAAGAUAGUGAAAAUAAUAGUUAAAUUUCAUUUAAAAAUAUUAGUUCACAUGAUUAAAUACCUAAAUUAUUAGAUACAAUAACCCGUGUUUAUUGUACAAUUUGGUCAUUUUAUAUCAUAAUACUAAAAUAGUAAAGUAAAAUUUAUAUCAAGUUUAUGAUCAAAUAUACUCAAAGAAAUCUAAUAAAAAAAGUAAUAGAGGGAUUUAAUUGAUUAACUAUACAAAAUUUUUAUUAAUUUGAAUUUUUUUAAAAAUAUUGUGAAUUCAUUAUAAUUAUUUUCUAGAAGUGGGGUAAAUUUACAAACCUUUUUAGUUUCUUUCCUUUGAAACUUGCGUUUGGAUCUUCGGUUGAAUUUGGGGCUUACAAUAAAUCGACCCCACAUUUUUUCUUCCCGCAUUCCGUAGAAUAAUAUUAUAUGUAAUAAAAUAACACAAAAUUUAGUACACAAGGCACAAAUGACAAAAAAUAAUUUUCAUCUUGUAGUGAACUUUUCUUAUUGAUAAUGUACUAUUUUUUUUAUUCUAUUUACUUCUGUGAACAUAUAAUUGUAGGCAUCCACAAAUGUUAAGGAUAAGAAAUUAUUUUCCUUUAAAGUUAUUUCACAACUCCUGUACUUAUAUCAUCAAUUGCUUGACCUUUAGUUAUUUUCCUUGCUAACUUGAGUGAGACUCACCGAUACAGCUAAUAUUGGAUUUCUUGGAUGAAGCUGCUCAGAAGCCAAUAGUGCUUGUACGUAAUUCUUUUCGAAGCCUACCUUGUGUUUUUGCUGCCUCAGGUAUAUUAAUUUAACUUCCUCUUGGGCAUCAGAUAUUCGUCAUCAUGCUUGCAAAGAAACACUUGCACCUGAUUAGCCUUUUCGGUUAAUAUGGUUUGCGAAAACCUGCUAUAUUUUCUACCAUAAAAAUCCAGUCAAACACUUGUUCGAGGGCUUGUUUUGUUGAAUUGUGCUGGUGGCAGCAUGAACAACAAGGCAAUUGUUGAUGAUUGGAGAAUCAAGCCAUGGUUGCCAUUGCUUUGGUUCAUUGAUUUCUUGUUGAAGCAAAGGGCAAUUGCAGAUGCAAUCUUUGAAGAUGUGAAACGAAGGUAUUUUCUCUUCUCUCUAUUCAGUCCAUUUUUCGUUAUCCUAAAACACUAGAGUCAAAAAUUAAAAAAAUUCUAUGAUGUGUAUAUAUUGGUGCUGUAGGGAAACACUGAGGAACAUUUUACUGUCCAUCUAUGCAAAUAAGAAAUCUGUGGAUGAAACACUGGUAGAGGUAUUAAUAUUCUCCACUUAUGUGCCAUUUUAACCUCUUACAAAAAUAGCUACUCAGAAUUCAUGAAUUGACCUAAAAAUUGCAGAUCAUACGAGAACCCGCCAAUGAUGAAGGGGAACUUGAUGCAUUUGUUUCGAUUGUGACAGGCCCACAAGGGCCGAACCCCGUGCAAUUGAUGCCAUCAAUCUCUAUACCUGUACUAGUUUUAUAGGGUGAUGAGGAUCCAUUCACCCCCCUCGAUGGACCUGUUGGUAGAUACUUCUAAUCUCUGCCUUCUCAACUUUCAUAUGUGAAGUUAAUUGUGUUGGAAGGAGUAGGACAUUGUCCCCAUGACGACAGACCCGAGUUGGUCCACGAAAAGCUGCUUCCUUGGUUGGCUGAAACAUUUAAUUUCUGAGGAAUUUACUUUCUCAUCAGCAAGUUUUGAUGAGCAUUAUAUAUUAUUCCUAUUGUAAAAAGACAAACAGCUCUUGUAUUUAUAUUGUAUAUAUCAAAUCUUAUUCAACCGCUUGAAUAUCUUUUGGCGCCGAAAAGAAUGUAGGAGAAACUGAUCCCUGACAAGUUGUAGAAGCUCCAAAUUGAUUCAAGGCAUAUAUCAAAUUAUUCAAUAAAAAGUCAAAUUCAGCACAAUAAAAAAUUAGUUAUUUAUUUUUUAUAACUUAUAUAUGAUUUUUAAACAUUUACAUUUAAAUUAAAAAAGUAAUUUUUUUUGUGACCUUUGCCGAAAUGAGAAAAUAUUUGAAUGAAAAAUAAAUAUUAUAUUCUAAGAAUAUUUCUAUUCAAUAUUAUUAUUUCCUAAACUAUAAAACCCAAUUUCUUUUACUCAUUUUGACUAAUAAGGACAUAAAUGUCAAAUAACCGUGUUUGAUAUGCUUUUUUAUUAUAAAAACAAAUAAGAUGCCACUUAAUUUUUAGAUAUUAAAAAAAUAAACAUGUUAUUGAGACAUUUAUAUUCAAAUCCAUUUAGAUUUCUGUCAAAUUCAUACUUAUUCAAAUUUUAGAUAAAAAUAAACGCUACCUUAAUGUCCUUUUAAUUCUCUCGAGUAGGAUGAAAAUUUAUUUUAUUUUAUUUUUCUAUGUUGGAUUAGGGUUUAGUUGUAUAUCAUUGUAUCUUAUCUUUGAAAAUCUUUUAAAGUAUUUUAAAAUUGAGAUUAUCUACCCAAAAAAAAAUUAAUUUCAACUACUUAUGAAUUGUUUGACCAUAAAUUGUAUUAUAUGUCAAAGAAUAUGUUCAACUGGAUAAAAUCGUUGGCUACAUCCUUCGUUAAAAGAAAUUUUAUAAUAUAUUAGAGAUAAUACAACCAAUUUUAAUGAAUUCGUUGUAACACACGUGCAAGCUAAAAUGGGUCACAUGUGGCUAAUUGUCAAAGCAAUAGCAAGCUGUUAGCUUAAAGCAAAGCACAUUCAUGCUUCACCUAUGAUAAUACAACCAAUUCUAAUGCAUGUAUUGUGAUGGACAUGCAAGCUAAAAGGAGGCACAUGUGGCUAAUUGUCAAAGCAAUAGCAAGCUGUUAGCUUAAAGCAAAGCACGUGCGUGCUUCACCAAUAGGAUUUGUGAGUGGAUUAUUAUUAUUACUAUUAUGUAUUCUACAAAGUAUUUAUGUUUAAUAGUAUGAUUUAGUAUAAAGUUAUGAUUAUAUGUACGUACAUUAUAUGAUUGAUUGAGUCAUGAGGUGUGAUUGACAGGCACCAUAUGUGUACCCUUCCCCAUCGGCUCUACGCAUGCGUAUUGAGAGUUAAAUUACUCGGCCCUUGUGAUGUUGUUAAUUCUGCUGAGUAUUGAGAGGUUUUUCCCCUUUUUUACUCGUGCGAUGAUGAUCCUAGUGAGUAUUGAGAGUUAUUUCCCCUGUAUAUUAUUUGGUGCAAUUUUGUCAUUUAUGUAUAUAUGAGUUCAUGUUUGCUUUUGUAAAGCGUUCAGUGUAAAGUUAUGUCAUACAAUUAUGACGAGCACUAAAGCACUAAUUUAUUUAUAUAUAUAAUUAUAUUCAUUCAUUGGGCCGCAAGCUUACUAUUUUCCUAUUUACCCCAUUUCUGUAAGGUUUCCAUAGGAUUUCGUGUAGUUCAGUUUCUGAUCAAUUGAGGUUGGGCCACGACACGCAUUACUACAUGACUUACAUUUUGACCUAAUUUAUGUUUAUAUGUAUAUAUAUCCGAAGUGUAUGUAUGUACAGUGAGAUAUGAACUGUGUAAGUUUUUAAAAUAUUUUUUAAUGAGGCACAUAGAUUAUUAUAUGUUUAUAACAAAGGCCAAGGCUAGUGUUAUAUAUUCAUGAAUUAAGUUUAUGUCAUGAGCUUUAAAUAUAAAAUUGCAUGAUUCACCCCAUAUCCAAGGGUUGAGGCGGUUUGUGUCAUGUAUGAUAUGUACAUAUUUAGAUUCAAUAUAACCACCAUUUGAAUGAUAGUUUUUUAAAAUAAGGGCACAUGUGUCGUAGCAUGAUUCACUUAUUGUAUGACGGACAUGGUACUUCUGAUGUAUUCUAAAAUUUCUUCCUUAGUUAGAGGCAUUUGUUUUAAAAUUUUAUUUAAAAGAAGGUCAUUUUUAAUUUUAGAAUGUAAAAUGUAUUUUCUACAACACUAAAGGAUGAAACGGCCUUCAACAUAGAUUCCUUAAUAAAUUUUAAGAGAACUAAUAGAAAGUGGUUAUUUCAUUCAUGGUUAUUAAAUCAAAAUUUGAAUUAGAUCAUCACUGGUCCAAAAUAAACUAUCGUCAAUUCAAAUUGAAACAUGAAACCAUGAAUGGAUGCAUCUUUAAAUAAAAGGAUACGUUUUUAUUAUAUAUGACACUGUUUAAUUAGACAUAUCUUUACAGUCGGACAAAUUUUUAAAGCACCAUUAAUUUUGAAAAUAUUCCAGCAUAAAAUAUAUCCCUCUCCCUUAUAAGAGUAUUUUGCAAAUAAUUUGCAAAUAAUACAGAGCCACCACGAGUUCAAAAAUAAUAAAACAAUAACAUUGCUCGCUUGCUAGACUGGGCUGGAUUGGGCUGGGCCUGCUAUAAGAAUGUUUUACUAGUACGAGGCUUUGCUUUCAUCAUCGAAUACACAGUGAGGGAAAUUGAAAUUGAUGAUGGCGUUGGCCGCUCAAAUUCUAUCUCAACCGCUCAAUUUUUCUCAUAUGGUGAUCUCUUAUAAAUGUGGCAGGUUAAGCACUGGAGCAUUGUCACGGUUGAUUCUAUCGGAUGAUUCUCUUCGAAUGGCAGUGAAUUAGUUCAGGACUUCUAAGGUAUUGCUAAUUCAUAGCUGAUAGUGUGUAUUACGAUAAGAUUCAACCUGUUGGUUAAUUUAAAAUUGUUAUCUUCUUUCUUAUUUGUGCAACAAAUAUAAUACUUGAGUAAGAGUAUUUUCCUUUUUACUUUUGUGUUGUUAAGUGCCUAUAAGUCUGUUUUUUGUUGUUGAGUGUCUGCGUCAAUGCCUGAUGGCAUAUUUGCAAGUAGCUUUAAAGCUUAUUUGGCUCUUUGUUUAUGAAUAAUGUUCAAUAGCAACCUGCUCCAUUGAUAAGAGAAAUGUAUGAUAUAAUUUUUCAAGAUACCUACCUGCAUUAUGAAUUGUUAUUGGAAGGAAGUACGAUAAUAAAUUAAGAGCAAAGACUGAUUAAAAGAUGUAUCUUUCAUUAUUAAGCGAAAUGUAUGUUCUGCUUCUCAUUCACUUUACCAGAUUUACAAAAGUUUUAUGUUAUUGGAUUGUUUCUGGGUUAUCCUUGUUUUUCUAUUUUAAUUGCUUUACAUGCAUUAUGUGUGUAAUUUUUUAAUGGGCAAUCUUCAUUUGGAACAUGAAAAUUUUAAAAAACUUUCCAAUUUGUGCAGGGUAUGGAGCCUCUUAAGUAGGACUCUUUGGGUGCUACUUCUAUGUUGGGCAAAUAUUUUUUUUUUUCUUUUUCCAGUCACCAUAAUGGGGGUCAUGGUGAAACAACUUACUAAUCACUCUGGACAGGAACGGGCUUCUAUAAGUAAAGCACACGUAUUUCACUCUUUCCUUAGCAUGGAGCUGCUUACCGUUGGGAUGAAGAUGGUAAUAGCUGCUUUAGAAAUAACUUUUCUUCAGCAGGAAAAUUCUCAAUCUUGGUAAAUUUAAUGUUGUACUAGAAGACAAGCUGCCUAUUUAACCAAUGGCUAAAUGUAGCAUAGUAGCCUCCUUAGAUGAUUAAUUAGAUUGCACUCCUUUUCAUCUCUCUGUUUUCAUUUUUUCUCCUUUUUGACUUGCACUUCUCUGUUCCUUUCCCCCCCAAAAAAAAAAAAAAUUGCACUUUUCUGCCGAUGUCUUCCCAAUAUCCUAUGAUCUCCAAAUGCACAAAUAUUCUUGUUGUGACGUUCCACAUGUGGUUUCUUUUUUAUUUUGGUCCAUUUUUCAACAAUAUAGAAUAGUGAGAAGAAUGCUUUAUUUUAAUGAUGCUUCUAUGCUUUCUUAAAUGUAUGCUUGUUCUUGUUCACAUUAUACUGUUCGUCAUAAUUGGUAUGGUCUUUCUUUGGCAUCAUCAAGCCCCAAAUGUGAUGAAACAUUUUGAAUUUCUUAUUGAUCCAGCCUUCACUUUAGUAUAAUGUAUACACCGUAUCUGCGCUGCAGUAAGUAUCAUUGAUAGUUCGGAAUGAGUGCGAAAGCAGACUAGUGUGUUAACUUCAUGAUUUAUUUACUGGUUUGCACAUCCAUAUUUCAAAUGGUAUACUGGUCUUCGGCCAAAAGAGAGGGAAAAUGAAAGACUUGUGAGACAAUCCUCAUGGCUUUGUUGACAUCAGUUUGGUGGUUGAUUGAGAAUGAAUGAUCGUACAUACAUACAAAUACUUGUUAGAGGGCUUGUUCUGUUGAAUUAUGCUGGCGGCAUAAACUACAAGGCAUUGUUGACAAUUGGAGAAUCAAGCUAUUGUUUCCAUUGCUUUGGUUGAUUGAUCCUUUGUUGAAGCAAAGGCCAAUUGCAGAUGCAAUCUUUGAAGAUGUGAAACAAAGGUAUUUUCUCUUCUCUUUAUUCAGUCCAUCGUUCAUUAUACUAAAACACUUGAGUCAAAUAAGGUAUAGUUCAAUACUCUAGUGUGAGUUUGUGUUACAUGCACUACGUCCCUCGAAAGUUAUUACAUGCAUGUUUUGUUCCGAGGCUGAUCUUGGCUUUUUCUCCUAUUAUUAAUAGUGAUUAUUAAAAGAGAAAAAAUAAAAUUACAUUCUUGAAAAUCUUAGUCUCCUUAGUAACAGUUGAAACAUCUGCUUGGAACUUCCAUUGAAUCCGUAGAAUCUGGGAUGUAAAGUAAAUGGACCCCACAUUUUUUCACCCGCAGCACUCGCACUCCAAAGGCGGAAAACGAUCAAAAUCAUCAAAAAAGAAGCGGACUGCCUCAGUGAAAAAAUAGCACCCCAAAAGUAAGUGAUCUGAUUCUACGUAAGCAAGGCGCUUCAGAAAUCUCCGUGUGACUUGCGGAUCACAAUCUUCGGUUUUCACUUUGAAUUCACAAGAAAAUGAAAACCAUCUGUCAUUAUCUACAUGACAGUCUGAAAAUGCUACAAUAACACUAAAUGCAAAGCCCAGUAGUACUCGGUUAUUGUUGAAGGAAUCUGAUGGCAUCUCCAAGGUUAUAAAAGAUCCCACACUUUGAAACUCAAACCACUUCGGAAUUUCAUUCCUGAGUAGUAAGAUAUGACCUCCGUUCAUGUGAAAAUCAAUCUGUAAAAAAGAAAAAAAUCAUAACUCAAAAAAAAAAUAUAUAAAUUGAAAGAAGAGAGUUAAAAACACACCUUUUCCUGUACUUCUUUCCAAUGGGCAGCUGCCAUAAGCUGAAUUCUCUGCAGGGCAUCUUCAACAAUUCCUGCAGUAGAAUUACCAUCCGAUUUAAAAUUAUUGCUCUAGUAAAAAAAACACUGCUUAUGUAUAAGAUUCAGAACUUGAGAAUAAACCUGAUAAUGAUUGCAGCGAUGUGCAAUGAUCGGCAUCUAACCAUCGUACAAGAAAUGGAAGCUUUGGUACGGAUUGAAGCUUCUCACAAUAGCUUAAGCGGAGGUAAGUCAACACAGAAAUUUGGAUGAUGCUUUCUGGUAUUCUCUCAAUAUUGGUUUUCUCUAGAAGCAAUGUUCCUAGAGAGGACAACUGGCCAAGACAUUCGGGCAAUCUCUGAAGAUUUGAGCAACCACUGAGAUCAAGAAUUUCAAGAGAUUUCAACUUACAUAGGCUGCUUGGGAGACUCUUAAGCCUUUUACAGUCCGAAAGGUCCAAGUACCCCAGCCUAAUUAGAAGCUCAAUUGAUGAAGGCAGUUCUUCAAUUGCAGUUCCACUUAAAAAAAGGCAGCUUGUAUUACUAGAUGAGAUCUCUGGAAGCCUCUUAAGUUUUGAGCACCCCGAAAGAUCAAGUGUUGUAAGAAAUUCCAAAUUAAAUAUUCCAGCUGGAAGACUUUUCAGGCUUUUGCUACCUCUUAGAUUCAAGAUAACUAGCUUGUUUAGAUGUGGAAUCAACGUGGGGUUUGGAGUUUUGGCAAUUAGCAUCUUGCAGGCAGCAUGGAUUGUCUGGUUUAACUUACCACGAUGCUGCUUGGUCAAAAAAGAGGCCAAGAGGAAUCAUUACCAUGUAUGAUAAUUUAACGUUAUUAUUGAAAGAUCCACACAUAAUGUAUUAAGUUAUACAUACCUUCAUACCAUCCCAAAGUUGUUCAAUGCUGCUAUUAGGCAUUUCAAGAAACACAAGCUUCUCUGCACUGAUGUUUGAAGGCAAUGACUUCAAUGGAUAUCCAUGCUAGUGGAGAUACUUCACUUCAGUAAAUCUAGGGUCUUGCAAAUAAGACACCUUACAUUUGUUCUCUCCAUUGAAUGAUGAGCUAUAGAAUUUUAAAAAUCUCAAUUUCCGCAUCUUUGUGAAUGUAUUGGGAUUUAGAUGGAUCUCUUUCACUUUGAACAUAUUCAAAUAGAUGUCCUCAACUUUUUCAGUCCCCUAAUAAUCAAUAAAAAAAUGAAAAACGAUAUUUAUAUCCCACCAAUGAAUUGCACCUCAACCCCACCAAGACAAAUUUUUGGGGCAUGUUUGGCAUUGAUUCACAACAAGGGGUAACUUAGUUAUUAAUUCAAUCUUUUUUUUUACUCUUGCGUGGAAUUGAGGUGGGAUUGGAGUGGAAUUUUUUAUCAUUGGUCGAGUCAAAUUUCAGUAAUUCAUGUUUAUAUAGUUAUUGCUAGGCCGUGAAACUCUUAAUUGCAAACGCACAAAGGAACAUAAUAAUACAAGUAAUACUAAACAUGGAAUUUACGCAUGUGGGAUACAAACAAAUUGACAAAUAAACUAUCCUUACAAAGAAUUUAAUUAUACAAGUUGUCACGGCAUUUAUAACCACUAUUGUUUUUUUCUAAUCAUUGUCACUCUUCUGUUAAUUCUAGAUUCAGCAAUUCGAGAGUAUAUAAAUAUAUCCAUAUCAAGUUUGUAAAUGCUAGAAUAUUCCAAAGUAAUAAUCCACGACAAGUUGUCACUCAUGAUGCACAAUCAACUGCAGCUUCCAGGAUCAUUUGAUUCUUGACUGACAAUAUCCCUACCCAAUUCUUGUAGCAAAUCAUGCAUAGUUAUCUUGUUGUUAUUUGAUAUGACAAUAAGAGACUUAUCAACGAGAACACUUAUUCCUAUUUUUGGGUAGAAGCUGCCUGCAUUAAGGAAUUUCAUUACUAGAUUUACAUCCUCACCUUGAAAGAAACAAGCAACAUCAAGGAAAAUAUUUCUCUUUAUUAUCCAAACCAUCAUAACUUAUUUUUAAUACCUCUAGAAUACUUGGAUGGAGGAUUCUUUGCAAUUUAUUUAUUGCACUUUCCCAGACUUAUUUUUCCCUUUCAUAUAGAAAGCACCCCAAAACUUUAAGAGCUAAAGGAACACCUUGAACAAUCUCUAGCGAUUGUUGUUUUGCGUAUAACACCAAUGCCCCAAAUCCCUACAGCGUAAACAUCUUUCGACUCAACACUUAGUAGAGAUUCAAUUUCCUCAACUCUUGAUUCUACUCCAACCAGCUGGCUUUUGUUAUCACGUGGCCGCUUUAUAACUAUAAAAGAAGAUAUGAAUUAUUUGUUUUUUGAAUUUCGCCCAUCGAUCGCGCAUUAACUUAAAUUCAUAAAAGGAAAAUGAAAACAGGGCCCAUAAAAUGUUACCGAACAGGCCCUAAUAUUCUCCACUAAUGUGCCAUUUUAACCUCUUACAAAAACGGCUCAGAAUUCAUAAUUGACCUCAAAACUACAAAUCAUACGAGAACCCACCAAUAACGAAUAGGCGCUUAAUGCAUUUGUUUUGAUUGUGAUAGGCCUACCAGGGCCGAACCUAGUGCAAUUGAUGCCAUCAAUCUCUAUACCUAUACUAGUUUUAUAGGGUGUUGAGGAUCCAUUCACCCUCUUUGAUGGACCUGCUGGUUAAUACUCCUCAUUUCUACAUUCUUAACUCUCAAAUGUGCUAGUUAAUUGUAUUGGAAGGAGUGGGACAUCAUCCCUAUGACGAAAGACCCAAGGAGAUCCAUGAAAAGCUGCUUUCUCGGUUGGCUGAAACAUUUAAGUGCUGAGAAAUUUACUUUCUCAUCAGCAAGUUUUGAUGAGCAUUAUAUAUUAUUCCUAAUGUAAAAUGGCAAACAACUCUUGUAUUUAUAUUGUAUAUAUCAAUUCUUAUUCAACCGCUUGAAAAUCUUUUGGCAUCGAAAGAGUGUACGAGAAACUGAUCCCUAACAAGUUGUAGAAGCUCCAAAUUGAUUCGAGAAAUGUACCAAAUUAUUCAAUAAAAAGUCAAAUUUAGCACAAUAAUAAAGAACAAUGAUUUAUUAAUCUAUAUUUCUCAUGUUAAUGAUAUGCGAAUGAUAAGAUUCAAUUUUUCAAAUGAAAAAGAUACAAUAAUCUAAAUAGAAUUAUAGGCUCAUGGGCAUCUUUAACCUUUCCUUACAAGCUAGUUUUUUAAAGGUAAAUUCUAGCCAUAGAUGAUACCACGUCAACUAUGGAAUCAAAUGAAACAUUUCGAAUAUGGAAUUGGUAUAAAUACUUGAAAGAGUGGAUACAUGUUUGUUGAUACAGAAAUCUGGUUGAGCUACGUAGCGACCAGACAACCACGCCAACACUUAAAUUUGUUGUUAAAUAUCAAUUGUUGGAGAAAAAUCAGUUUUUUAAAUUUUUAUAAAAUCUUUUAAGAUCGAUCUCAUAUAAUAUAUAAGAAUUCGUAAUCUAGAAAAUCAUACCUUGACAAUCUGAUUUGACUUUUUUAGUGAGUUAAUCUAGGCUCCCAGAUCACGAUCUAUCAGCACCACGCCUGUUAGAUCACGAUCCGUCACCACCACGUUUGUUAGAUCACGAUCCGUCACCAAUGAUCUUCUAGGUUAUGACUCAGGUUUCAUAUACACUUGUGAGUGGAUUACUAUUAUUACUUAUAUGUAUUCUACAAAGUAUUGUGUGAGUGGAUUACUAUAUUUUAGGAGAAAUCCAAGAAUUAGGGAAUCUAUAGGAGCUCCAACGAACCCCGAAGUGAAACAUAUUUUGUGAGUGGAUUACUAUUAUUACUUAUAUGUAUUCUACAAAGUAUUUAUGUUUAGUAUGAUUUAGUAUCAUGUUAUGAUUAUAUGUACGCAUAUUAUAUGAUUGAUUGAAUCAUGAGAUGUGAUUGCCAAAUACCAUAUGUGUACCCUUCCCCAUAGGCUCUAUGCAUGUGUAGUGAGAAUUAGAUUACUCGGCCCUUGUAAUGUAGUUAAUUCCGCUGAGUAUUGAGAGGUUUUUCCCCCACUUUACUUGUGCAAUGAUGAUUCCAGUAAAUAUUGAGAGUUAUUUCUCCUAGAUAUUAUUUAGUGCAGUUUAUCAUAUAUAUAUAUAUAUGAUUUCAUAUUUGCUUGUGUAAUGCGUUCAGUGCGAAGUUAUGUCAUACAAUUAUGCACCCGCACUAGAGCACUAAUUUAUUUAUAGAUAUAUGUACACACACACACACAAUUAUAUCCAUUCAUUUAGCCACAAGUAUAUUAUUUUCCUAUUUACCCAAUUUCUUUUAGAUUUUCAUAGGAUUUCGUGCAGUUCAGUUUCUAAUCAGUUGAGAUUGGGUCACGACACGUAUUAUUGCAUGACUUAUAUUUUGAACACGUUUAUGUUUAUAUGUAUAUAUCUAAAGUGUAUGUAUGUACAGUAAGAUGUGAAAUGUGCAAGUUUUGAAUAUAUUUUUGAAUGAGGUACAUAUGUUAUUAUUUGUUUAUAACAAAGGCCGAGGCUAGUGUUAUGUAUUCAUGAAUUAAAUUUAUGUUACAAGCUUUAGAUAUAAGAUCACAUGAUUCACCUCGAAUCUGGCAGAGAGGUUGGGUCGGAUUGUGUCAUGUAUAAUAUGCACUUACUUAGAUUCAAUAUAACCAUCAUUUACAUGAUGGUUUUUCAAAAUAAGUGCACAUAUAUCAUAACAUGAUUCACUUUUUAUAUGACUGACAUGGUACUGAUUAUGUCUUCUAAAAUUUGUCCCUUAGUAAGAGGCAUUUAUUAUAAAAUUUUAUGCUAAAAGAAGGUCAUUUUAAAUUUCAAAGUGUAAAAUCUAUUUUUAUACAUUUACACAAUACUAAGGAUGAAAUGGUCUUCAACAUAGAUUCCUUAAUAAAUUUUAAGAGACCUGACAGAAAGUGGUUAUUUAGAGAAAUUGAACAAUGGAUGGUGCCUUUAUUUAAUUCAUUAAUAAAAUGCAUCUAGAAACUGAUGUAGUCCAAAAAGGCGUCUUUUGUUAGAGUGUAGUAGGAGUAAAUAUAUGAAAUAAAAUUUUGGAGAAAUAUUUGUGGGGAAUAAUAAUUGCAGAAAAAGGGAGCAAUAAUUGAUAAAACUUUUUUUAUUAAAGUUGGACUAUUGGCACCCCUUUAGUCUCCUCAUCAAACCUUUUUUUUUCAGUUACAUUUAUUUUAUUUCCAAAAAUUUCCUUUUAUUUUCAAAGACGCUCUUUUAGUUUUUCAUUUAAUCUUUUUUUAUUGUUAAAAUUCAAAGUAGUAUUGUGCUAUUUUUCAUCUCUUUUGCAAUCCUAUUGUUAUCCUACAUACAAAUCAAAAAGUUUUUUACGUGAUAAAGUUUGAAUGCUAAUCAUUAGCUUAAAUAACACAUAUUUUAGAUUGUAGUUUGAAUGUAAUCUUGAGUACAAAAAUAUUUAAUCGAUAAGAAAUAGGAAAAGAAAAAUAGAUUAUUCUAAAUUUAUACAAUUUAUCUUAAUUAGAUAAGAAAUAAUAGGUAGGAAAUUAAAAAAAAGGAUUGAUUAUCAAUGUAAGUAAUUUGUUGGGAAAAAAAAAAUACUACAUGUGUUUAUAUCUUCUUUGCCCUUAACUGUAAUUUUAUUUGAAAUAGGAUUUUAUAAGAAUAAUGAAGGGGUGUCAAUAGUUUCACUCUUAUUUUAAUUGAAAUAUAGGUAAGAAUUGAUGGUGCUUCGAGACACAUUACAAAUGUAGUUUUUCUAGAGAAAAACUACAUACGAUAGGAAGAUUAGAUGGAUCACAGAAAGGUCCUGACUUCUAUUUAUAGAUAAUUAUGUACUCUUUUAUUUGGAUUGUCACUUUUCAUGAUACCCUUUCAUUUAUGGUUAUUAAAUCAAAAUUUGAAUUAAAUUAUCAUUGGUCCAAAAUAAACCAUCACCAUUUCAAAUUGAAGUAUAAAAUCAUGAAUGGAUGCAUCUUUAAAUAGAAGAAUAUAUUUUUAUUAUAUUUGACACUGUUUAAUUAGACAUAUCUUUUCAAUCAAACACGUAUUUAAAGCUCCAUUUAUUUUGAAAAUAUUCCAGUGUAAAAUAUAUUCUCUCCCUGACAUGAGUAGUUUGCAAAUAAUACAGAGCCACCGCGAGUUCAAAAAUAAUAAAAUAAUAACAUUGCUCACUUGCUGGACUGGGCUGGAUUGGGCCGAUUGGGCUGGGCCUGCUAUAAGAAUGUGUUACCAGUACGAAGCUUUGCUUUGAUUAUCCCAUACACAGAGAGGGAAAUUGAAAUUGAUGAGGGCGUUGGCCGCUCAAUUCCUGCUUCGGAUUCCCCAACUCGGAAGGAAAAAUAUAAACUUUCCGUCGUACAAGCAUCGCGGGAAUUAUCAGCCAUUGUUCUUGUCUUGCAAUUACAGCACCAAUGACAAUUGUUCUUCAUCUUCUUCUUCUUCUUCUUCUUCUUCGAGGAAUUACUUAGAAUUGACCGACGAUGAGCUGUUUCGCGAAUGCGAAAUGGACGCGUACAAAUCGUCCGGACCAGGCGGUCAGCACCGCAACAAGCGUGAAUCAGCCGUACGUCUCAAGCACGUACCGACCGGCGUCAUAGCGCAGGCCGCCGAAGACCGAUCGCAGCACAAGAAUCGCGCGUCAGCUUUGUCGCACUCUUUUGGCCCUCGAAGUGAGGAGCAGUGUGAAUCUUGAUGCGUAUUCUCCGCCGCCACAGCUUCUUCAAAUCCUUCCUCCUAAGUCUACUAUUAGAAGUUCAGAAGUUGGUCCACAAAUCGGACCUAACAAUCCUAAAUUUGCUUUGGUAUUACUCUAUUCACUCUUGCUUCGGUUUUUUUUGGUUAACUACAGGGAAUGCAAGCUCUGCUUGAUCUAAUUUUCGCAGUCGAGGAAUCUGUAUCAGAAGCAGCAAAAUUAUUGGGGUAUUGCAUUAAGCUUAAUACUCUAUCAAGUGAUAAUUGAGCUUCAAAAAGAGAAAUUGCUAGAUGUAAUGUGUUUGAUUGGCGUUUAGGUUUCCAAUAUUUUUUUUAAGUUAAGAUUUCUCUCGUAUGGUGAUCUUUUAUAAAUGUGGCAGUUUAAGCACUGGAGCAUUGUCACGGUUGAUUCUAUCGGAUGAUUCUCUUCGAAUAGCGGUGAAUGAGUUGAGGACUUCUAAGGUAUGCUAAUUCAUAGCUGAUAGUGUGUAUUACGAUAAGACUCAACCUGUUGGUUAAUUUAAAAUUGUUAUCUUCUUUCCUAUUUGUGCAACAAAUAUAAUACUUGAGUAAGAGUAUUUUCCUUUUUACUUUUGUGUUGUUAAGUGCCUAUAAGUCCAUUUUUUGUUGUUGAGUGUCUGCGUCAAUGCCUGAUGGCAUAUUUGCAAGUAGCUUUAAAGCAUAUUUGGCUCUUUGUUUAUGAAUAAUAUUCAAUAGCAACCUGCUUCAUUGAUAAGAGAAAUGUAUGAUAUAAUUUUUGAAGAUAGUAUCUGCAUUAUGAGUAAAGCAAGAGCAAAGACUGAUUAAAAGAUGUAUCUUCAUUAUUACGUGAAAUGUAUGUUCUGCUUCUCAUGCACUUUACCAGAAUUACAAAAGUUUUAUGUUAUUGAUGGUUGGAUAGUUUCUGGGUUAUCCUUGUUUUUUUUUUUUUUGUUUUAAUUGCUUUACAUACAUUAUGUGUGUAAUUUUUUAAUGGACAAUCUUCAUUUGAAACAUGAAAAUUUUAAAAAACUUUCCGAUUUGUGCAGGGUAUGAAGCCUCUUAAGUAGGACUUCUUAGGUGCUACUAUUGUGUUCGGCAAAUAUUUUCUUCUUUUAUUUUUCUUUUUUCAGUCACCAUAAUGGGGGUCAUGGUGAAACAACUUACUAAUCACUCUGGACAGGAAUGGGCUUCUAUAAGUAAAGCACACUUAUUUCACUCUUUCCUUAGUAUGGAGCUGCUUACUGUUGGGAUGAAGAUGGUAAUAGCUGCUUUAGAAAUUAGUUUUCUUCAGUAGGAAAAUUCUAAAUGUUGGAAAAUUUAAAGUUGUACUAGAAAACAAGCUGCCUAUUCAACCAAUGGCUAAAUGUAGCAUAGUAGUCUCCUUAGACAAUUAAUUAGAUCGCAUUCCUUUUGAUCUCUCUGUUUUCAUUUUUUCUCCUUUUUGACUUGCACUUCUCUGUUCCUUUCCUCAAAAAAAAAAAAAAAAAAAAAUUGCACUUCUCUGCUGAUGUCUUCCCAAUAUCCUAUGAUGUACAAAUGCACAAAUACUCUUGUUGUGACGUUAACCAUAUAUGGUUUCUUUUUUAUUUUGGUCCAUUUUCCAACAACAUAGAAUAGUAAGAAGAAUACUUUAUUUUAAUGAUGCUUCUCUGCUUUCUUAAAUGUAUGCUUAUUCUUGUUCACAUUUUACUGUUCAUCAUAAUUGGUAUGGUCUUUUUUUGGCAUCAUCAAGCCCCAAAUGUGAUGAAACAUUUUGAAUUUCUUAUUGAUCCAGCCUUCACUUUAGUAUAAUGUAUACACCGUACCUGCAGUAAGUAUCAUUGAUAGUUCUGAAUGAGUGCGAAAGCAUACUAGUGUGUAACUUCAUGAUUUAUUUACUGGUUUGCACAUCCAUAUUUCAAAUGGUUUACUGGUCUCUGGCCUAAAGAGAGGGAAAUUGAAAGACUUGUGAGACAAUCCUCAUGGCUUUGUUGACAUCAAUUUGGUGGUUGAUUGAGAAAUGAAUGAUCAUACAUAUACAUACACAUAUACAUAUACAUAGACAUACAUACAUACAUAUACAUAUACAUAUACAUAUACAUAUACAUAUACAUAUACAUAUACAUACAUACAUAUAUAUAUAUAUAUAUAUAUAUAUAUAUAUAUGAUUUUCAUGGACUAGCAUUUGACAGAUGACUUGAUUAUUAUUUUUUGUCUGUCUGUUUAUUGAUUCUGUUGCUCAGUCAUAGCUAGACAUUGCUCGUUGACCAUUUGUUAGUGACAGGCUCAAAUGAGAUGCUUGAACUUUUGCUUUUAUCACUUGUACUUACUUGCUUGGAUUUAGUUUGGAAAAGCAAAUCAACUAAGAUUUAGUCAGGUGAGCUUUGCAGCAAGUUGGGAUCUGACCCAAGUCAUAAUCCAAGUUGAGCAGAAUAUCCACAAAAACCAUCAUCUCAUCCAUGAAACAAAAGCAAUUUUGAGAGCCAGCAUUGGGGAAUCCUUUACUAGACAUGAGUUUUGAUAUUUGAUAUUAUGAAAGUCUUUUAUUUGACAUGUAAAGGUAGGGAUUUACUUUGUUUAACCCCUAUUCGUGCUAUAGGUUGACAGUAAUCUAUCACUUAAAUGCACUUUUUCCAAUCAGCCAAUGGCAAGCAAAUUUCUAGAAUGAAAAUGAGGCAUAAGUUAAAUGCUUUCUUGAAAUGUGGUGAAAUCAUUUGUUUAUGGUAUUACUUGUCGUGGCAGAAGCAUCCUCCUAAAAUUAUUUAUAAGAAACUCUUUUUACUCUCUAUGCCAGUGGAGUGGGCCUUCAAAAGGAAAGGAAAAGCUGUACCUAAAGUUGUGAAAAAGGAAGAAUUUGCAAGUAAAAAAUGAAUAUAUUAUGCAUGGCUACAUAAAUUGGUACAUAUAGCUUUUGCACCUAAUCUGAUUAUCUCGAUUCCUGGACCCAGAACUAAUAUAGCCUAAUUAUUACACAUGAGAUUUUGUGCUGCCAUACUACUUACAUGCGAGUGCUGAUUUUUAAACAGAAAUAUUCAACAGAGCACUGACAGAAACAGAGUUAACACCCGAGCCGGGUUACUGUGUUAAUUGAAAACAAUUAAUUAACAGGACAAAAACAAGAUAAAUCUGGUGGUUUUGUAGUUAAUUCUGCCUGCCCUCUGUUAGUUUCUUUAGUAUUAUUCCUCAUAUAUUUGACUUAUUGACCUAUCUGUGGUUGGAAAGAAAAAUGAUUUAAGUAAACUUUAGAAAAUGUUUUAUCCUUGUUUUAUUUCUGAAUAUCAGCAGUGCAUCAUUUUGAAAAUGUAACUGUGGGGUUUCAGGAUCCUCUCGAGCCAGUUUUGUUGUUCACAAAACCCCUUGUGCCAGAAAAAUUGGACUCUGCAGGUAUUGUUCCGCCGUCAGAUUCUUCUACGAGGAAUGGCACUAUAGCACAAACUCACAAAUUUCAUGGAAGAAUUGGCCGAGGGGGGCGGAUAGUAUUUGAUAGAUGUAAUCCUCUUAUGCACUCCUCAACUGAUAGUGGCACGUCUUUUUACUUACCACCAAAAGCCCGCACAUCUAUGUACAGUUAAAUUGAAUACUUGCAUUGUCCGAGCUCCAGCAAUUAUUUGUUUGGGAAGCCAACUGUAAUUAUGCCGAGGGCAAGCAAAAUACUGGGCUUGAUGAAUCUUUUGAGGCUUGGUCACAGGUAUUUCAUGCCGUGCAUCAUCUUGCCUUAUUCUCUUUAAAGAAAUGACCUUGCCCUGAUUUUCCUUUCAAGUUUAAACUUAAUGAGCUUUUAUUACAUCCUUUAUUGUUGAAAUGCUUGUGCUAAUCAUAGUAUUUUCAAACUUUUCGCCCCAGUUGAUUAUAAAUUUUGUGUGAAUGUUACAAGAUAAAACUUACCUUUAAAAUGUUAACGAACCUGUAAGAUUGGACUUCUCUUUAAGACCUUGAAUUAAGUGGAGGGUGUUUUGGGGUUAAUAAACCAGCAACUAUGCAUAUACUUGGCCAAUGAGGAAUCCUACUAGUACAGAAUAAGGUUGCACAAGACAGUUAAAUAGAUGACGCAAUGGAGACGUCUCUGUAUCGACUCAAUUCAAACUAAUUGUAGAAUGUGUACGUCAGGUGUUAAUGCUUAGAAUGAAAAUGAUGCACUAUGUUUGGUGUUUUGCAAUUUAAAAAUGUGUCUAAUAGUGUAUUUUCAGAAUUGGACUAUAAAAAUAGAGAUAGAGAAAACGAUAUAAAAUUAAGGUAAUAUAGGACGAAAAAGUAUGGACAAGGAAGCAGAAAUAUUUGGUAUUUUUCAUUUUUUUCAAUAAAAAAAUGAAAACAAAAUUUUCAAUAUCUAUUCAUCAUUUUUGGGGAAAAAAGAAGAAGCUUAAAGAAUAAAUGAAAGGGUGUUUUAAAACAAAAAUGUGAUUGCUGUUUGAAUAAUGACCCUCUCGGUUAGGCAAAACAGUCACAUAAUCAUUUUUUUUUAAAACACAAACCUUUUGGUUCAGAAAUAAUCACACAAAUCCCAAUCUUUUAGCUAAAAAAGAGUCUGCGUAUCUCAAAAGAGACAUGUGUGACAUUUUCUAAAAACAAAAUAUCUUUAUAGUUAUUUUGCCAAAUCACGUGGUGCCUUUAGAAAUAGGAUAAAUUUUAAUUUGCCCCCAAUUUAAAAUGAAAAUCUUUAAUUUAUCACCUAAAAGUAUAAAAAUAUCAAGUUACCCCAUUUAUUGUUAAGAAGAUUAAAACAAAAAAAAAAAUCAACACAUUCCUUAUUUGCCCCUCAUCUUUUGGACGGAAAUGAAGAAUAAAUUGAGGUUUACAUUAAGAGCAAAUUAGAGAUUAUCAUUUUAUUUGGGAAUGAAUUAAACUUUAUCCUUAGAAAUAAAAAAUUCAAGAGACAUACAUCAAAAAAGGUAAUAGUUUUCACUUUUUAUGGAGUAUUUGGGUAAGGGUAUUUGCACCCCACUAUUUUUGUAAAUCCACCCUACUUCUAGAAACUAAUUGCAAUGAAUUCACAAUAUUUUUUUAAAAAAUACAAAUUAAUAAAAAUUUUGUAUAGUUAAUCAGUUAAAUCCUUCUAUUGAUUUUUUUUCUUAGGUUUUUUUACCAUCUUUAAUUAUAAACUUUAAUACAAGUUUUAUUUUAGUAUUUUAUUAUUAUGAUAUAUAGCGACUAAAUUACCAUUAUAAACAUGAGUUAUUAUAUCUAAUAAUUUAUGUAUCUAGCUUAUAAUAUAAUAUUGUAAAAUAAAAUCUAAUUGUUAUUUUCUCUACUUUUAUGUGUAAAUAACAUAAAAUUGACAUCCCAAUAAUUUACAUGAGUAUCAUGCCCUAAAGAUACUAUUUUAGUUUAAUUAAAGAUUAAAACUCCUAUUAAUAAAGUAGUAUUAGAAACAAUGAGUUUGGUAUAAAAUUAGAAAAACAUUGAAAUUAAAGUAAAUUCUUAAUAGUUUUACCUUAUAAGGGUAAAAUAGUUAAUUUAAAUUUAUGACAAAACAAUCUUUGUAACCAAAUAUAAUAAAAUAAUCUAAAUCAGGAGAAAGUUAAUUAAAAUAAAUUUAGUUAAUUAAUUCUAUAAAAUUCUUCUUUAUUUGAAAAUUUUUAAACAUAGCAUGUAUGCUUUAUAAUUAUUUUUUUAAAAAAAUGGGAUGAGUUUGCAAAAAUUAUUGGACGGAAAUACCAAUCACCCGGAGUAUUUUAGUAAAGCACCUGAUAUUCGUUUCAGACGAAGUAUUAUCAUUUUGAUUUUUGAGGAAUAUCAGUAAAAUUUUCAUAUAAUAGUGGAAUAAGCCCAAUAAAUAAUUAUAUAAAAAGUUUUGGAGUCAUAGGAGUCUCAUAGAGGUGGAAGCAGGGGAGGAGCAGGCCAAGCCAGGCCACAGAAAAUAUUCAAUUGAAAAAGCAAGAAAAGAAUGAGCGUGUGGAUGGUAAGGGCUCGGACUCCCUCUUUCAUUAUUCCAAUAACAACACUCAGGAUUGGAAAUGGAAAUGGAGAUGUAAAAGGCCUGCGCUUGCCCCUAUUGAGCAAUAAGAGUUGGCAGUUUCAGUUGCAGUUGCAGCAGAGGAAUAAGGAGAAGAAGAAGAGACAAAAUGUUACCAUCAGUUAUACUAACAGUAGCAGUGGAGGGGAUUCUGCUUCUGCUGCACUGGAACUGGAGGUUAAUGAGAUAAGGGAGAGUUGCAAAAUGUGGAAAUGGAAGGGUCAGUACUCCAUCAAUUACUUGGUUUCUUCAACUCCAAAUUCACAUCCCGAUUCUCCUCCUCUACUCCUUGUCCAUGGCUUUGGUGCCUCCAUUCCUCACUGGCGCAGGUUAGCGAGAUAAGAUUGCUCUUUCUUGUUGUGAAUUGUGUAGCGGGUUGAUUAUUGGGUGCAUAAAAACGUAGCUCCUUUAUUGUGAAUUCAGUUUUCUGGGUAUUUUCGACUGUAAUUUUUUUUUGUAUGGAGCAUGUCUUUACCUUACGUAUGUAAUAUCUCUGACUCUGUUAUGUAUUAUGAACUCCAGGGAUGCAUUUAUAUGUGUUAUGCUUCGAAUAAUUAAUUAAGAUGAACGAAGCAAAAGAAUAAUGAAGGUAAAUCUAUUCGUUAUUCCCUGUUGCAUUGGCAUUAACACCUAGUUCUAUUCCUUGCACCUAGAUGAUGACAAACCGGUGAUCUGAGUUUCAGGGUUCCAUUUCAUAUUACACUUUUAUGGAUAUAGGCUUCUUCCAUUUUCCGAUUCUUAAUCUAGUGAAAAAGUAUUCAUUUUACUGCUCUGUUGAAAAGGGGAAUGAAAAUUUGCUUGUGCACCAUUCCUUUAUCCUACUAAAUAAUGUGAGGAAUUGAUAUUUUUCUUGUCAUCUCUGAGGUAAUUUCAGGAAUAUUGGCACCCUGGCAAAGAGCUACACGGUUUAUGCAAUUGACCUUCUUGGAUUUGGUGCUUCAGAUAAGCCAGCUGGUUAUUCAUAUACCAUGGAGGGAUGGGCUCAGGUAUGCAAUGUUCCCUAGCCAGAAGUUGGAUCUUUUGUUGUCAAUUGCUUGACCUUUAGUUAUUUUCCUUGCUAACUUGAGUGAGAUUCACUGAUACAGCUAAUAUUGGAUUUCUUGGAUGAAGUUGUUAAGAAGCCAACUGUGCUUAUAGGUAACUCUGUUGGAAGCCUAGCUUGUGUUAUUGCUGCCUCAGGUAUAUUUAUUUUAACUUCCCCUUGGACAUCAGAUAUUCUUCAACUUGCUUGCAAAGAAACACUUGCACAUCAUUAUCCUUUUUGGUAUCUAUGGUUUACGAUAAACCUGCUAUAUUUUCUACCAUAAGAAUCUAGUCAAACCCUUGUUCGAGGGUUUGUUCUGUUGAAUUGUGCUGGUGGCAUGAACAACAAGGCAAUUGUUGAUGAUUGGAGAAUCAAGCUAUUGUUCCCAUUGCUUUGGUUCAUUGAUUUUUUGUUGAAGCAAAGGCCAAUUGCUUCUGCUAUAUUUGAGCGUGUGAAACAAAGGUAUUUUCUCUUCUCUCUAUUCAGUCCAUUGUUCAUUAUCCCAAGACACUAGAGUCAAAAUUAAAAAAAUCUAUGAUGUGCAUAUAUUGGUGCUGUAGGGAAACACUGAGGAAUAUUUUACUGUCCAUUUAUGCAAAUAAGGAAUCUGUGGAUGAAACACUGGUUGAGGUAUUAAUAUUCUCCUCUUAUAUGCCAUUUUAACCUGUUACAAAAAUGGCUACUCAGAAUUCAUGAAUCAACCUCAAAACUGCAGAUCAUACGAGAGCCUGCCAAUGUGGAAGGGGCACUUGAUGCAUUUGUUUCGAUUGUAACCGACCCACCAGGGCCGAACCCAGUUCAAUUGAUGCCAUCAAUCUCUAUACCUCUACUAGUUUUAUGGGGUGAUGAGGAUCCAUUCACACCCAUCGAUGGACCUGUUGGUAAAUACUUCUCAUCUCUGCCUUCUAAACUCUCAAACGUGAAGUUAAUUGUAUUGAAAGGAGUAGGACAUUGCCCCCAUGACGACCGGCCUGAAUUGGUCCACGAAAAGCUGCUUCCUUGGUUGGCUGAAACAUUUAAUUUCUGAGGAAUUUACUUUCUCAUCAGCAAGUUUUAACGAGCAUUAUAUAUUAUUCCUAUUGUAAAAAGACAAAACAACUCUUGUAUUUAUGUUGUAUAUAUCAAUUCUUAUUCAACCGCUUGGUUAUCUUUUGGCGCCGAAAGGAAUGUUGGAGAAACUGAUCUCUGACAUGUUGUAGAAGCUCCAAAUUGAUUCAAGAAAUAUAUCAAAUUAUUCAAUAAAAAAUCAAAUUCAGCACAAUAAAAAAGAAUAAUGAUUUAGUAAUCCAUAUUGCUCAUGUCAAUGAUAUGUGAAUGAUAGGAUCCAAUUUUAUACAUGAAAAAGAUACAAUAAUCUAAAUCGAAAUAUAAGUUCACAGGCAUCUUCAAUCCUUUCCUUACAAGUCAUUUUUGUAAAUAUAAAUUCUAACCAUAGACGAUACCACAUCAACUAUGGAACCAAAUGCAUCAUUCCAAAUAUGGAAUUGGUAGAGAUACUUGAAAAAGUGCAUACAUGUUUAAGCAAAUGGAUUCACAACUCAGGUGAGUUGAGUGAAAAUGACACCUAUCUCAGUCUUCUUCGUUACAGUUGAAACAUGUGCUUGGUGUUAGAUUUAUUUCUCACAUUAUGUGGACUGACAUAAAUCAUUCUAAUUGUUUUUUAUAUUUUACCGAAUUAAUACGUGACUAUAGUCAAAUAUUAUGGAGCAAUUUUGACAUACCCCGUACAGUAAUAUAUUAUGGACAAGUAUAUCCAUAAUUGUGUUAUUUUCGCCCAUAAUGAGAUGGGUAAUUUUGUACUAACACAUGAGGGGUCCCUACGCUCAACCACUGUAUUUAAGUAACUUCAGCCCAUUGGAAAUUAACUGUUCAAGAAAUCUGUGGCAUGAGUGCAGUGCAUCUCUCUCUCUCCCGUUUGUCUCCCGUGUGUGUGCACAGUACGUUGCUGAGAGAAGCCGUGAUCUUGAGCUAAGGAAACGAAAGCGGAAUUCAGAAGCUAGACAAAAGUAGCAGCAACUCUGUUGAAGCUCCAUAACAAGCUGCAAGCUCGGAUUCAUGGGAGAUCGUGGUAAAUUUCGAAAUUUACUGAAAUAUGUGUUUAAUUUGGAAAUGCACGAUUAAAGGGCAUAAAGUGUGUUUUUGUUUCAUCAAUUGGUAUCAGAGCCCAUGGUUAUGCGUUUCCUUGUAAACCAUAGUUGUUUUGUUGAAGAAAUCUCACUCAUGGAAUUUUUUUUAUUAUUUUCGGAUUUUUCGAAUUCUUCGAAUUUGGACAUAUUUCCUCAAACGGUUGUUAAAUAAUGCAUGAGUGAUGAUUUUGGAGCAAAGAUAUAAUUUUUUCGUGUUUUUUGGUGGCCAAAAUCGGGUUGGUAUGGAUGUGGAUGCUGUAAAUGUACUGUACAAUACUGUAGCAACAGCCCGAGGUUGAAGAUGAUGGGACAAUUUCAUUUGGAUCCCUAAAUUUUGUGAAUUAUCACUAUGGCCCAAAAUCUUUGCAAAAUUUUCGAAAUGGUCCUUGACCGAGGGUCAACUUUGUAAAAGAUCAGUUUGAUCCCUUAAAGUUUGGUAAAUUAUAUUAUGACCCAAUAUUUUAUUUUAUUUUAUUUAAAGCUGGGCCAAAAGUUUUAAUAUUUAAAACAGUAAGCAUAAUUCUGAAAAUUCGGUAGUUUAGUCCAAAAUCCUUUAAAUUUUGGCGAUUUUUUCAGAAUUUUAAAUUUAAGAAUAAUCCAUCAUUGUUGAAUUGUAUGGGCAUAAUAUUCAUAUAUUUUAUUGAGGCAUGUAGAUAUUUUAUUUGAUUGAAUAUCUUGGUGGAAACUUUAAUUACGUUUUGACAAAGUUUAUUUAGCCUCAAUUUUGUUAAUAUACGAAAUAUAUAUAUGAUGCAAAACUACAAUUUAGAGUGAUUGUGUAUCUGCUUAUCGUAGGACCAAUCAUGAUAAAUUAUUUGGUGUUUUGCAAUUGGUUGUCCAUUUAUAAUUAUGAAUUAUGGAUUAUGUGAUGGAUUGUUAUUGUUUUGACCAAGAUCCAUACGGGUGAUGAUACUGCCCUGUCGGCAAAUCACUACUUGGUAGGAUGCUUGGGAAGAUAAAGAGGUUUGUUGAGUAUUUUCUACUGAGUGGCUUGAUUACCCUGUCGGUAAUAGGUCAAUGUUGGUGUUAUAUUCAACUUGUCUGCUUUAUCUUUAGGUUAGUGCAUUCCUAUAUUGUUAAAGGAUGCCUAACAUAUUGUGUUGCUAUUGGAGAAACUUAGAAUGAGGAGCAAUUGAUUAUAGCAUGAUUUUAAUUUUUGCAUGCUUGAUAAUUCUUUUGUUAUUGCUUCCUCAGCUCUAGAUAUUCUCUCAUUUCUCCAAGUAGCUUUCCUCAAGAAUUUAACUGGGACAAAUUUUGAGGAAUGACGUGAGUCCAUUUUGUUUUAUUUGUCUACACUGAAUAGAGACUUGGCAUUAAGAGUUGAUGAACCAGCCAAGCCCACAGAUAAGAGCACUGCUGCUGAAAAAGCAGAGUGGGCAGCUUGGGAUGAAUCCAAUAGACACUGUCUGGAUACAAUGAAAUACACCAUUGAUAGAACCACUAGAGAUAGCAUCCCUGCAUGUGAUAAGGCCAAAGAUUACUUGGCAGCUGUGGGAAGAACCUUUAAGAAGGUAGAUAAGGCAGAAAAGGGUAACUAUCUGAGGCUGCUUGCUAAUACCCAGUAUGAUGGUGUUUCUGGGGUCAGAGAACACAUCCUUAAGAUGACUAGUUACCAUAAGAAGCUGAAGGACAUGGAUGUCACUUUGCCUGAUGACUACCUGGUCUUCCAAAUCCUUGAAUCUCUUCCACCACAAUUUGGCAAUUUGAGAAGCCAAUACAAUACUCAGAGAGACACUUGGAAUAUCACUGAGUUGACUGCUUAUGUGGUUCAGGAAGAGGAAUCAUUGAAGAAGGGGAAAUCUCACACUGUCAUGGUGGCAACUACUCAAGAGAGUGGAAGUGUGAAGAAAGGCUCUUCAAAGGGCAGCAAUAAGUUUUUUAAGAAGAAAAAGUUUGGCAAGAAAACUUCACGUGGUAAUUCUUCUACCACUUUUGGUUCCACUGCUGAGAGCUUUAAGGGAAAGUGCCACUUUUGUAAGAAACCUGGGCACAAGAGAGCUGAAUGCAGGGGUUCAAAGCAUGGUUGGAAAAGAAAGGUAUUCAUGUAGCUUUUGUAGGCUUUGAAUCUAAUCUAGUUAAUGUUCCUUCUGAUACUUGGUGGUUGGAUACUGGUGCAACCAUUAAUAUAACGAAUUCCUUACAGGAAUUCAGAAGCAGGAGGGAGCCCAAUGAAGGGGAGUUGAUAGUUCACAUGGGUAAUGGAGUGACAGCCAAAGUUGAAAGCAUAGGAGUUGUCAGACUACAUCUAGCCACAGGCCAUGUUUUGGAUCUAUUAGAUACAGCUUAUAUUCCUUCUAUUAGGAGAAACUUGAUAUCUGUAUCUAUUUUGGAUAGAUGUGGCUAUACUUUUCAUUUUGGUGAUAGAAAAGUUUACUUAUUCCGCAAUUCAGAGUUAGUUGGUUCUGGCACUCUAUAUGAUGGCUUGUAUAUGAUUGAUUUAUUUUCUCGUGCUGUUGAAUCAUCAUCCAAUGCUCAUGUUAUGCAUGUUGUUAGCUCUAAUCGUGUCAGGGUUGAUGAAAAUUCCUCUAUGUUGUGGCAUAAACGGUUAGGUCACAUUUCUAAACAGAGGAUGGAGAGGCUUAUUAAAGAUAACAUUCUACAUAAGUUGGAUUUCUCUGAUUUUGGCACUUGUGUUGAUUGUGUCAAAGGCAAACUUACUGCCAAAACCAGAAAAGAGAGAACUCAGAGGAGUCAACAGGUGCUGGAGUUGGUACAUACAGACAUUUGUGGGCCAUUUACUCCUAUUGCCAUUGGAGGUUAUAAGUACUUCAUCACGUUCAUCGAUGAAUUUUCUCGUUAUGGUCAUGUUGAACUUCUUGCUGAAAAGUCUGAAUCCUUAUCUGUGUUUCAAGCCUUUAAGGCUAAUGUUGAGCUCCAAAAGGGCAAGCAAAUUAAAGCAGUAAGGUCAGACAGAGGUGGUGAGUACUAUGGGCGAUAUGAUGAAACUGGGCGUAAUCCUGGACCUUUUGCUAAAUUUCUUCAGGAAUGUGGAAUAGAAGCCCAGUAUACAAUGCCCGGGACUCCUGAACAGAAUGGAAUUGCAGAAAGGAGAAAUCGUACCCUUCUUGACAUGGUGCGGUGUAUGCUGAGUAACUCCACCUUACCAGAUUUUCUGUGGGGUGAAGCCUUAAGAACUGCAGCUUACAUUUUGAAUCAGGUACCUAGUAAAUCGGUGCUCAAAACUCCUUAUGAGUUGUGGUCAGGAAAGAGACCGAGUCUUCGUCAUUUUCAUGUCUGGGGAUGCAGAGCAGAAGUGAGGCCCUAUAAUCCACAAUCAAGGAAACUUGAUCCGAAAACAAUUAGUGGUCAUUUUAUUGGCUAUUGUAUCGGCUCAAGGGGUUCUAGAUUUUAUUGUCCUUCCCACACUACUAGAAUCAUUGAGUCUGAUCGUGCUAUUUAUUUUGAGGAUGAUCACAAUGGUGGGAGUUCUGAGCCUCGCAGUCUGACAUUGAGAGAAGAACGUGUGGUUUUGCCUAUUCCAUCUUUUCCGACUUCUGCGAUGGGAUUACCACAUAUUGAUGAUUCUUCUGUUGAUCCUGAACUUCAUCAUAAUAUGGAGCCUAUGAUUGUAGAGGAUGAUGGUACUGAUGUGCCAUUGAGGAGAUCAGAGAGGAUCAGGAGACCUGCAAUUUCUGAUGAUUAUGUUGUUUACCUGCAGGAGCAUGAUUUUGAUGCUGACUCUUCAUUUGAUCCUAUUACCUUUCAAGAGGCCAUCAGUUGUUCAGAAUCAUCAUCUUGGAUACAUGCGAUGCAUGAUGAGAUGGCAUCUAUGUAUCAUAAUGGGGUUUGGGAUUUAGUUGAGUUACCAGAUGGAUGCAGACCAAUUGGUUGCAAAUGGGUUUUCAAAACCAAAAGAGAUGCCAGAGGUCAGGUAGAGAGGUAUAAGGCCAGGCUUGUGGCUAAGGGUUUCAGUCAAAGAGAAGGCAUUGAUUACACUGAAACCUACUCUCCUGUUUCUACCAAAGACUCUUUUCGUAUUAUCAUGGCAUUGGUAGCUCAUUUCAAUUUAGAAUUGCAUCAGAUGGAUGUGAAGACAGCUUUUCUUAAUGGGAGCUUGUCUGAAGAUGUAUACAUGGUGCAACCUGAUGGUUUUGUUGAGUCUGGUAGAGAAAACAUGGUGUGUAAGCUUAAAAGGUCCAUUUAUGGACUUAAGCAAGCAUCCAGACAGUGGUAUUUGAAAUUUCACGAUAUUGUCACCUCUUAUGGGUUCCAGGAGAAUGCCGUUGAUCAGUGUAUAUAUUUGAGAGUCAGUGGGAGCAAGUAUAUCAUUUUGGUGCUUUAUGUGGAUGAUAUCUUGCUCGCUGCUAAUGACACUAAUUUGUUACUUGAGACAAAGCAAAUGUUGUCAUGCAGCUUUGAUAUGAAGGAUCUUGGUGAAGCCCAUUAUGUAUUAGGGAUAGAGAUUCUUCGUGAUAGAUCUAGAGGAAUUCUAGGUUUGUCUCAAAAGACUUACAUUGAUCGCAUUUUGAAAAGGUUCAAUUUGCAGUCUUGUGCUCCUGGGAAAGCUCCAAUUUCGAAAGGUGACAAAAUUUCCAAGUCUCAAUGUCCCGAUAAUGAUGUAGACAAAGCUAGAAUGCAAACAGUCCCGUAUGCAUCCGUUGUGGGUAGCUUGAUGUAUGCUCAAGUCUGUACUCGCCCUGAUAUUGCUUUUCCAGUGGGAGUACUUGGAAGAUACCUCAGCAAUCCUGGAUUUGAACACUGGAAGGCUGCAAAGAAAGUACUCAGAUAUUUGCGAGCCACUAAAGAUUUUGUAUUGACAUAUCAGCAAUCUGACUAUUUGAAUAUAGUUGGAUAUUCUGAUGCUGAUUUCGCAAGGUGCUUGGAAGACAAGAAAUCCACAUCUGGUUACAUCUUUAUGAUGGCAGGAGGAGCUAUAUCAUGAAAAAGUGUCAAGCAGACACUUAUAGCUUCUUCAACAAUGGAAGCAGAAUAUGUAGCCUGUUUUGAGGCUACACGUCAUGCUUUAUGGAUGCAGAAUUUUAUCACAGGGCUAGAUUGUAUAUUGGCCAUUCCGAGGCCAUUAAAGAUAUACUGUGAUAAUUCUGCGGCUGUUUCUUUUUCUCACAAUACAGGGAGUUCCUCACGUUCCAAGCACAUUGAUAUUAAAUAUUUGUUUGUGAGAGAGAAAAUUGCUCUAUCUUGUGUAUCAGUAGAGUAUAUCCCUACAGAGCUCAUGUUAGCCGAUCCACUUACUAAAGCUUUAGCUCCAAAAGUAUUUAGGGAGCAUGUAACGCAUAUGGGAUUAUUUGAAUCCACUUAUAUAUGCUGAGUCAGUGGGAGUUCUGGUUUGUAUUAUGAGUUGCAACUUAAAUGAGCUUAUGUAUUACUCAUUUUGUUAUCAUGCAUGCAUGUUGUUAUGUGAUAUUGAUAUGCCAUAUAUUGUGUACACAUUUGGCUGCGUAUGGCAUUAUGUAUAGAAUGAGGAUACGAUGGUCCGAGACAUUUUGCUCAGUCUCAAUAUGGACAUUAAAGACUGAAGCAUUAUGAUUUAGCUUCAGUGUGCUUUCUUGAGACAUUUUGAUUUAGUCUCAUUAUGAUUAAAAAGGAAGCUCGCUUCUCGAGACAUUUUGCUAUAGUCUCAUUAUGGUUAUAAAGAAGCGAUGGUCUAGGAGACAUAUUGUUUUUGUCUCAUUUUGCUAGACAUCUGGACUUUAUGGAAAUGAGCAUGUUGAUCACAUUGUCAUGUUAUUUCCAUAAUUAUACUUGUAUACUACUACAUGGUCACGUGUUUAUAAGUGUCUUGUUAUAUGGAGCAUCCUGUCGGUGCACAUAUGAUUUGAUAUUUAUGGCACAUUUUGGACUUGUUUAUGUUCUGGGUGAUUGCUUGUAUUUGACCUUUUGUUAUAGUCACAUAUUGAUUAAUUCAGUUGUUUUCAAAAUAUUAUUUUAUUUUAAAUUUAUCAUUAGAGUGAUUUCUGUCGUCCAAGUGGGAGAUUGUUAGAUUUAUUUCUCACAUUAUGUGGACUGACAUAAAUCAUUCUAAUUGUUUUCUAUAUUUUACCGAAUUAAUACGUGACUAUAGUCAAAUAUUAUGGAGCAAUUUUGACAUACCCCGUACAGUAGUAUAUUAUGGACAAGUAUAUCCUUAAUUGUGUUAUUUUCGCCCAUAAUGGGAUGGGCAAUUUUGUACUAACACAUGAGGGGUCCCUGCGCUCAACCACUGUAUUUAAGUAACUUCAGCCCAUUGGAAGUUAACUGUUCAAGAAAUCUGUGGCAUGAGUGCAGUGCAUCUCUCUCUCUCCCGUUUGUCUCCCGUGUGUGUGCACAGUACGUUGUUGAGAGAAGCCGUGAUCUUGAGCUAAGGAAACGAAAGCGGAAUUCAGAAGCUAGACAAAAGUAGCAGCAACUCUGUUGAAGCUCCAUAACAAGCUGCAAGCUCGGAUUCAUGGGAGAUCGUGGUAAAUUUCGAAAUUUACUGAAAUAUGUGUUUAAUUUGGAAAUGCACGAUUAAAGGGCAUAAAGUGUGUUUUUGUUUCAUCACUUGGGUCUUCCAUUGACGUAGGAUCUGGGGUGUGAAGUAAAUGGAUCCCACAUUUUUUCACCCCGCAGCACUGGCACUCCAAAGGUGGAAAAACAUUAAAGUGGACUGCCUCAAGAAUGCAAUUGCAUUUCCAAAAACCAUUAAAAUCCUCUUCACAGAACAGAUAGUGCCCCAAAUGUAAGUGAUAUGAUUCUACAUAAUUAACUCUGCUCUGAGAUAAUCGUGUGUCAUGCGUACCACAAUCUUUGGUGGUUUUCACUUUGAGCUCAAAAGAAAAUGAAAACCAUCUGCCACAAUCUACAUGACGGUCUGAAAAUGCUAAAAUAGCACUAAAUGCAAUGCCCUGCACUCUGCUAUUAUUGAAGAAAUCUGGCGGCAUCUCCAAGGUUAUAAAAGAUCCCACACUUUGAAACUCAAACCACUUUGGAAUUUCAUUCCCAGGUAGUACUAUAUGACCUUUGCCCAAGGAAAAACCUCUCUGUACCAAAAAAACAUAAUUUUAAACCCAAAAAAAAAACAAAGAUUGUAGAAAUUGUAAGUAGAGAGAGUUAAAGACACACAUUUAGCCAUAAUUCUUGCCAUAUUUCUUGCAAACGUAGAACUGGCGUAUGAUUCGUAUGCUGAAUUCUCAGGGUAUCUUCAACAAUUCCUGCAGUAGAAUUACCUUCCAAUUUAAAAUUAUUGCUCCGGUCAAAAAAAAUUGCCUGUAAGAUUCAUAACUUAGAGAACAAACCUAAAAAUGGUUGCAGUGCCAAGCAACCUCGUUCAAGGAAUGGAGACUUUUGUACGAAUUGGAACCUCUCACCAUAACUUAAGAGGAGGUAUCCCGACACGAAAAGUUGGAUAAUGCUUUCUGGUAUUCUCUCAAUAUUGGUUUUCGCUAGAUUAAAUGUUAUUGGCGAGGAUAAUUGGCCGAGACAUUCGGGCAAUCUCUGAAGAUUUGAGCAACCACAGAGAUUAAGAACUCCAAGAGAUUUCAAUCUAUAGAGGCUGCUUGGGAGAUUCUUAAGCCUUUUACAAUUUAAAAGGUCUAAGUAUCCGAGCCUAAGUAGACGCUCAAUUGAUGAGGGCAGUUCUUCAAUUGCAGUCCCCCUUAAAAAUAACCAGCUUAUAUUACCUGAUGAGAUCUCUGGAAGCCUUUUCAGUUUUGGGCAGCCCGAAAGAUCAAGUUUGGUAAGAAAUUCCAAGUUAAAUAUUCCAGAUGGAAGACUUUUCAGGCUUUUGCUACCUCUUAGAUUCAAGAUAACCAGCUUGUUCAGACGUGGCAUCAACGUGGGAUUUGGAAUUUUGGCAAUUAGCUUAUGGCAGGCAGCAUGGAUUAUCUGGUUUAACUUACUAUAAUGCUGCUCUGUCAAAAAAGAGGCCAAGACAAAAUCGUUACCACGUAUAAUAAUUUAAUGUUGUUAUUGAGAGAUUGCACAUAUAUAAUAAGAUAUGCAUACCUUCACACAAUCCCAAAGUUGUUCAAUGUCAUUAUCAGGCACUUCAAGUAACAUAAGCUUCUCUGCACUGAGGUUUGAGGGAAAUGACUUCAACGGAUAUCCAUGCCAGUGAAGAUAUUUCACUUCAGCAAAUCCAGGGUCUUGCAAAUAAGACAUCUUACAUUUGUUCUCUCCAUUGAAUAAUGAACUAUAGAACUUUAAAAAUCUCAAUUUAGGCAUCUUUGUGAAAGUAUUGGGAUUUAGACGGAGCUCUUUUACUUUUUACAUAUCCAAACAUAUGCCCUCAAUUUUUUCUGUCCCCUAAAAAUAAAUGAAAAAGCAAUAAAGUUAAAAUCAAAUGAAAGAUAUGUGUAUUCCACCAAUGAAUCGCCCUUCAACAAUACAUAGGGAUAAUUUUUGGGGCAAUUUUCUCACUAAUUCACAAUUAGAGGUAGCUUGUAGUUAUUGCUAGGCAGUUAAACUUUUAAUUGCAAAUGCACAAAGAAACAUAAUAACACAAGUAAUACUUAAUAUAAAAAUUCCGUCUGUGUACUAUACAAAUUGGCAUAUCAAUUAUGCUUGCAAACGAUUAUGCAAGUUGUCAUGGCAUUUAUAAUUUAUUGCUACGUCAUCUAACGGAUAUGGUUUUUUCUAAUCAUUGUCGCUCUUCUAUUAAUUCUAAGACUCAUCAGUUCGAGCAUAUAUAAAUAUAUUCAUAUCAAGUUUGUAAAUGCUAGAAUAUUUCAAAAUAAUUAUCCACAACAAACUGCUUACCGUGUUAUAUGUAAGAACUUCAUAGAUAUCCUCAUGAUGCCACAACCUACUGCGGUUUCCAGGAUUAAUUGAUUCUUGUCGAACAAUUUCCCUACCCAACUCUUGUAGUAAAUCAUGCAUUCUUAUCUUGUUGUAUGAAUCAAUAGCAAUGAGAGAUUUAUCAACAAGAACACUUAUUCCUAUUUCUGGGUAGAAACCGCUUGCAUUAUGGAAUUUCAUUACUAGAUUUACAUCCUCGCCUUGAAAAUUUCUCGUAACCAACGUCAGGAUGGUUUUGUUUGAAGGCAUGUCGACUGAAAAUCUCAAGAGCGUGAUGAUAUUCUAAUGCCUCCAUCUCAUAUAUUUUCCUCACCCCCCAAUUUCUAAGCACUUGUUUAUUUCUGGUGGUUAUUAUGAUUCGACUCACAGGCGUCAACCGAUCAAGGCUUCCAAUUAAAGAUUCUAAUUGGCUGAAGCAAGUCACAUCAUCAAAAACAAUCAAAACCUUCAUGCGGCUGAGCCUUCUAAAAUUGAGGUCAAUAUAAGGCAUCACAUUUUUAUCCUUCAAUAAAUUUGAAAGAAGUUUUUGUCGCAAGCAAGCUAAUCCUCCUGGUCUUUGUGACUCUUCUCUAACAUUUUCGAGGAAGCAAGAACCUUCAAAAUCACCCGAGAUUUUGUCGAAAAUAGCUCUAGCGAUUGCUGUUUUGCCUAUACCACCAAUGCCCCAAAUCCCUAAAGCGUAAACAUCUUUCGACUCAACACCUAAUAGGGAUUCAAUUUCCUCAACUGUUGAUUCCACUCCAACCAGCUGGUUUUUGUUAUCACGCGGCCGAAACACUUCAUCCAAUCUCUUCAAAAUGUGAUUAACAACUUCAUUUAUAAGUUCCGACUCACGCCUAGCAAAUACAUAAAAUUAGCCGCGGUAACUUCAAAUUAAUUAAUAGGAGGAAUUUGCAUUAAAUAUGAAAUAAAGUAGAUUGUCAAUUUUCCUAUUAAAAUUAAUAUAUACCACUAUAAGUCUACAAUCUCACAAUAAAUUGAUAACUCUUAAGUUACAAGAAUAUUCGUGAGUUUUUUUUUUUUUUAAUGGUGAUAUAUAGAAAUGAAAUUGCUUGAAAAACUACAGAGCACCACUAAUUUUGCUAUAUAAAAAUUGUAAAAUUCUCGCGCUUUUAUUAUUAAUUCUGUCAAAAUUAUUUUAUAUGAGCACAAAAGUGGGGAAGUCAGGAAGUCUUGAAUUUGAUGCUUAAAAAUUUUUAAAAUUGUAGUUUAGCAUCCGGAAAUUUAACUAAGAGUGCUGCGUGAAUUUAUUGUUAAAUUUUAGUAUGAGAAAUUUAAUCUUUCUUCAAGCUUCGAAAAUGAAUCUCCAAAACUCCCAGUUUGGUUUCUCACGUCUGAUGGAUCAACCCGAUAGAAAACCGGAAUCACAAUCUGUGCAUACUCCUUGCAGUCGAGGAUCUUUACAAGUUCAUCGAGACACCAUCUGGAAGAUGCAUACCCUUCUGAGAAGACGAUAACUGAAAUGGCUGAUGCUUCAAUUGCAUUCACCAGUGACUCCGAAAUUUCGUCUCCUCUGUUAAGUUGGUCAUCAAUGAAAGUUUGGAUAUUUUGUCGACACAGAGCAGAAUAGAGAUGGCUAGUAAAGUUGUCUCGGGUGUCCUCUCCUCUGAAACUAACAAAAACAUCAUACUUCUUGUUGUUUCGAUAAGAAGAAGCCAUAAUCAACAGAAACAGUUGAAUUGAUUAGAGAGAGAUUUCGAUUCGGAUGAAAACAAUUAUUGAACGAAAUGUGCGUGACUCUAUAGAAUAAAUCGAUGCCAUGAACCUUCCUUCAAGUUCCGUGAUAGUUUUUCAAUUUCAUCUCAUUGUCCAACCACCGUGCACUCCACGAUGAUUGAUUAAUUCCACUGCUUUGUAGACUGUUAACUGAAAAUUCCACACGAACACCAUACUUUUCAACACACGUGCUUCUGUGCUUUAAUUUUUAUCUCUGAAUUUAUCUUAUCCGUCCUCAUCUCUCAAUUAAUUGUAUUUAGUUUCAAAAUUAUUCUUUUUUUUAGUAGCUCUUAUUCAUGUUCCUUAGGGUUGACUGUUAAGCAUAUAAAGUCUAACUUUAAAAAAAAUAUUAAUUAUUUAUUUUUUAUAACUUAUAUAUGAUUUUUAAAUAUUUACAUUUAAAUUAAAAAAGUAUUUUUUUUUGUGACCUUUGUCGAAAUGAGAAAAUGUUUGAAUGGAAAAAAAAUACUAUAUUCUAAGAAUAUUUCUAUUCAAUAUUGUUAUUUCCUAAACUAUAAACGGGUCACAUGUCGCUAAUUGUCAAAGCAAUAGCAAGCUGUUAGCUUAAAGCAAAGCACAUUCAUGCUUCACCCAUGAGAAUACAACCAAUUCUAAUGCAUGUAUUGUGACACACGUGCAAGCUAAAAGGAGGCACAUGUGGUUAAUUGUCAAAGCAAUAGCAAGCUGUUAGCUUAAAGCAAAGCACGUGCGUGCUUCAUCAAUAGGAUCUGUGAGCAAAGCACGUGCGUGCUUCAUCAAUAGGAUCUCUGAGUGGAUUAUUAUUAUUACUAUUAUGUAUUUUACAAAGCAUUUAUGUUUAAUAGUAUGAUUUAGUAAAAUAUUAUGAUUAUAUGUACGUAUAUUAUAUGAUUGACUGAGUCAUGAGAUGUAAUUGACAUGCACCAUAUGUGUACCUUUUCCCAUAGGCUCUACGCAUGCGUAUUGAGAAUUAAAUUACUCGACCCUUGUGAUGUUGUUAAUUCUACCGAGUAUUGAGAGGUUUUUCCCCCUUUUUACUCAUGCGAUGAUGAUCCCAGUGAGUAUUGAGAGUUAUUUCCCCUGUAUAUUAUUUGGUGCAAUUUUGUCAUGUAUGUAUAUACGAGUUCAUGUUUGCUUUUGUAAAGCGUUCAAUGUAAAGUUAUGUCAUACAAUUAUGACGAGCACUAAAGCACUAAUUUAUUUAUAUAUAUAAUUAUAUUCAUUCAUUGAGUCACAAGCUUACUAUUUUCCUAUUUACCCCAUUUCUCUAAGGUUUCCAUAGGAUUUCGUGUAGUUCAAUUUCUGAUAAAUUGAGGUUGGACCACGACACGCAUUACUGCACGACUUACAUUUUGACCACGUUUAUGUUUAUAUGUAUAUUUUCGAAGUGAAUGUAUGUACAAUGAGAUAUGAACUAUGUAAGUUUUUAAUAAAUUUUUGAAUGAGGCACAAAGAUUAUUAUAUGUUUAUAACAAAGGCCAAGGCUAGUGUUAUAUAUUCAUGAAUUAAGUUUAUGUCAUGAGCUUUAGAUAUAAAAUUGCAUGAUUCACCCCAGAUCCAACAGAAGGGUUGACGCGGUUUGUGUCAUGUAUGAUAUGUACAUAUUUAUAUUCAAUAUAACCACCAUUUGAAUAAUAGUUUUUUCAAAUAAGUGCACAUGUGUCGUAGCAUGAUUCACUUGUUGUAUGGCUAACAUGGUACUUCUGAUGUAUUCUAAAAUUUCUUCCUUAGUUAGAGGCAUUUGUUUUAAAAUUUUAUUUAAAAGAAGGUCAUUUUAAAUUUCAAAAUGUAAAGUGUAUUUUCUACAACACUAAAGGAUAAAACGGCCUUCAAUAUAGAUUUCUUAAUAAAUUUUAAGAGAACUAACAGAAAGUGGUUAUUUCAUUCAUGGUUAUUAAAUCAAAAUUUGAAUUAGAUCAUCACUGGUCCAAAAUAAACUAUCGUCAUUUCAAAUUGAAGCAUGAAACCGUGAAUGAAAGCAUCUUUAAAUAAAAGGAUACGUUUUUAUUAUAUAUGACAUUGUUUAAUUAGACAUAUCUUUACAGUCGGACACAUUUUUAGAGCACCAUUUAUAUUGACAAUAUUCCAGCAUAAAAUAUGUCCCUCUCCUUAUACGAGUAUUUUGCAAAUAAUUUGCAAAUAAUACAGAGCCACCACUAGUUCAAAAAUAAUAAAACAAUAACAUUGCUCACUUUCAUUGAUGGUUGGAUUGUUUCUGGGUUAUCCUUGUUUUUUUUUUUUUGUUUUAAUUGCUUUACAUACAUUAUGUGUGUAAUUUUUUAAUGGACAAUCUUCAUUUGAAACAUGAAAAUUUUAAAAAACUUUCCGAUUUGUGCAGGGUAUGAAGCCUCUUAAGUAGGACUUCUUAGGUGCUACUAUUGUGUUCGGCAAAUAUUUUCUUCUUUUAUUUUUCUUUUUUCAGUCACCAUAAUGGGGGUCAUGGUGAAACAACUUACUAAUCACUCUGGACAGGAAUGGGCUUCUAUAAGUAAAGCACACUUAUUUCACUCUUUCCUUAGUAUGGAGCUGCUUACUGUUGGGAUGAAGAUGGUAAUAGCUGCUUUAGAAAUUAGUUUUCUUCAGUAGGAAAAUUCUAAAUGUUGGAAAAUUUAAAGUUGUACUAGAAAACAAGCUGCCUAUUCAACCAAUGGCUAAAUGUAGCAUAGUAGUCUCCUUAGACGAUUAAUUAGAUUGCAUUCCUUUUGAUCUCUCUCUUUUCAUUUUUUCUCCUUUUUGACUUGCACUACUCUGUUCCUUUCCUCAAAAAAAAAAAAAAAAAUUGCACUUCUCUGCUGAUGUCUUCCCAAUAUCCUAUGAUGUACAAAUGCACAAAUACUCUUGUUGUGACGUUAACCAUAUAUGGUUUCUUUUUUAUUUUGGUCCAUUUUCCAAGAAUAGUAAGAAGAAUACUUUAUUUUAAUGAUGCUUCUCUGCUUUCUUAAAUGUAUGCUUGUUCUUGUUCACAUUUUACUGUUCAUCAUAAUUGGUAUGGUCUUUCUUUGGCAUCAUCAAGCCCCAAAUGUGAUGAAACAUUUUGAAUUUCUUAUUGAUCCAGCCUUCACUUUAGUAUAAUGUAUACACCGUACCUGCAGUAAGUAUCAUUGAUAGUUCUGAAUGAGUGCGAAAGCAGACUAGUGUGUAACUUCAUGAUUUAUUUACUGGUUUGCACAUCCAUAUUUCAAAUGGUUUACUGGUCUCUGGCCUAAAGAGAGGGAAAAUGAAAGACUUGUGAGACAAUCCUCAUGGCUUUGUUGACAUCAAUUUGGUGGUUGAUUGAGAAAUGAAUGAUCAUACAUAUACAUAUACAUAUACAUACAUACAUACAUAUAUAUAUAUAUAUAUAUAUAUAUAUAUAUAUAUAUAUAUAUAUAUAUAUAUAUAUAUGAUUUUCAUGGACUAGCAUUUGACAGAUGACUUGAUUAUUAUUUUUUGUCUGUCUGUUUAUUGAUUCUGUUGCUCAGUCAUAGCUAGACAUUGCUCAUUGACCAUUUGUUAGUGACAGGCUCAAAUGAGAUGCUUGAACUUUUGCUUUUAUCUCUUGUACUUACUUGCUUGGAUUUAGUUUGGAAAAGCAAAUCAACUAAGAUUUAGUCAAGUGAGCUUUGCAGCAAGUUGGGAUCCGACCCAAGUCAUAAUCCAAGUCGAGCAGAAUAUCCACAAAAACCAUCAUCUCAUCCAUGAAACAAAAGCAAUUUUGAGAGCCAGCAUUGGGGAAUCCUUUACUAGACAUGAGUUUUGAUAUUUGAUAUUAUGAAAGUCUUUUAUUUGACAUGUAAAGGUAGGGAUUUACUUUGUUUAACCCCUAUUCGUGCUAUAGGUUGACAGUAUUCUAUCACUUAAAUGCACUUUUUCCAAUCAGCCAAUGGCAAGCAAAUUGCUAGAAUUGAAAUGAGGCAUAAGUUAAAUGCUUUCUUGAAAUGUGGUGAAAUAAUUUGUUUAUGGUAUUACCUGUCGUGGCAGAACCAUCCUCCUCAAAUUAUUUAUAAGAAACUCUUUUUACUCUCUAUUAGGGGUGGGAACUAUUUAGUUUGGUUCGGUUCAGCCCUUGAACCGAACCAAACUGAAACCAAAUGGUUCAUGAAUUUAUGAACCAAAUUAUAGAACCGUUCAGUUUGAUUUGAUUUUAUCCUAUAUAUUCGUUAUUUAAUAAAAAAAUAUAAUAUAAUAAUACGCUAUUAAUACAACAAUAAUCUUGAGUCUAUAAAUUAGCAAACAAUAAACAACAUAAUAAAAUCUAAAAAUAGUAAAUUAACAUAAUAAAUUCCAAAAAUAAUCUAGAAAUUCAUAAAUAAUAACCAAUGUAAUAAAAUUUAACAAUAAUAAAUUAAAAUAAUAAAGUUCAACAAUAAAAUAAAGUGUAUGCAAUGACAUAUAUAAUAUCAUGUAUUAACUAACAAACAGAAAUAAAAAAAAAGAUAAAUUCUGAACUAUUUUUUAAUUUUAAUUUUAAUUUUUUCUUGAACCAUUUGGUUCGGUAAUUUGGUUCAGUUUUGAACCGAACCAAAGAAAAAAUCAAAUGGUUCAGAAUUUCUGAACCAUUUAGUUUUUUGCUCCGAACCAAACCGAACCAAAUGCCCACCCCUACUCUGUAUGCUUCUGAACCAUUUAAUUUUUUGCUGCGAACCAAAAUCGAAUUAAAUUAUCAUAAUACGGUUCGGUUCGAUUCGGUUCAGACUGAACCGAACCAAAUGCCCACUCCUACUGGAGUGGGCCUGGGCCUUCAAAAGGAAAGGAAAAGUUGUACCUAAAGUUGUGAAAAGGAAGAAUUUGCAAGUAAAAAAUGAAUAUAUUAUGCAUGGCUACAUAAAUUGGUACAUAUAGCUUUUGCACCUAAUCUGAUUAUCUCGAUUCCUGGACCCAGAACUAAUAGCCUAAUUAUUACACAUGAUAGUUUGCUGCUGCCAUACUACUUACAUGCGAGUGCUGAUUUUUAAACAGAAAUAUUCAACAGAGCACUGACAGAAACAGAGUUAACACCCGAGCCGGGUUACCGUGGUAAUUGAAAACAAUCAAUUAACACGAUAAAUCUGCUGGGUUUGUAGUUAAUUCUGCCAGCGCUCUGUCAGCUCCAGUAUUUGACUUAUUGACCUAUCUGUGGUUGGAAGGAAAAAUGAUUUAAGCAAGCUUUCGAAAAUGUUUUAUCCUUGUUUUAUUUCUGAAUAUCAGCAGUGCAUCAUUUUGAAAAUGUAACUGUGGGGUUUCAGGAUCCUCUUGAGCCAGUUUUGUUGUUCACAAAACCCCUUGUGCCAGAAAAAUUGGAUGCUGUAGGUAUUGUUCCGCCAUCAGAUUCUUCUACGAGGAAUGGCACUAUAGCACAAUGGAGACGUCUCUGUAUCGACUCAAUUCAAACUAAUUGUACAACUUCAUUUCUGAAGGAGUCACCAUUUUUUUUUUCCCAUUAAUCCCAUUUGGAGAAUGUGUACGUCAGGUGUUAAUGCUUAUAACGAAAUGAUGCACUAUGUUUGGUGUUUUUCAAUUUAAAAAUGUGUCUAAUACUGUAUUUUCAGAAUUGGACUAUAAAAAUAGAAAUAAAGAAAACGAUAUAAAAUUAAGUGUUAAGUAAGUAAAAGCACCAGGUCGGCCGUGCUACUAUUUUCGUCCCGACAUGGAUCACCUCAACCAAAUGGUACGAGCAGAACACGAGGACAAAUAUUGUCCGACCAGAGACGAGUACUGACCAGAGGUGUAUGCCGAGCCGAUACCCAUCUCCCGAAAAAGCGAGAACACGAUCCCACAGAAUCACGGCAGUUGCGCUUUUCCCAGAAUCGUUGCGAGAGAUGCGAGAUCCCACGUUUACCCGUAAUGUAGCAGUUAGAGUCCCGUGAGAGGCCACCACCCGAAAAAGGAGGGAUGAAGGCUAAGCGGGAACGUGGGACAACGACUAUAAAAGAAGGAGAAAUCGAUGAAGAAGGGGACAGAAAAAUUGAAAGAGGGAAAACGCUGCCAAAUUAUAACCAGACUAUUUUCUUACAAACUUCGGAUAAAUUAGAAACUAUUCUUGAAUCCAAAUUGCACUGUUUUCCCGUAAACACAUUGAGCUAACUUAGGCAUCGGAGGGUUUACGUCGGCAAAAUCACCGACAUCUUUGAUCCGUUUUUGUGAACGCAGGUCUAGAAAGAGAAAGAAGGGCGAUUCCAACCCCAGUGGUUCGAGCAACAGUUGAUAACACAAACGUUGGUGAAAGAUUCUGGUCGGUAAAAAGGCGAGCAUAUUUUAGCAUCAACAUUUUGGCGCCGUCUGUGGGGAUCUGGAUAAAAAGCUACCACCGAAUCAGUAGUUACCGGAGAAGCAGUGAACGAUUAGACAUGGAUGUGCCAAGGAAGGACGCUUUGAGGGAGGAUAACGAAUCUGGGGAGAUAAUCACUCUUAGGGAAAUUGCAAAUGAAGCCCAGGAGAGGGUAAUGCAAGAUCAAUUAGAGCGGAUGGAGAAACAAAUAGAGACUCUCGCGACCAUACUGUAUGAGUUAAGAGACGAGCGGAGAAGGGAUUGUGAAACCCCCGUGGGGAAAGAUGAUGUCGGAGCAGAACCCAGCCUCCGGAGGCGUAGAGUCGAGGAAGUCCCUCCGCCGGCGGACCAACCUAAUGGGGUGCAUCCCCACAGAAGCACUGGUCGGAUUACAGGAGAACAAGUAGAUGAAGGGAGGAACCAACCUCGCCCCGGGUGGGUAUUGGAAGCUGAUGGCCGAGGGGCCAGUGUUGAUGAAGGAGAGCUCAGAUAGCGGUUGCAGAAUGCCGAGCAGGAGCGAGAUCAGAUAGCUGCGCGUGAUCCUGACCGUGCUGUAGAAUUGGAGGGAGAGGUGCGCAGAUUAGCGCAAGUGAUAGAGGAGAUACAAGGUAAGAGGAAGCCCCCGAGCUGGAGAAUAAUGUUAGAUGAAGAAUCUCCACUAUCAACUGAGAUCAUGGGUACUGUAAUCCCAAGAGAUUUCCGCUUCCCCGACCUCAAAUACUCCGGGCGAAGUGAUCCACUGGUGCAUAUUGAACGUUUCAACGACAUGACGGGUGUUCAGGGGUUAACACCAGCUCAGAGGUGUAGGGCCCGAGAAUGGUACCGCAAGCUGUUACGAGGAAGUAUCAGAGGGUACGAGCAGAUGUGCCAAGAGUUGGCCGAACAGUUCUGAGGAGCGGUGGCCCCAGAGGAUGAUAUGAUGGAACUAAUGGGGAUGAAGCAGGAGGAACAAGAACCCCUUCGAGAUUUUGUAAAGCGAUACCACCGAGCCGUGCUUGAUUUGGGAGCUUUCAAUCACCCGCAAGCGUUGAGGGGAUUAAAGGAGGGUGUGAGGAUAGGCCGGCUAUGGUAUAACCUGAGAAGCCCCCUGGUACAGAAUUAUUCAUCGGGGUAUGAGCAGGCAAAGAGAGACAUUGAAAUCGAAGAAGAAAAAUCGGCAAGGAUAAAGAGUGAACAACUGGAGGAACUGAGACGAAAGGAAAGGAGAACCCCAAAUGGGAGCGGGUCGGGAAAGCGAGCUGGGGAGUCUUCAAUGAUGGGUGCAGUAUCCGCUCGAUCUCGCCCUUAUCCUAUGGCUCAGAGACCGCAGCAGGUCCAACACAAUCGGGCUCAGCCCCCGCGCCCCCAUUCCUGGAGCGGCAAUGAGAAUUCCGGCAGUUGGCUAACCAUCCUUAUCACAACGCUCCCAGAGCACUACAUACAGCCAACCCCAGAACGGGACGAUCAGGUCAGCUACCUUCAAUAUCCGCUCGGGACGAUACUCAUGAUAGACGAGCAGUGCAGCUGAUUGACCAGAACCCAGCGUACAGACAAUACACCCCGCUAAAAGUCCCUAUGGAGGAGUUGUAUGAGAGAAUCGAGGGACGAGGCCUGUUGUACCCUCCAGCCCCUAUAACAAAACCUACUCACCGACGGGAUAAGAGCAGAUUCUGCAAAUUCCACGACACUCACGGUCACACCAUCAGCCAAUGUCGUGACUUAAAGAUUCAGGUGGAAGAUUUGGUAAGAAACCGUUAUUUGGAUGAAUAUGUAGAUGGGGUCUCCCGUCAUUGAAUCACAGUACACGCGGGAUGAAGGAGGUGAGAGGGGCCUGGAACGUGAACAGCCAACUAUCCGUGUGAUAGCAGGAGGGCCAACCCUGGCUGGGGAUUCGAACAGGGCACAGAAGAACUAUGGGAAAUACGCCAUGACUAGCAAAGAAGUUCUUUUCAAUUUGCCAGCAGCCAAGAAGGCAAAAUUGCGGCAAGUUCCCAUUAUGUGAACAGAUGACGAUGAAGAGGGUAUCUUAUAUCCUCAUGAGGAUGCACUAGUGAUUAAGGCAAUGGUGGCUGGUACAGAACUGCGACGAAUACUGGUAGACACGGGCAGCUCGGUUGACAUCUUGUUUAAGUCGGCCCUAGAUGAUAUGGGAAUUGCAGACUUAAAAUUGGAACGGACAAAUACAUCUUUAAAGGGAUUUGGAGGGGGACGGCUAACUCCCAUGGGAAUCAUCGAACUCCCAAUUACUAUGGGGACAAAGCCGUUUGAAAGAACGAUGAUGCUAGAUUUUGUCGUGGUAGAGGAGAGAAGCCUUUACCAGAUGAUACUGGGGAGACCGUUCAUAAGGAUAAGCCAAUGCGUUGUAUCUACGCAUUAUCUAGCACUGAAAUACAGAGUAAACGGAGUGGUUGGCGUAGUAAAAGGCGACCAGAGGAUGGCAAGGAGUUGUUAUGCUACAGCGGCCAAGGAGACAGUGCAGGUUACUUCUUUAGAUAAUCGAGGAGAAUCUAAAAAGGGCCGCCAAGAGCCUGUUGAGAAACUGGAAGAAGUUGCGGUAAGCAAAAGCAACCCGAGCAGAGUGGUGAAGAUCGGAUCAGGGUUGGUUGGGGCAGUAAAAGGUGAGCUGGUAAAUUGCCUACAGUCUCAUGCAGAUAUAUUCGCCUGGUCUCACGAGGAUAUGCCAGGAAUUGAUCGCGGGGUAGCUUGCCACAAGUUGGCAAUCAAUAAGGGGGCGAGGCCGGUGAGACAGAAGAGGAGAUGUUUUAACCAGGAAAGGUAUGAGGUCAUAAACGCCGAGGUGGAGAAGCUGUUGAAAGCAGAGUUUAUAAGGGAGGCCAAGUACCCGGAGUGGAUUUCCAAUGUAGUGCUGGUAAAGAAGGCCAACGGGAAAUGGAGAAUGUGUGUGGAUUUCACAGAUCUUAAUAAGGCAUGCCCGAAGGACAGUUUUCCCCUACCAAAGAUAGACCAGUUGGUGGACUCAAUAGCGGGUCACAAUCUGCUCAGCUUCAUGGAUGCCUUUUCAGGAUACAACCAGAUUCCCAUGGACGAGCAGGAUGAGGAAAACACCACCUUUAUAACUAACAUGGGUUUGUUUUGCUACAGGGUGAUGCCUUUUGGCCUGAAAAAUGCAGGAGCUACCUAUCAAAGGUUGGUGAACAAGAUCUUCAAGCCCUUGAUCGGUCAUACUAUGGAAGUAUAUGUGGACGAUAUGAUCACAAAGUCCAGAGAACCGAGGGAUCAUGUGAGACACUUGGAAGAAACCUUUGAAUUGCUGAGGAAGUAUGAAAUGAAGCUAAACCCGGAGAAAUGUGCAUUUGGGGUCAGCUCGGGUAAAUUUUUGGGAUUCCUAGUAAGCCACCGAGAGACCGAGGCCAACCCGGAGAAAAUACGGGUAGUAACAGAAAUGAGAUCCCCCCGAACAGUUAAGGAGGUGCAGAGCCUUACAGGGAAAAUGGCAGCAGUGAACCGAUUCAUCUCGCGGGCCACGGAUAAAUGCCACCCUUUCUUCUGAACCAUAAAAAAGGGAGGAAGAUGGAGUGGACAUCAGAAUGUGAGGAGGCGUUUGGGCAGCUGAAGGAGUAUCUGGCCCAUGCCCCGUUACUAUCAACCCCGAGGGAAGGUGACCAGCUGUUUUUGUACUUGGCAAUAUCAAAAUGGGCUACCAGCUCGGUGUUAGUCCGAGAAGAAGAAGGGAAGCAACACCCCGUGUAUUACACUAGUAAAGCCCUGGUAGAUGUAGAAACUAGGUAUCCCUUGAUGGAGAAAUGGGCACUGGCCUUAAUAACAGCAGCACAGAAACUGCGACCAUAUUUUCAGGCCCACCCGAUAAUUGUGAUGACUGACCAGCCUCUUCGGCAAAUGCUCCAAAAACCAGAUGCAUCAGGGCGGUUAGUAAAGUGGUCCGUGGAACUGAGCGAAUUCGAUCUAUCCUACAAGCCCCGAGGAGCAAUCAAGGCCCAAGCCUUGGCUGAUUUUAUGGUUGAUUGUGUGGAACCAGGGGAAGAGGUCCAAGAGGAACAGCUAGCAGAGCAGAAGGAUAGAAAGGGGGUAUGGCUGGUAAUGGUUGAUGGGUCACGGGGUGAACAUAGAUCCGGGGCAGGAGUUAUAAUACGAAGCCCAGGAGGUGUCGAGGUAUCCUAUGCUGUAAAGUUCGAGUUCCAGCUUACGAACAACCAAGCUGAAUAUGAGGCCUUCAUUAUUGGGCUCGGGCUUGCACAUGCACUACGGGCAGAAACAGUAGAAAUCCGAGCAGAUUCCCAGCUAGUAUGUAACCAGCUCAGCAAUCAAUUCCAAGUAAGGGAAGAGAAAUUGGGACUUUAUCUGAAGAAGGCGAAGCAAAUGGUUGAACUCUUUAAAGAGGUAGAGGUGAAGCAGAUAUCCCGGAACGAAAAUUACCGAGCUGAUAUGUUGGCUAGAAUGGCUGCAACGGCAGAUCUGAAAUUACCUAAGUCGGUCUCACUAGAGGUAAGGACAUUGCCAAGUAUAGGGGAGGAAGUAGAAGUGAUGAGAGUAAACACUGAAGAAUCCUGGAUGGACCUGAUUCGCGCAUAUGUCCACGAUGGAGUUUUACUAGAGGACAAAAGGCAAGCAAGGAAAUUAAAAUGCCGAGCAGCGAGAUACACGCUACUAGAUGGAGUGCUGUACCGCCGGGGGUUCACCUUGCCCCUUUUGAGAUGUUUGGAUGAGGAGGAGGCAGAUUAUGUACUGAGGGAGAUUCAUGAAGGAAUAUGUGGCAAUCACUCGGGAGCAAGAACUUUAGCCUUCAAGGUACUCCGGCAAGGAUACUUCUGGCCGACCAUGCACCAGGAUGCAAAAAGGAUGGCAAAGAACUGUAAAACCUGCCAAAGCUUCUCUGAGAUUCCUGCACAACCCCCAGAAAAGUUGACCACUAUGGCAUUCCCGUGGCCUUUCGCUCAAUGGGGAAUCGACUUGAUUGGUCCGUUACCUAAGGGCUGAGGAGCGGCGACACAUGCAAUUGUGGCAGUAGACUACUUCACCAAGUGGGUAGAGGUGGGAGUCCUCAGCCAAAUCACGGAGAGAAAGACAACGGAUUUUAUUUGGAAGAAUAUCAUCUGCAGAUACGGGAUCCCCUAUGCCAUCAUUACAGACAAUGAGAGGCAAUUUGACAACAGCAACUUCAGGAAAUUUUGCCGAAAUUUGGGGGUGGACCUGAAGUUCUGCACCCCCACACACCCCCAGGCAAACAGACAAGUGGAAGCAGCCAACAAAGUGAUAAAGAAGCUUCUGAAAACUAGAUUGGGAGAGAAGAAGGGAGCUUGGGUUGACGAACUACCAGGAGUAUUAUGGGCCUACCGAAUAACUCAUAAAACCGCCACAGGGGAAACCCCGUUCGCUUUAGCUUUUGGACAUGAGGCGGUAGUCCCGGCAGAAAUUGGAGUGGGGACACAUCGAAUGGAAUAUUUCACUGGGGAACAAAACGACGAGCAGAUCUGCUUAAACUUGGACCUACUGGAGGAGAAAAGGGAAGGGGCUUCGCGGAAAGUGGCCCAGUGUCAGCAAAGGGUCACGCGUUAUUACAACAAGAACGUACGCGUGAGGCAGUUCCGAACAGGAGAUCGGGUGCUCAGGAAGGUGAACCAAAACACCAGGGAUCCCAAUCAUGGAGCUCUCGGUCCGAAAUGGGAAGGCCCGUACAGGGUGAUACGAGCAACUGGACCAGGAGCUUACAAGCUAGCGUACCCAGACGGACGAGAUGUGAAGAGGUCAUGGAACGCCGAGCACUUAAAGAAGUAUUUCCAGUAAGCAAAGUGCUCUGCUAAAUCCUCAUUUUGAUAAGUUAUCUUUGUUAACUGCAUGAUGGCUUAUUACGCAUGUAUAUAUUCUGUAUUUUUGUAAUACAUUCAAAUUCCAAUAAAGAUGAAUUCAGCAUGAAACCCUUCUGUUAGCAAGCCCAUUAAAACUUCUACCAAGGCAAGUAAGUGCCUGCUUCUGCUCGGUCAACGAAAGACUAGCAGCUAAAUUUACGAAACUUCUACCAAGGCAAGUAAGUGCCUGCUUCUGCUCGUUCAACGAAAGACCAGCAGCUAAAUUUACGAAACUUCUACCAAGGCAAGUAAGUGCCUAGUACUGCUCGGUCAACGAAAGACCAGCAGCUAAAUUUAUGAAACUUCUACCAAGACAAGUAAGUGUCUGCUUCUGCUCGGUCAACGAAAGACCAGCAGCUAAAUUUACGAAACUUCUACCAAGGCAAGUAAGUGCCUAGUUCUGCUCGGUCAACGAAAGACCAGCAGCUAAAUUUACGAAACUUCUACCAAGGCAAGUAAGUGCCUGCUUCUACUCGGUCAACGAAAGACCAGCAGCUAAAUUUACAAAACCUCUACCAAGGCAAGUAAGUGCCUGCUUCUGCUCGGUCAACGAAAGACCAGCAGCUAAAUCUACGAAAAUUCUACUAAGGCAAGUAAGUGCCUGCUUCUGCUCGGUCUACGAAAGACCAGCAGCUAAUCCUACGAGAAUUCUGCUAGGGCAAAUAAGUGCCUAGUUCUGCUCGGUCAACGAAGACUAGCAACCAAUUUUAUGAAAAUUUUACUAAGGCAAGUAAAUGCAUACUCCUGCUCGGUCCACUAAGGAACCAGCAGACAAAAUCAGAUAAGUUAUCCAAUUAUUUUGCAGAAACAAUCUAUGAGCAAAAACCAGACAAGAAAGCCAAUAGAGAACAUCUAAAAAUUUAUAAAUGUUCAAUUGUUUACAAAACAAAUGCAAAUCUAGAGUUUAUACAAAAAUAGACUUAAAGAUUAGCAGGGUCAUCGACUCCAGCAGCUGAAGGAUCAGCAAUCUCAGGAGGUAGGAGAUCGGCAAUACCGGAAGGAGGAGGCACGGACCCUUGACCCACUUCGAAAGCACGGCCCCCGGCUUCCCCCUCCUGCACCCCAUCCAAAGGAGCCUCCACCUGAUCCUGCUCGCCCUGCUCCUUAUCUGCCUGGCCGGUCUCCGCCAUAUACCGUUGCACUCCAGCCUCCAGCUUACUCAUGUCCAGCUCGGGAUAUUCUUCCUUAAGCACAGACAUGAUACACUUAUAGGAGAAAGCAACCCCAGAGUCAUACUCGGCAUCCAGCCGAUCGUCCACAUCAGCGGAUUUACCUUUCUCCUCAGCUAGCUGCUCAUUCAGGGAUUUGAUUUCUCCCUCAAGGGCGGUCCUCAGAGUAUCUCUUUCACUUUGAGUUACCUGAAGGUCAGACUUCAGGCUACCCAACUCACCCUCAAAUUUGGAGGCAGUGGACUCAGCAAUUGCAACUUUCUCCUCCAGCUCCGUAAUCUGCUUGUUCAGCUCGGCCAGCUUCUCCUUGGAGCGAUCAGCAGAUUCAGCCCUCUUCUUCAACUCCUGAUUGUCAGCUUGAAGCUUCCUCUCAUGGCUUGUGGACCCGUUCUUGUAACACGAAACCAUAGUGGCCAGCCUGAAGGAAACCCUUUGAACAGAAGCAGCUAACUCGGAGAGGUUCAUACUCUCGAUGUCCUUCACCAUCUUGGGCCCCACCGAUUUCUUGUAAUCCUUCUGAUACGGGCUCAGGUAGUCACCUUGAUCCCGAGAUGGAAGAUGAGAAGAUCGGUCCCCAGACUGCAAGCUGACCUCAGGACUCUUGUCGGAAAUUUUCUCCCCACCACUCUUACGAGGUGGAGGAGGGGGCAGAGCAGGAACAGGAGCCUUGGAAGGACCGACGCUGAUUUUCUUCGGAGGAGGAGGAGGGUUGCUGGAGCUACUCGGAGCCCGACCAUGCUUUCUGCUCAUCGCGCUGAGGAUCUUGUUAUCCAUCCCAGAGGCAAUAUCUACUAAGCCCGAACCGACCAAGUUUGUUGGUGACAGGAGGUCUUGGCAAGUAGACGCGUUCACCAGAGCUGUUUCCACCUGAAGCAAAGGUCGGUCUUUGAGAUCCUUAACCAAACCCCACGAUUCUGAAAAAACAAACAAGGUUAAAGAACCCAAUAAGUGGCAAUUCGAGAAAGAAUAUAGGCAAAAAAUGAACGACCUGGGGUGACAAAUUGCGUUGGAAGGUAAAUAUCACCACCCAACGAACAGACUACUGAACACCAAUUUGCCUCAGCAAAGAAGAAUUUGUUCUUCCAAUUUUUGCACGAGGAGGGGAAACCGGUGAUUGGCUUUCUCUUCGCAGAACUGGAUAUGAAGUAGUACCAGCCCGCCUCCCUUGGGCUGCUCCGCAGCUGAUACAAAUGCUUCACUUCAACAAGGGAAGGCUCCUCCGACCCGCACCUCUCCCACAACACAAACAUAACCGAGAGAACCCUCCACCCGUUUGGGUGUAGCUGACCUGGGGCCAAGUGCAUACCCCCCAAAAUCUUGGCAAAAUAACGCUGAAGAGGUAGUCGAGCUCCUAGUUUGAAACUCUCCAGGUGCAUCGUCACGUACCCCCAUGGAGGCCGACUAGGAACAUCACCUUUCCCAGGAACCACAAGGAGAACCUCCUCAGGAAUGUCGUAGAGGUUCCUAAGCUUGAAUAGAUCAGUUUGGGUGGUGGCACAGGCUAUGUGAUCGAUAGGGUAAGAAUCCGCCUCCACCCUAUGCCCAAGGUUUCAUUUUUUAGGAGGUCGGCUCGGCUCGGAGCUGCUUCCCUCACCAUCACCCACUUCUUCAGGGACCUCAACCCCACCAGAACUGUGGUUCUCACCAGAGCCCGACGCAGGUCCCUCUCUAUUUCUUACAAGCUCUAAUUCAGGGGAAGGUGAAAUGGUCAAGGGACGUGGGUACUCAAGGGUAUCCCUACUAUAGGAGAAGCCUACACUACAAGAGGGAUGCAAAAAACCAGUGGGUAUUGACAAGUUAAGGCGUGAAUCCCCUGAUUCUUCGUCACCCUCAUCUGCAAUCAACUUCCUUCUCCGAUUUGACAUAUCAGAGCCCCAAAAGGAAACCAAAACAAACCCAAGUACACGAAUACAAAAAGGGACAACACAGAACCCAAUCAACAACAGCCAAAGAAGAGGUUAAAGGCUAUACCUGGAAUAGACUGACACUGAUAGCGCUGCCGUGACAGAGAAAACACCCAGCAAAUGGAUACUCCGGACGCUGGAAGUGUGAGCAAAGUUCAGAGAAGGAUUUGGUUAACGGCGGAGAAACGAAUAACAAAAUGAGGAUGACUUUAGUCUAGGGAUUUGAAACGAAAAGGGGGAAACGGAAGCGUUUAAGUGAUGGGAUAUGCCAGCUCACUCACCAUAUAUCGAGGAUGGAUAGCCCGUCAUUUCAAAUUUCAAAUACGAAGAGUCGGGAAGCGCCACGUCACUAACCGUUACAAGAGGCUAGGCUAGAUGCAAGCCCAGAUAUGCAAUGUACAUGCUCAUUAAGGCCCAUGCUCGGGUCGGAAUCUCCCCAGAAGAAAAGUGGUACCUCAGGUCCUUCCCGGUACAACAGAAGACCAGAUGAGAAGCCCCGGGCUGGUCAGAUUCGACCAUCAGUUUCUACUCUUAACUCAUUUCACUCGCAAGACCAGAAACUGGGGGACUGGUGUUAAGUAAGUAAAAGCACCAGGUCGGUCGUGCUACUAUUUCCGCCCCGGCAUGGAUCACCUCAACCAAAUGGUACGAGCAGAACACGGGGACAAAUAUGGUCCGACCAGAGACGAGUACCGACCAGAGGUGUAUGCCGAGCCGAUACCCGUCUCCCGAAAAAGCGGGAACACGAUCUCACAGAAUCACGGCAGUUGCGCUUUUCCUAGAACCGUUGCGAGAGAUGCGAGAUCCCACGUUUACCCGUAAUGUAGCAGUUAGAGUCCCGUGAGAGGCCACCACCCGAAAAAGGAGGGAUGAAAGCUAAGCGGGAACGUGGGACAACGACUAUAAAAGAAGGAGAAAUCGAUGAAGAAGGGGACAGAAAAAUUGAAAGAGGGAAAACGCUGCCAAAUUAUAACCUGGCUAUUUUCUUACAAACUUCGGAUAAAUUAGAAACUAUUCUUGAAUCCAAAUUGCACUGUUUUCCCGUAAACACCUUGAGCUAACUUAGGCAUCGGAGGGUUUGCGCCGGCAAAACCACCGGCGUCUUUGAUCCGUUUUUGUGAACGCAGGUCUAGAAAGAGAAAGGAGGGCGAUUCCAACCCUAGUGGUACGAGCAACAGUUGAUAACACAAACGUUGGUGAAAGAUUCUGGUCGGUAAAAAGGCGAGUAUAUUUUAGCAUCAACAUUAAGGUAAUAUAGGACGAAAAAGUAUGGACAAGGAAGCAGUAAUAUUUGGUGUUUUUCAUUUUUUUCAAUAAAAAAAUGAAAACAAAAUUUUCAAUAUCUAUUCAUCAUUUUUUGGGAAAAAACAAAAAAAAGCUUAAAGAAUAAAUGAAAGGGUGUUUGUUAAAACAAAAAUGUGAUUGGUGUUUGAAUAAUGACUCUCUCGGUCAGGCAAAAUAAUCACAUAAUCAUUUUUUUGAAACACAAACCCUUUUGGUUAAGAAAUAAUCACACAAAUCCUAAUGUUUUAUCUGAAAGAGAAUUUGUGUAUCUCAAAAGAGACAUGUGUGACCUUUUCUAAAAACAAAAUAUCUUUCUAGUUAUUUUGCCAAAUCACGUGGUGCCUUUAGAAAUAAGAUAGAUUUUAAUUUGCCCCCAAUUCAGAAAGAAAAUCUUUAAUUUAUCACCUAAAAAUAUAAAAAUAUCAAUUUACCCCAUUUAUUGUUAAGAAGAUUAAAAAAAAAAAAACCAUCAACACAUUCCUUAUUUGCCCCUAAUAUUUUGGACGGAAAUGAAGAAUAAAUUGAGGUUUACAUUGAGAGCAAAUUAGAGAUUAUCAUUUUAUUUGGGGAUGAAUUAAAAUUUAUUCGUAGGAAUAAAAAAUUCAAGAGAAAUACAUCGAAAAAGGUAAUAGUUUUCACUUUUUAUGGAGUAUUUGAGUAAGGGUAUUUGCACCCCACUAUUUUUAUAAAUCCACCCUACUUCUAGAAACUAAUUGCAAUGAAUUUACAAUAUUUUUAAAAAAAUACAAAUUAAUAAAAAUUUGUAUAAUUAAUCAUUAAAAUCCUUCUAUUGAUUUUCUUCUUGGGUUCUUUGACCAUCUUUAAUCAUAAACUUUAAUACAAGUUUUAUUUUAGUAUUUUAUUAUUAUGAUAUAUAGCAACUAAAUUACCAUAAUAAACACGAGUUAUUGUAUCUACUAAUUUAUGUAUCUAAUUUUGUGGCUUAUAAUAUAAUAUUUUAAAAUAAAAUCUAAUUGUGAUUUUCUCUACUUUAGUGUGUAAAUAACAUAAAAUUGACAUCCCAAUAAUUUACAUGAGUAUCAUGCCCUAAAGAUACUAUUUUAGUUUAAUUAAAGAUUAAAACUCAUACUAGUAAAGUAGUAUUAGAAACAAUGAGUUUGGAAUAAAAUUAGAAAAAUAUUGAAAUUAAAGUAAAUUCUUAAUAGUUUUACCUUAUAAGAGUAAAAUAAUCAAUUUAAACUUAUGACAAAACAAUCUUUGUAGCUAAUUAUAAUAAAAUAAUCUAAAUCACAAGAAAGUAAACUAAAAUAAAUCUAGUUAAUUAACUCUACAAAGUUAUUCUUUGUUUGAAAAUUUUAAAACAUAGCAUGUAUGUUUUAUAAUUAUUUUUUAGACGAAGUAUUAUCAUUUUGAUUUUUGAGGAAUAUCAGUAAAAUUUUCAUAAAAUAGUGGAAUAAGCCCAAUAAAUAAAUAAGUACAUAAAAAGUUUUUGUCAUAGCCACAGUCUCAUAGAGGUGGAAGCAGGGGAGGAGCAGGCCAAGCCAGGCCACAGAAAAUAUUCAAUUGAAAAAGCAAGAAAAGAAUGAGCGUGUGGAUGGUAAGGGCUCGGGCUCCCUCUUUCAUUAUUCCAAUAACAACGCUCAGGAUUGGAAAUGGAAAUGGAGAUGUAAAAGGCCUGCGCUUGCCCCUAUUGAGCAAUAAGAGUUGGCAGUUUCAGUUGCAGUUGGAGUUGCAGCAGAGGAAUAAGGAGAAGAAGAAGAGACAAAAUGUUACCAUCAGUUAUACUAACAGUAGCAGUGGAGGGGAUUCUGCUUCUGCUGCACUGGAACUGGAGGUUAAUGAGAUAAGGGAGAGUUGCAAAAUGUGGAAAUGGAAGGGUCAGUACUCCAUCAAUUACUUGGUUUCUUCAACUCCAAAUUCACAUCCCAAUUCUCCUCCUCUACUCCUUGUCCAUGGCUUUGGUGCCUCCAUUCCUCACUGGCGCAGGUUAGCGAGAUAAGAUUGCUCUUUCUUGUUGUGAAUUGUCUAGAGGGUUGAUUAUUGGGUGCACAAAAAUGUAGCUCCUUUAUUGUGAAUUCAAUUCAAAUUAUGUUCUGGGUAUUUUCGACUGUAAUUUUUUUUUUUUUGUAUGGAGCAUGUCUUUACCUUAUGUAUGUAAUAUCUCUGACUCUGUUAUGUAUUAUGAACUCCAGGGAUGGAUUUAUAUGUGUUAUACUUCUAAUAAUUAAUUAAGAUGAAUGAAGCAAAAGAACAAUGAAAGUAAAAUCUAUUCAUUAUUUCACGGUGCAUUGGCAUUAACACUUAGUUCUAUUCCUUGCACCUAGAUGAUGACAAACCAGUGAUCUGAAUUUCAGGGUUCCAUUUCAUAUUACCCUUUUAUGGGUAUAGGCUUCUUCCAUUUUCCAAUUCUUAAUCUAGUGAAAAAGUAUUCAUUUUACCGCUCCGUAGAAGAGGGGAAUGAAAAUUUGUGUGUUCACUACUCCUUUAUCCUAUUAAAUAAUGUGAGGAAUUGAUAUUUUUCUUGUCAUCUCUGAGGUAAUUCCAGGAAUAUCGGCACCCUGGAGAAGAGCUACACGGUUUAUGCAAUUGACCUUCUUGGAUUUGGUGCUUCAUAUAAGCCAGCUGGUUAUUCAUAUACCAUGGAGGCAUGGGCUCAGGUGUGCAAUGUUCCCUAGCCAGAAGUUGGAUCUUUCUCUGUACUUAUGUCAUCAAUCACUUGACCUUUAGUUAUUUUCCUUGCUAACUUGAGUGAGAUUCACUGAUACAGCUAAUAUUGGAUUUCUUGGAUGAAAUUGUUCAGAAGCCAACUGUGCUUAUAGGUAAUUCUGUUGGAAGCCUAGCUUGUGUUAUCGCUGCCUCAGGUAUAUUUAUUUUAACUUCCCCUUGGACAUCAGAUAUUCUUCAACUUGCUUGCAAAGAAACACUUGUCCCUAAUUAUCCUUUUUGGUAUCUAUGGUUUACGAUAAACCUGCUAUAUUUUCUACCAUAAGAAUCUAGUCAAACCCUUGUUCGAGGGCUUGUUCUGUUGAAUUGUGCUGGUGGCAUGAACAAGGCAAUUGUUGAUGAUUGGAGAAUCAAGCUAUUGUUACCAUUGCUUUGGUUCAUUGAUUUUUUGUUGAAGCAAAGGCCAAUUGCUUCUGCUAUAUUUGAGCGUGUGAAACAAAGGUAUUUUCUCUUUUCUUUAUUCAGUCCAUUGUUCAUUAUCCUAAAACACUAGAGUCAAAAUUAAAAAAAUCUAUGAUGUGUAUAUAUUGGUGCUUCAGGGAAACACUGAGGAAUAUUUUACUGUCGAUCUAUGCAAAUAAGGAAUCUGUGGAUGAAACACUGGUUGAGGUAUUAAUAUUCUCCACUUAUAUGUCAUUUUAACCUGUUACAAAAAUGGCUACUCAGAAUUCAUGAAUCAACCUCAAAACUGCAGAUCAUACGAGAGCCUGCCAAUGUGGAAGGGGCACUUGAUGCAUUUGUUUCGAUUGUAACCGGCCCACCAGGGCCGAACCCAGUUCAAUUGAUGCCAUCAAUCUCUAUACCUCUACUAGUUUUAUGGGGUGAUGAGGAUCCAUUCACACCCCUCGAUGGACCUGUUGGUAAAUACUUCUCAUCUCUGCCUUCUAAACUCUCAAACGUGAAGUUAAUUGUAUUGAAAGGAGUAGGACAUUGCCCCCAUGACGACAGGCCUGAAUUGGUCCACGAAAAGCUGCUUCCUUGGUUGGCUGAAACAUUUAAUUUCUGAGGAAUUUACUUUCUCAUCAGCAAGUUUUAACGAGCAUUAUAUAUUAUUCCUAUUGUAAAAAGACAAAACAACUCUUGUAUUUAUGUUGUAUAUAUCAAUUCUUAUUCAACCGCUUGGUUAUCUUUUGGCGCCGAAAGGAAUGUUGGAGAAACUGAUCUCUGACAUGUUGUAGAAGCUCCAAAUUGAUUCAAGAAAUAUAUCAAAUUAUUCAAUAAAAAAUCAAAUUCAGCACAAUAAUAAAGAAUAAUGAUUUAGUAAUCCAUAUUGCUCAUGUCAAUGAUAUGUGAAUGAUAGGAUCCAAUUUUAUACAUGAAAAAGAUACAAUAAUCUAAAUCGAAAUAUAAGUUCACAGGCAUCUUCAAUCCUUUCCUUACAAGUCAUUUUUGUAAAUAUAAAUUCUAACCAUAGACGAUACCACAUCAACUAUGGAACCAAGUGCAUCAUUCCAAAUAUGGAAUUGGUAGAGAUACUUGAAAAAGUGCAUACAUGUUUAAGCAAAUGGAUUCACAACUCAGGUGAGUUGAGUGAAAAUGACACCUAUCUCAGUCUUCUUCGUUACAGUUGAAACAUGUGCUUGGGUCUUCCAUUGACGUAGGAUCUGGUGUGAAGUAAAUGGAUCCCACAUUUUUUCACCCCGCAGCACUGGCACUCCAAAGGUGGAAAAACAUUAAAGUGGACUGCCUCAAGAAUGCAAUUGCAUUUCCAAAAACCAUUAAAAUCCUCUUCACAGAACAGAUAGUGCCCCAAAUGUAAGUGAUAUGAUUCUACAUAAUUAACUCUGCUCUGAGAUAAUCGUGUGUCAUGCGUACCACAAUCUUUGGUGGUUUUCACUUUGAGCUCAAAAGAAAAUGAAAACCAUCUGCCACAAUCUACAUGACGGUCUGAAAAUGCUAAAAUAGCACUAAAUGCAAUGCCCUGCACUCUGCUAUUAUUGAAGAAAUCUGGCGGCAUCUCCAAGGUUAUAAAAGAUCCCACACUUUGAAACUCAAACCACUUUGGAAUUUCAUUCCCAGGUAGUACUAUAUGACCUUUGCCCAAGGAAAAACCUCUCUGUACCAAAAAAACAUAAUUUUAAACCCAAAAAAAAACAAAGAUUGUAGAAAUUGCAUGUAAGUAGAGAGAGUUAAAGACACACAUUUUGCCAUACUUCUUGCCAUAUUUCUUGCAAACGUAGAACUGGCGUAUGAUUCGUAUGCUGAAUUCUCAGGGUAUCUUCAACAAUUCCUGCAGUAGAAUUACCUUCCAAUUUAAAAUUAUUGCUCCGGUCAAAAAAAAUUGCCUGUAAGAUUCAUAACUUAGAGAACAAACCUAAAAAUGGUUGCAGUGCCAAGCAACCUCGUUCAAGGAAUGGAGACUUUUGUACGAAUUGGAACCUCUCACCAUAACUUAAGAGGAGGUAUCCCGACACGAAAAGUUGGAUAAUGCUUUCUGGUAUUCUCUCAAUAUUGGUUUUCGCUAGAUUAAAUGUUAUUGGCGAGGAUAAUUGGCCAAGACAUUCGGGCAAUCUCUGAAGAUUUGAGCAACCACAGAGAUUAAGAACUCCAAGAGAUUUCAAUCUAUAGAGGCUGCUUGGGAGAUUCUUAAGCCUUUUACAAUUUGAAAGGUCUAAGUAUCCGAGCCUAAGUAGACGCUCAAUUGAUGAGGGCAGUUCUUCAAUUGCAGUCCCCCUUAAAAAUAACCAGCUUAUAUUACCUGAUGAGAUCUCUGGAAGCCUUUUCAGUUUUGGGCAGCCCGAAAGAUCAAGUUUGGUAAGAAAUUCCAAGUUAAAUAUUCCAGAUGGAAGACUUUUCAGGCUUUUGCUACCUCUUAGAUUCAAGAUAACCAGCUUGUUCAGACGUGGCAUCAACGUGGGAUUUGGAAUUUUGGCAAUUAGCUUAUGGCAGGCAGCAUGGAUUAUCUGGUUUAACUUACUAUAAUGCUGCUCGGUCAAAAAAGAGGCCAAGACAAAAUCGUUACCACGUAUAAUAAUUUAAUGUUGUUAUUGAGAGAUUGCACAUAUAUAAUAAGAUAUGCAUACCUUCACACAAUCCCAAAGUUGUUCAAUGUCAUUAUCAGGCACUUCAAGGAACAUAAGCUUCUCUGCACUGAGGUUUGAGGGAAAUGACUUCAACGGAUAUCCAUGCCAGUGAAGAUAUUUCACUUCAGCAAAUCCAGGGUCUUGCAAAUAAGACAUCUUACAUUUGUUCUCUCCAUUGAAUAAUGAACUAUAGAACUUUAAAAAUCUCAAUUUAGGCAUCUUUGUGAAAGUAUUGGGAUUUAGACGGAGCUCUUUUACUUUUGACAUAUCCAAACAUAUGCCCUCAAUUUUUUCUGUCCCCUAAAAAUAAAUGAAAAAGCAAUAAAGUUACAAUCAAAUGAAAGAUAUGUGUAUUCCACCAAUGAAUCGCCCUUCAACAAUACAUAGGGAUAAUUUUUGGGGCAAUUUUCUCACUAAUUCACAAUUAGAGGUAGCUUGUAGUUAUUGCUAGGCAGUUAAACUUUUAAUUGCAAAUGCACAAAGAAACAUAACAACACAAGUAAUACUUAAUAUAAAAAUUCCGUCUGUGUACUAUACAAAUUGGCAUAUCAAUUAUGCUUGCAAACGAUUAUGCAAGUUGUCAUGGCAUUUAUAAUUUAUUGCUACGUCAUCUAACGGAUAUGGUUUUUUCUAAUCAUUGUCGCUCUUCUAUUAAUUCUAAGACUCAUCAGUUCGAGCAUAGAUAAAUAUAUUCAUAUCAAGUUUGUAAAUGCUAGAAUAUUUCAAAAUAAUUAUCCACAACAAACUGCUUACCGUGUUAUAUGUAAGAACUUCAUAGAUAUCCUCAUGAUGCCACAACCUACUGCGGUUUCCAGGAUUAAUUGAUUCUUGUCGAACAAUUUCCCUACCCAACUCUUGUAGUAAAUCAUGCAUUCUUAUCUUGUUGUAUGAAUCAAUAGCAAUGAGAGAUUUAUCAACAAGAACACUUAUUCCUAUUUCUGGGUAGAAACCGCUUGCAUUAUGGAAUUUCAUUACUAGAUUUACAUCCUCGCCUUGAAAGAAACAAGCAACAUCAAGGAAAAUAUUUUUCUCCUUAUCAUCCAAACUAUUGUAACUUAUUUUUAAUACCUCUAGGAUACUUGGAUGGAGGAUUCUUUGCAAUUUAUUUAUUGCACUUUCCCAGACUUCCUUUUCUCUUUCAUAUAGAAAGCAACCCAAAACUUUAAGAGCUAAGGGAACACCUUGAGCAUAUUUCAUUACCUUGCUUGAAAAUUUCUCGUAACCAACUUCAGGAUGGUUUUGUUUGAAGGCAUGUCGACUGAAAAGCUCAAGAGCGUGAUGAUAUUCUAAUGCCUCCAUCACAUAUAUUUUACUCACCCCCCAAUUUCUAAGCACUUGUUUAUUUCUGGUGGUUAUUAUGAUUCGACUCACAGGCGUCAACCAAUCAAGACUUCCAAUUAUAGAUUCUAAUUGGCUGAAGCAAGUCACAUCAUCAAAAACAAUCAGAACCUUCAUGCGGCUGAGCCUUCUAAAAUUAAGACCAAUAUCAAGACUCACAUUUUUAUCUUUCAAUAAAUUUGAAAGAAGUUUUUGUCGCAAGCAAGCUAAUCCUCCCGGUUUUUGUGACUCUUCUCUAACAUUUUCAAGGAAGCAAGAACCUUCAAAAUCGCUAGAGAUUUUGUCGAAAGUAGCUCUAGCGAUUGUUGUUUUGCCUAUACCACCAAUGCCCCAAAUCCCUAAAGCGUAAACAUCUUUCGACUGAACACCUAGUAGAGAUUCAAUUUCCUCAACUCUUGAUUCUACUCCAACCAGCUGGUUUUGUUAUCAUUCCGCCGAAAAACUUGAUCCAGCAGUCUCUUUAAAAUGUGAUUAACAACUUCGUUUAUAAGUUCCGAUUCAGGCCUACCAAAUACAUAAAAUUAGCAGCAGUAACUUCAAAUAGAAGGGACCGGAUUUGCAUAAAAUAUGAAAUAAAGGAGAUUGCUAGUUUUCCAAUUGAAAUUAAUAUACCACUUUUUUUUUCAUAAGGAUAAUAUUGCAAAGUGAUGGUACAGGAGAGUUAUUAAAUAUUAUAAAAAUAGUCAAAAUAAGUGGUAUAUAUUGAUUUGAGUAAGGAAAUUUCCAAUCUCCCUAUAAAUUAAUAACUCUUUAAUUACAGGAAUAUGUUAUAUGUGGAAGAGAUUUUUUUUUUCCUAGUGGUAUAUGAGUAAGAGAUUGAAAUUGAUUAAAAAACGACAGAACACCAUUAAUUUUGUUAAAAUAUAUUGUAAACCUCUGGAGCUUUUAUUAGUAAUUCUGCAAAAAAUCUUUUAUAGGAGUUCAAAAGUGGGGAAGUUCAAGAAGUCUAGAAUUUGAUGCAUGAAAAAAUUUAAAAGUGUAGUUUAUCAUCUGGAAAUUUAACUAAGAGUGCUACGUGAAUUUUAUUUACAGUGUUGAAUAUGAGUAUGCGAAAUUAAAGUAACUUUUCACCUGAUGUUAAGAGAAUUAAAGCCAGACAAAGUGACUGCCUCCCUCAAAGCAUUCCUCCAAGUCAGCAGCUUCUUUGAAUUCUCCUUAAAUCUUUCUUCAAGCUUCGAAAAUGAAUCCCCAAAACUCCCAGUUUGGUUUCUCACGUCUGAUGGAUCAACCCGAUAGAAAACCGGAAUCACAAUCUGUGCAUACUCUUUCUUGCACUCGAGGAUCUUGACAAGUUCAUCGAGACACCAUCUGGAAGAUGCAUACCCUUCUGAGAAGACGAUAACUGAAACGGCUGAUGCUUCAAUUGCAUUCACAAGUGACUCCGAAAUUUCGUCUCCUCUGUUAAGUUGGUCAUCAAUGAAAGUUUGGAUAUUUUGUCGACACAGAGCAGAAUAGAGAUGGCUAGUAAAGUUGUCUCGGGUGUCCUCUCCUCUGAAACUAAGAAAAAGAUCAUCCUUCUUGUUGUUUCCAUAAGAAGAAGCCAUAAUCAACAGAAACAGUUGAAUUGAUUAGGGAGAGAUUUUGAUUCAGAUGAAAACAAUUAUUGAACCAAAUGUGCGCGACUCUGUACAAUAAAUCGAUGCCAUGAGCCUUCCUUCAAGUUCCGUGAUAGUUUUCAAUUUCAUCUCAUUGUCCAAGCACCGUGCACUCCACGAUGAUUGAUUAAUUCCACUGCUUUGUAGACUUUUAGCUGAAAAUUCCACACGAACACCAUACUUUUCAACACACGUGCUUCUGUGCUUUAAUACUCAUAACUGCCAGCAAUAAGUAGGGUAAUAUUUUAAUUUUUAUCUCUGAAUUUAUCUUUUCGGUCCUCAUCUCUCAAUUAAUUGUAUUUAGUUUCAAAAUUGUUCUUUUUUUUUUUUGUUUUAGUAGCUCUUAUUCAUGUUCCUUAGGGUUGAUUGUUAAGCAUAUAAAGUCUAACUUUUAAAAAAAAAUUAGUUAUUUAUUUUUUAUAACUUAUAUAUGAUUUUUAAAUAUUUAUAUUUAAAUUAAAAAAGUAAUUUUUUUUUGUGACCUUUGCCUAAAUGAAAAAUGUAUGAAUGGAAAAUAAAUAGUAUAUUCAAAGAUUAUUUCUAUUCAAUAUUGUUAUUUCCUAAACUAUAAACGGGUCACAUGUGGCUAAUUGUCAAAGCAAUAGCAAGCUGUUAGCUUAAAGCAAAGCACAUUCAUGCUUCACCCAUGAGAAUACAACCAAUUCUAAUGCAUGUAUUGUGACACACGUGCAAGCUAAAAGGAGGCACAUGUGGUUAAUUGUCAAAGCAAUAGCAAGCUGUUAGCUUAAAGCAAAGCAUGUGCGAAGCAUGUGCGUGCUUCAUCAAUAGAAUAUGUGAGUGGAUUAUUAUUAUUACUAUUAUGUAUUUUACAAAAUAUUUAUGUUUGAUAGUAUGAUUUAGUAUAAUGUUAUGAUUAAAUGUACGUACAUUAUAUGAUUGACUGAGUCAUAAGAUGUAAUUGACAGGCACCAUAUGUGUACAUUUCUCCAUAGGCUCUACGCAUGCGUAUUGAGAGUUAAAUUACUCGACCCUUGUGAUGUUGUUAAUUCUACUGAGUAUUGAGAGGUUUUUCCCCCUUUUUACUCGUGCGAUGAUGAUCCCAGUAAGUAUUGAGAGUUAUUUUCCAUGUAUAUUAUUUGGUGCAAUUUUGUCAUGUGUGUAUAUACGAGUUCAUGUUUGCUUUUGUAAAGCGUUCAGUGUAAAGUUAUGUCAUACAAUUAUGACGAGCACUAAAGCACUAAUUUAUUUUUAUAUAUAAUUAUAUUCAUUCAUUGAGCCGCAAGCUUAAUAUUUUCCUAUUUACCCCAUUUCUCUAAGGUUUCCAUAGGAUUUCGUGUAGUUCAAUUUCUAAUCAAUUGAGGUUGGGCCACGACACACAUUACUGCACGACUUACAUUUUGACCACGUUUAUGUUUAUAUGUAUAUUUUUGAAGUGUAUGUAUGUACAGUGAGAUAUGAACUAUGUAAGUUUUUAAUAAAAUUUUGAAUGAGGCACAUAGAUUAUUAUCUGUUUAUAACAAAGGGCAAGGCUAGUGUUAUAUAUUCCUGAAUUAAGUUUAUGUCAUGAGCUUUAGAUAUAAAAUUGCAUGAUUCACCCCAAAUCCAACAGAAGGGUUGAGGCAGUUUGUGUCAUGUAUGAUAUGUACAUAUUUAUAUUCAAUAUAACCACCAUUUGAAUGAUAGUUUUUUAAAAUCAAUGCACAUGUUUCGUAGCAUGAUUCACUUGUUGUAUGCCUACACAUGGUACUUUUGAUGUAUUCUAAAAUUUCUUCUUUAGUUAGAGGCAUUUGUUUUAAAAUUUUAUUUAAAAGAAGGUCAUUUUAAAUUUUAAAAUGUGAAGUGUAUUUUCUACAUCACUAAAGGAUGAAAUAGCCUUCAAUAUAGAUUUCUUAAUAAAUUUUAAGAGAACUAACAGAAAGUGGUUAUCUCAUUCAUGGUUAUUAAAUCAAAAUUUGAAUUAGAUCAUCACUGGUCCAAAAUAAACUAUCGUCAUUUCAAAUUGAAGCAUGAAACCGUGAAUGGAUGCAUCUUUAAAUAAAAGGAUACAUUUUUAUUACAUAUGUCACUGUUUAAUUAGACAUAUCUUUACAGUCGGACACAUUUUUAGAGCACCAUUUAUAUUGAAAAUAUUCCAGCAUAAAAUAUGUCCCUCUCCUUAUACAAGUAUUUUGCAAAUAAUACAGAGCCACCACGAGUUCAAAAAUAAUAAAACAAUAACAUUGCUCACUUGCUCGACUGGGCUGGAUUGGGCUGAUUGGGCUGGGCCUGCCAUAAGAAUGUGUAAGUACGAAGCUUUGCUUUCAUCAUCGCAUACACGGUGAGGGAAAUUGAAAUUGAUGAGGGCGCUGGCCGCUCAAUUCCUGCUUCGGAUUCCCCAACUCGGAAUAUAAUCUAUACCGUCGUACAAGCAUCGUCGGGACUUAGAAGAAUUACUUAGAAUUGACCGACGAUGAGCUGUUUCGCGAAUGCGAAAUGGACGCGUACAAAUCGUCGGGACCAGGCGGUCAGCACCGCAAUAAGCGCGAAUCCGCCGUACGUCUCAAGCACGUACCUACCGGCGUCAUAGCGCAUGCCGCCGAAGACCGAUCGCAGCACAAGAAUCGCGCGUCAGCUUUGUAGCGCCUCCGCACUCUUUUGGCCCUCAAAGUGUGGCCGUCAGUGCUUGAUGGCUUAUUUUUAAGUAGCUUUAAAGCAUAUUUGGCUCUUUGUUUAUGAAUAAUGUUCAAUAGCAACCUGCUCCAUUGAUAAGAGAAAUGUAUGAUAUAAUUUUUCAAGAUACCUACCUGCAUUAUGAAUUGUUAUUGGAAGGAAGUACGACAAUAAAUUAAGAGCAAAGACUGAUUUAAAGAUGUAUCUUCAUUAUUACAUGAAAUGUAUGUUCUGCUUCUCAUUCACUUUACCAGAAUUACAAAAGUUUUAUGUUAUUGAUGGUUGGAUUGUUUCUGGGUUAUCCUUGUUAUUAUUUUUUUUGUUUUAAUUGCUUUAGAUACAUUUGAAACAUGAAAAUUUUAAAAAACUUUCCGAUUUGUGCAGGGUAUGAAGCCUCUUAAGUAGGACUUCUUUGGUGCUACUAUUGUGUUCGGCAAAUAUUUUCUUCUUUUAUUUUUCUUUUUUCAGUCACCAUAAUGGGGGUCAUGGUGAAACAACUUACUAAUCACUCUGGACAGGAAUGGGCUUCUAUAAGUAAAGCACACUUAUUUCACUCUUUCCUUAGUACUCACCUAAAGGGGUUAUGGUUGCGACAUGCCUGGAUGGAAACAACCAAUUGUAUCCGUUAGCCAUUGAGGUUAUGGAUUCGGAAAACAAUGAUGCUUAGGAAUGGUUUAUGACGAAAUUACAUGGAGUAAUUGGUGAUACGCCGGAGUUGGUAUUUAUCUCAGACCGAUGCACCGCGAUCAAGAGAGCCGUUUUAAAAGUAUUUCGCUCAGCUGCCCAUGGCAUUUGUUUUUACCAUGUCAAAGACAAUGUUAAGUCAAAAUUCAAGAUGUCGAACUUUAGGUACAACUUUUCCUUUCCUUUUGAAGGCCCACUCCACUGGCAUAGAGAGUAAAAAGAGUUUCUUAUAAAUAAUUUUAGGAGGAUGCUUCUGCCACGACAAGUAAUACCAUAAACAAAUGAUUUCACCACAUUUCAAGAAAGCAUUUAACUUAUGCCUCAUUUUCAUUCUAGCAAUUUGCUUGCCAUUGGCUGAUUGGAAAAAGUGCAUUUAAGUGAUAGAUUACUGUCAACCUAUAGCACGAAUAGGGGUUAAACAAAGUAAAUCCCUAUCUUUACAUGUCAAAUAACAGACUUUCAUAAUAUCAAAUAUCAAAACUCAUGUCUAGUAAAGGAUUCCCCAAUGCUGGCUCUCAAAAUUGCUUUUGUUUCAUGGAUGAGAUGAUCGUUUUUGUGGAUAUUCUGCUCAACUUGGAUUAUGACUUGACUAAAUCUUAGUUGAUUUGCUUUUCCAAACUAAAUCCAAGCAAGUAAGUACAAGAGAUAAAAGCAAAAGUUCAAACAUCUCAUUUGAGCCUGUCACUAACAAAUGGUCAACGAGCAAUGUCUAGCUAUGACUGAGCAACAGAAUCAAUAAACAGACAGACAAAAAAUAAUAAUCAAGUCAUCUGUCAAAUGCUAGUCCAUGAAAAUCAUAUAUAUAUAUAUAUAUAUAUAUAUAUAUAUGUAUGUAUAUGUAUAUGUAUAUGUAUAUGUAUAUGUAUAUGUAUGAUCAUUCAUUUCUCAAUCAACCACCAAAUUGAUGUCAACCAAGCCAGGAGGAUUGUCUCACAAGUCUUUCAAUUUCCCUCUCUUUAGGCCAGAGACCAGUAAACCAUUUGAAAUAUGGAUGUGCAAACCAGUAAAUAAAUCAUGAAGUUACACACUAGUCUGCUUUCGCACUCAUUCAGAACUAUCAAUGAUACUUACUGCAGCGCAGGUACGGUGUAUACAUUAUACUAAAGUGAAGGCUGGAUCAAUAAGAAAUUCAAAAUGUUUCAUCACAUUUGGGGCUUGAUGAUGCCAAAAAAAGACCAUACCAAUUAUGAUGAACAGUAAAAUGUGAACAAGAACAAGCAUACAUUUAAGAAAGCAGAGAAGCAUCAUUAAAAUAAAGUAUUCUUCUUACUAUUCUAUGUUGUUGGAAAAUGGACCAAAAUAAAAAAGAAACCAUGUAUGGUUAACGUCACAACAAGAGUAUUUGUGCAUUUGUACAUCAUAGGAUAUUGGGAAGACAUCAGUAGGGAAGUGCAAAUUUUUUUUUUUUUUUUUGAGGAAAGGAUCAGAGAAGUGCAAGUCAAAAAGGAGAAAAAAUGAAAACAGAGAGAUCAAAAGGAAUGCGAUCUAAUUAAUCGUCUAAGGAGACUACUAUGCUACAUUUAGCCAUUGGUUGAAUAGGCAGCUUGUUUUCUAGUACAACUUUAAAUUUUCCAAGAUUUAGAAUUUUCCUACUGAAGAAAACUAAUUUCUCAAGCUUCUAUUACCAUCUUCAUCCCAACGGUAAGCAGCUCCAUCCACAGCAAUCACUGGCCUCAUGCACUGCAUGAAACCCUUGAUAGAAGAGCCAAUAGCUACAAAAUAGUAUAAGAAAUUAUCAUUUCCAUCUCGCUGCAGGUGAGUAACUGUACCUUCAUUUGCUUUGGUCAAAACAUGAGAGUAUUUAGAAAGUAAGUUAUAUGACUCUGCAGGGUUGCCUCUAACUAUUUCAAGGCCAACUUCUUUGGCCCGAUAUGCUUGCUGAUAUGUUAAUUGGACACCGUAUUCAUGUUGGAUGUCUGCUCUGAUAUCAUUUGGAGUAUAUAUUCGUUUUUCUUGGAUGAACUUGUCCGCAAUAAUAUGACCAACAACCCGACUCCUUACUUGACGAACACCACCAGCCAAUACCUCAUUACAACAAGUGUGUACGUUGUCAACUCUUCUCACUAACCACGGAACAUUCUGCAUAUAGCCUAAUUAUUACACAUGAUAUUUUGCUGCUGCCAUACUACUUACAUGCGAGUGCUGAUUUUUAAACAGAAAUAUUAAACAGAGCACUGACAGAAACAGAGUUAACACCCGACCGGGUUACCGUGUUAAUUGAAAACAAUUAAUUAACAGGACAAAAACACGAUAAAUCUGGUGGUUUUGUAGUUAAUUCUGCCUGCCCUCUGUCAAUUUCUUUAGUAUUUUUCCUCAUAUAUUUGACAUAUUGACCUAUCUGUGGCUGGAAAGAAAAAUGAUUUAAGUAAACUUUCCAAAAUGUUUUAUCAUUAUUUUAUUUCUGAAUAUCAGCAGUGCAUCAUUUUGAAAAUGUAACUGUGGGGUUUCAGGAUCCUCUCGAGCCAGUUUUGUUGUUCACAAAACCCCUUGUGCCAGAAAAAUUGGACGCUGCAGGUAUUGUUCCGCCGUCAGAUUCUUCUACGAGGAAUGGCACUAUAGCACGAACUCACAAAUUUCAUGGAAGAAUUGGCCGAGGGGGGCGGAUAGUAUUUGAUAGAUGUAAUCCUCUUAUGCACUCCUCAACUGAUAGUGGCACGUCUUUUUACUUGCCACCAAAACCCCGCACAUCUAUGUACAGUUAAAUUGAAUACUCGUUUUGUUUAAGCUCCAGCAUUAUUCGUUAGGGAGCCAAGUGUAAUUAUGCUCCGGCUGAUAUUUAUGUAGUUAAAUUGAAUACUUCCAUUGUCCCAGCUCCAGCAAUUAUUUGUUUGGGAAGUCAAGUGUAAUUAUGCCGAGGGCAAGCAAAAUACUAGGCUUGAUGAAUCUUUUCAGGCUUGGUCACAGGUAUUUCAUGACGUGCAUCUUGCCUUAUUCUUUUUAAAGAAAUGACCUUGCCCUUAUUUUCCUUUCAAGUUUAAACUUAAUGAGCUUUUAUUACAUCCUUUAUUGUUGAAAUGCUUGUGCUAAUCAUAGUAUUUUCAAAAUUUUCAGCCCAGUUGAUUAUAAAUUUUGUGUGAAUGUUACAAGAUAAAACUUACCUUUAAAAUGUUAACGAACCUGUAGGAUUGGACUUCUCUUUAAGACCUUGAAUUAAGUGGAGGGUGUUUCGGGGUUAAUAAACCAGGAACUAUGCAUAUACUUGGCCAAUAAGGAAUCCUACUAGUACAGAAUAAGGUUGUACAAGACAGUUAAAUAGAUGACGCAAUGGAGACGUCUCUGUAUCGACUCAAUUCAAACUAAUUGUACAACUUCAUUUCUGAAGGAGUCACCAUUUUUAGUCCCAUUUGGAGAAUGUGUACGUCUGGUGUUAAUGCUUAUAAUGAAAAUGAUGCACUAUGAUGCACUCAGGUUCUUUGUCCUCUCUUCUCUUCUGGUUACUCCAACACUCUUUCUUGACGUGCCCUUUCUUGCCACAGUUGUAGCAUUUAACAUUCUUCUUACUUCUGGAUUUUGAUCUACCCUGAUUUUGACUCCCACUGGGGCCACGUUCCGUUGAUCUCCCUCUCGUCACCGAUAGCGCUUCUGCUUGCUGCGAACUUGCUUGUCUAUUUUCCUUAUUUUUCCGCCUGCUCUCCUCAUUUAAUACGGAGGCUGCAACAUCGUCGAAAACUAGACUCUCCACUGGAUUGUUGUUCGUCAAGUUGAUGAUGAGUUGAUCAUACGAAUCUGGUAGACUUUGAAGUAGAAGCUCUGCACGUUCAUUUUCCUCUAUAUUAUGACCCAACGUUGUGAGUUGUGAAAAUAGAGUCUUCAAGGUGUUGAUGUGGUCGGUCACCAUUGUAGAUUCCGCCAUUCGAAGAGUAUAAAGUCUCCUCUUUAAGAAGAUUUUAUUGUGUAGUGACUUGGCCUCGUACAAUUUUGUAAGAGUAUCCCAUAUUUCCUUCGCUGUGUUUUUCUCUGCCACACUAGAUAAUACUCCAUCUGCAAGUGCCAAGUGUAGAUCAGAAAUGGCGUUGCCGUCUACCUCGUUCCACUUGUCAUCAGUUAUCUCCAUGGGCCUUUCUCCAAUUGUUGCCAAGCAAUUAUUUUUCCUCAAUACAGCUUUCAUCUUCAUUUUCCACAACGAAAAAUUAUUUCCGUUAAAUUUCUCAAUUUCAUACUUUGCCGCCAUUUUGUUGAUAAAUACUGCACACAAGCUAGUAUACCACCUUGAAUAGUUGUGAGUAUGUGUGAGAAUGCACACCAGGAAAGUUCCCAGGAAAGACUGGAGGGGUCACAAUGGUCCCACUUAAAACCCAGACUCCUUAAGCUCUUAUCGCCUUUGUGACAGAACUUUCCUAGACAUGUACAGAACCACACAGUUGCUUUACUCACACCAUUAUUCCCUGCUUUGCACCGCAAAAUUCUUGGAUUGCUUCCACCGUUUCACGUGAAUAGUACCGUAUACGUGAAUAGUGAUGUAUACCGUAUACGUGAAUAGUAUCGUAUACUGUAUACGUAAAUAGUGCCGUAUGCCGUAUACGUGAAUAGUGCCGUACGCCGUAUACGUGAAUAGUGUCGUAUGCCGUAUAUGUGAAUAGUGCCGUAAACCGUAUACGUGAAUAGUGUCGUAUGCCGUAUACGUGAAUAGUGCCAUACGCCGUAUACGUGAAUACGUGAACAAUUCCUGACUCCAAAAAUACAACCAAUGGCUCUGAUACCACUGUUAGGAAAUUGGUGGGUGAAGCAGACACGCAGCUAAAGUAAAAUUGGUAGAAAAAUAAAGAACGAGCACAAUAGAGGACACCAGAAAAUUACGUGGUUCGGCUUUUAGCCUAUGUCCACGGGCGAAGACAGAAGGAAAUAUUUUACUAGUGAAAAGGAGUUACAAGUAUUGUAGUAUUUUAGCUCACUUCCCAAAACCCCAAUACACCCAAACUCUCUCAAUCACUGUAACAAGAGCUUAUAAAUGCAAGCUCUCUAAAUUCUCUCUCAACUUCCUAAAUUGCUCUCUGAAAUGGAAUUAAAAGUACUCUUCAUCUGUACUUCUAUUUAUAGCAAACUAGUGGCCAAGAAAAUCAAAGCCGUGUUCACCAAAUUCUUCAUCAAAAACCGUGUGCAGCAAAUUCAAUCUUCAAACUUUGAACAACUUGUUGUUGACCAUCUAGAUGGCUGCUUCAAACCAUCUAGAUGGCUGGCUGCUUUUGACAUAUGUUUGGUGUUUUUCAAUUUAAAAUUGUGUCUAAUAGUGUAUUUUCAGAAUUGGACUAUAAAAAUAGAAAUAGAGAAAAUGAUAUAAAAUUAAGGUAAUAUAGGACGAAAAAGUAUGGACAAGGAAGCAGUAAUAUUUGGUGUUUUUCAUUUUUUUCAAUAAAAAAAUGAAAACAAAAUUUUCAAUAUCUAUUCAUCAUUUUUUGGGAAAAAAAAAAGAAGCUUAAAGAAUAAAUGAAAGGGCGUUUUAAAACAAAAAUGUGAUUGGUGUUUGAAUAAUGACCCUCUCGGUUAGGCAAAACAGUCACAUAAUCAUUUUUUUUUAAAACACAAACCUUUUGGUUCAGAAAUAAUCACACAAAUCUCAAUCUUUUAGCUAAAAAAGAGUUUGUGUAUCUCAAAAGAGACAUGUGUGACAUUUUCUAAAAACAAAAUAUCUUUAUAGUUAUUUUGCCAAAUCACGUGGUGCCUUUAGAAAUAGGAUAGAUUUUAAUUUGCCCCCAAUUUAAAAUGAAAAUCUUUAAUUUAUCACCCAAAAGUAUAAAAAUAUCAAGUUACCCCAUUUAUUGUUAAGAGGAUUAAAACAAAAAAACCAUCAACACAUUCCUUAUUUGCCCCUCAUCUUUUGGACGGAAAUGAAGAAUAAAUUGAGGUUUACAUUGAGAGCAAAUUAGAGAUUAUCAUUUUAUUUGGGAAUGAAUUAAACUUUAUCCUUAGAAAUAAAAAAUUCAAGAGAAGUACAUCAAAAAAGGUAAUAUAGUUUUCACUUUUUAUGGAGUAUUUGGGUAAGGGUAUUUGCACCCCACUAUUUUUGUAAAUCCACCCUACUUCUAGAAACUAAUUGCAAUGAAUUCACAAUAUUUUUUUAAAAAAUACAAAUUAAUAAAAAUUUUGUAUAGUUAAUCAGUUAAAUCCUUCUAUUAAUUUUUUUCUUGGGUUUUUUGACCAUCUUUAAUCAUAAAAUUUUAAUACAAGUUUUAUUUUAGUAUUUUAUUAUUAUGAUAUAUAGCGACUAAAUUACCAUAAUAAACAUGAGUUAUUUUAAAAUAAAAUGUUGGAGAAAUAUUCAAGGGUAAUAAUAAUUGUGGAAAGAGUGGGACUAUUAGCAGCCCUCUAUAUACCUCUUGAGCCCUGCUUGGAUAGUUACAAUUAUAGAUUAAAUUAAAAUUAUGAUAAUGGACAAACAAGUAGAUAGUCUGAUUGGAUGUGGAAUGAUUUCAUUUGAAUUUCUCUAAAGUUUAAACCAACUUACAUUUUUUCCACAUUGAAAGAGGAAUAGGUGGAAAGGUUAAAAUUGUAAAAGAAUAUUAUAACAGUUUCGAAGAAGAAAUCUUUAUGACGCAUUUUUAACUUGGUGAAAAUUUUCAAUCCCAAGAACUUUAAGCAUACGAAAGAGUGGAUUCUCUCAUUUCCGCCAUUUGUGAGGAUGAUAGUAACGAAGAGAGAACUCACAGAUUUAGUAGUGACGAAGCGAGCAACAGCAGCAGGAGAGAGAUAACAGCAGCACGGAGGAAGAUCAACAGCAGUGAAAGAGACAGAGCAGCAGCACCAGAGUGGUGAAGAAGAGAGAAUAGCAACACGUGCCAAAGAUGGAGAAAAAGAGCGAUUAGAUCUAUGAUAAGGGAGAGUGAAUGGGAAGAUCGCGAUAAGAUUUUAGGCGAGAGAAAUAGCGGUCACGGAUAAGCCUUGGAUUCUCUAUUUUUUGAUUUAUUUUAGCUUUAUAUUUGUAAUUCAUUGAGAAUAAGUUAUACACGUUCUCAAAUUUAUAACUAUAAAAGAAGAUAUGAAUUAUUUGUUUUACAAUUUGUUUUUUGAAUUUCGGCCAUCAAUCGCGCAUUAACUUAGAUUUAUAAAAGGAAAAUGAAAACAGGGCCCAUAAAUAUUACCGAACAUGCCCUAAUAUUCUCCACUAAUGUGCCAUUUUAACCUCCUACAAAAGAGCUCCCAACGGCGUGGUUGGGUUAGUUGCAGUGAAGUUAUAUCCUCUACCAAAACUCGGGUUCGAUUUUUGGGGUUGGUAAGGAGGGUAAAAAUUGUAUUUGGGCUUGCCCACCCCCCGUACCUUUAAAAAAAGUUUAAAAAAAAAAACCUCUUACAAAAGCGGCUACUCAGAAUUCAUAAUUGACCUCAGAACUGCAGAUCAUACGAGAACCCACCAAUAAUGAAUAGGCGCUUAAUGCAUUUGUUUCGAUUGUGAUAGGCCUACUAGGGCCGAACCUAGUGCAAUCGAUGCCAAAAAAUGUCUAUAUAUACCUAUACUAGUUUUAUGGGGUGUUGAGGAUCCAUUCACCCUCUUUGAUGGACCUGCUGGUUAAUACUCCUCAUUUCUACCUUCUUAACUCUCAAAUGUGCAAGUUAAUUGUAUUGGAAGGAGUGGGACAUCAUCCCCAUGACGACAGACCCAAGGAGAUCCAUGAAAAGCUGCUUUCUCGGUUGGCUGAAACAUUUAAGUGCUGAGGAAUUUACUUUCUCAUCUGCAAGUUUUGAUGAGCAUUAUUUAUUAUUCCUAAUGUAAAAUGACAAACAACUCUUGUAUUUAUAGUGUUAUAUUUUUUUUUAUUCAACCGCUUGAAUAUCUUUUGGCAUCGAAAGAAUGUAGGAGAAACUGAUCCCUGACAAGUUGUAAAAGCUCCAAAUUGAUUCAAGAAAUGUACCAAAUUAUUCAAUAAAAAGUCAAAUUCAGCACAAUAAUAAAGAACAAAUUAAUCUAUAUUGCUCAUGUUAAUGAUAUGUGAAUGAUAAGAUUCAAUUUUUCAUAUGAAAAAGAUACAAUAAUCUAAAUAGAAAUAAAGGUUCAUGGGCAUCUUUAACCUUUCCUUACAAGCUAGUUUUUUAAAGGUAAAUUCUACCCAUAGAUGAUACCACGUCAACUAUGGAAUCAAAUGAAACAUUUCGAAUAUGGAAUUGGUAUAAAUACUUGAAAGAGUGGAUACAUGUUUGUUGAUACAUAAAUCUAGUUGAGCUAUGUAGCGACCAGACAACCAGGCCAACACUUAAAUUUGUUGUUAUUGGAGAGACGGUUCUAUGCUAUUUCCUCACUAUCGAAUAAGUUCUUGCGACCUCAAGUACUUCCUUCAAGAACACCUACGUUUAUAACAUCUAGUUAGAGGAUGCCUGAGGUUUUUCCGGCGUGAACCCUCCGACGCUUAAGUGGGCGAUCUGGGUCUACUUGAAAAAACUCGUGACAUGAUUCACGUGACUUAAUUACAACUACUCUGAAUGAAAAAAAGGUUUAAUUUCAUAAAAAAGGAAAAAUAGAGAAGAUAAAAUUGUGAAUAGAGAGAGUAUGAAAAAAUUAAGUAAAAAAUUAUCUAAACCCCUUACCUCUAUUCUCUAAAGCUUUAAUAUCCAACCAAAAUUAUCGGCCUCCUCUCUCCCCCAACACCGUUGCUGGGUUGGUCACAUAACUGUGGGAGAGUAGGUAGCGUAACUGCUAGUGAGUGGGCUUCAUGCUCGAAUUCUUUGGAGGAAACCCAUGGGUUGACCUUUAACCAAGUCGUCGAUUUGACUUAACUCUAGUCUCUCCUCGUGCUUCCUCGAGCCGACUUUGCUCAUGUGACCAGCCACACACCUCAUCGGGGAUAAUCUUUCUCGAUGAGUCAUUUUAGGCCGAGGGGAGCACAUUUUGCUCAUGUGUGCCUGAUCAUGAUGUUUUUCACCCCAAAAUAGAUGUUUAAGCAAACUGAUUCAUAGAAAAAUUGAGUUGGUGAAAAUGACAUCUAUCAUGUUCUUUUUUUUAAAAUCAAUAUACAAAUAUGUUUUUUAAAAUAUAUAAGAUUUAACGGAGUUUAACUGUUCCCUCUUUAUUGCUUUUGCUUCCACAUGAUAAAACUUUCCCAUAUACAACAAUUUAGAUUUAACAAAAUAUAAAAUUUUCAAAUGUGAUUGCGUUAUAUACAUGAGAGUUGAUGUAGUGCGCAACGGGAUGAGUGGCAUGUGUUCAUUGGUUGAGAUAUGGGCCAACAACAUACUCUGUAAGAACUCGUUGCGCGUCCUGUAAUAUUCCAUGCCGCUGGCAAAUGAGUUUUUUCACUAGUUUAUAAUUCACAUGCUCACCUAAGUAGAUGUGUUUUGGGUUGCAAAGUCCAAUAACAAAUCGUUGUGGGUGGUGUGUGCAGAGCCAGAAAGAAGGCCAAUAGUUUUAAUUUUACAAUAUACAUCAUGUGCUUUUCAUACAUUAUACUCUUCACCUAAUAAGGUAAAGUUCAAUACUCUAGUGUGAAUUUGAAAGAAAGUUAAAAGCUGUUUGUUUCAAGAGAAAAUUUACAGAGGAAAAUUAAAGUUCUUAUUUCUUUUACUCUUUUUCCAUUACUUAACAACUGAACAUAUACAGCUUAUAUACUCGAAGAUAUUUACAUACACAUGCUAAAGGAACUAGUAACAAACAUUAACAACUUAUGCUGACUUAUUAAUUCCCGUAACUAAUUCUGCUGAUCUGGCACUGAUGAGCUGGCACAAUUAACUUGCUUCACUAACUAAGACUGAGAACUUCUUUGCCUUCCUGUUCUUCAUAAACGCAGCACAAUGAGCUUCCCUAAUAGAAUUUGCGUUACAUGCACCAGAUCCGUCGAAAGUUAUAACAUGAAUGUUUUGUUCCAAGAACUGAUUUUGGCACUUUCUUCUAUUAUUAAUAGUGAUUUGAAAAAGGAAAACAAUAAAAAUACAUUCAUGAAAAUCUCAGUCUUCUUCGUUAUAGUUGAAACAUCUGCUUGGGUCUUCCAUUGAAUUCGUAGAGUCUGCAAUGCCAAAAAAUUGGAUCCCACAUUUUUUCACUCCGCAACACUCACACUCCAAAGGUGGAAAAACAUUAAAGUGGAUUGUCUCAGGAAAGCAAUUGCAUUUCCAAAAACCAUUAAAAUCCUCUUCAUAGAACAAAUAGUAUCCCAAAUGUAAGUGAUCUGAUUCUAAAUAAUUAACUCUUCUUUGAAAUAACAGUGUGUCAUGCGGAUCACAAUCUUUGGUGGUUUCCACUUUGAGCUCACAAGAAAAUGAAAACCAUCUACCAUAAUCUACAUGACGGCCUGAAAAUCCUAAAAUAGCACCAAAUGCAAAGCCCAGUACUCUGUUGUUAUUGAAGAAAUCUGGGGGCAUCUCUAACGUUAUAAAAGAUCCCACACUUUGAAAAUUAAACCACCUUGGAAUUUCAUUCCCAGCUAGUACGUAAUGGCCUUCCUUGGGAAAACCUCUCUAUACCAAAAGAUCAAAAUUUUAAACCCAAAAAAAAGGUAUAAAUUGUAAGGAGAAAGAAUUAAGACACACCUUUUCCCGUACUUCUUUCCAAUGGGCAGGUACCACAUGGCCCAUAUAUUGAAUUCUCAUGUCAUCUUCAAUAAUUCCUGCAGUAGUAUUACCUUGCAAUUAAAAAUUAUUGCUCUAGUAAAAAAACAUUGCCUAUAAGAUUCAGAACUUAGAGAAUAAACCUGUUAAUGAUUGUGGUGCCGAGUAAUGAUCGGCAUCUAACCAUCGUACAAGGAAUAGAGGCUUUGGUAAGGAUUGAAGCCCCUCACAAUAAUCGAAGAGGAUGUAUCGCAACAUAAAUUGUUGGAUAAUGCUUUCUGGUAUUCUCUCAAUAUUGGUUUUCAAUAGAUUCACUACUAAUGGCGACGAUAACUGGCCAAGCCAUUCGGGCAAUCUCUGAAGAUUUGAGCAACCACGGAGACUAAGAAGUUCAAGAGACUUCAACUUACAGAGGCUGCUUGGGAGACUCUUAAGCCUUUUACAAUCCGAAAGGUCUAACAACCAAAGCCUAAGUAGAAGCUCAAAUGAUGAGGGCAGUUCUUCAAUUGCAGUUCCACUUAAAAAUAGCCGGCCUAUGUUACCAGAUGAGAUCUCUGGAAGCCUCUUCAACUUUGAACAACCCGAAAGAUCAAGUUCGGUAAGAAAUUCCAAAUUAAACAUUCCAGCUGGAAGACUUUUCAGGGUUUUGCUACCGCUUAGAUUCAAGAUAACUAGCUUGUUCAGAUGUGGAAUCAACGUGGGGUUUAGAGUUUUGGGAAUUAGCUUCUUGCAGGCAGCAUGGAUUAGCUGGUUUAACUUACUAUAAUGCUGCUCGGUCAAAAAAGAGGCAAAGAUAAAAUCAUUAUUAUGCAUGAUAAUUUAAUGUUCUUAUUGAAAUAUUGCACAUAUAUAUUAAGAUAAACAUACCUUCACACCAUUCCAAAGUUGUUCAAUGUCGCUAUUAGGCACUUCAAGAAACACAAGCUUCUCUGCACUAUGGUUUGAAGGCAAUGACUUCAACGGAUAUCCAUGCCAGUGAAGAUAUUUCACUUCAGCAAAUCUGAGGUCUUGCAAAUGAGACACCUUGCAUUUGUUCUCCCCAUUGAAUGAUGAACUAUAGAAUUUUAAAAAUCUCAAUUUACGCAUCUUUGCGAAAGUAAUGGGAUUUAGAUGGAUCUCUUUUACUUUUGCCAUAUCCAAACAGAUGCCCUCAAUUUUUUCUGUCCCCUAAAAAUAAAUAGAAAAAUCAAUAAAGUUAACAUCAAAUGAAAAAUGAUAUUUAUAUUCCACUAGUGAUUAACACUUCAGCUCCACCAAGACAAAUUUUUGGGGCAAGUUUGUCACUCAUUCACAAUUAAAGGUAGCUUAGUUAUUAAUUCAACUUUAAUUUGUCCUUGUGUGGAGUUUAUGUCAGAUUGGAGUGGGGUUCUCCAUCAUUACUCAAAUUAAAUUUCAAUAAUUCAUGUUUAUUGUUAUUGCUAGGCAGUUAAACUCUUAAUUGCAAAUGCACAAAGAAACAUAAUAGUACAAGUAAUACUUAACAUAAAAAUUCUGUAUGUGUACUAUACAAAUUUAUAUAUCAAUUAUGCUUGAAAACGGUUAUGCAAGUUGUCAACCGCAUUUAUAAUUUAUUGCUACAUCACCUAACCACUAUUGUUUUUUCCGAUCAUUGUGACUCUUGUAUUAAUUCUAAGACUCAUUUGUUCGAGCGUAAAUAAAUAUAUUCACAUCAAGUUUUGAAACACUACAAUAUUCCAAAAUAAUAAUCCACAACAAGCUGCUUACCGUAUUAUACGUAAGAACUUCAUAGAUAUCCUCAUGAUGCCACAAUCUACUGCGGUUUUCAGGAUUAAUUGAUUCUUGUCGAACAAUUUCCCUACCCAAUUCUUGUAGUAAAUCAUGCAUUGUUAUCUUUUUGUGUGAAUCAAUAGCGAUGAGAGACUUAUCAACAAGAACACUUAUUCCUAUUUCUGGGUAGAAGCCGCUUGCAUUAAAGAAUUUCAUUAUAGGAUUUACAUGCUCACCUCGAAAGAAACAAGCAACAUCAAGGAAAAUACUUUUCUCUUUAUCGUCCAAAUCAUCAUAACUUAUUUUUAAUACCUCUAGAAUACUUGGAUGGAGGAUUCUUUGCAAUUUAUCUAUUGCGCUUUCCCAGACUUCUUUUUCCCUUUUAUGUAGAAAGCAACCCAAAACUUUAAGAGCUAAAGGAACACCUUGUGCAUAUUUCAUUACUUUGCUUGAAAAAUCCUCAUAACCAACAUCAGGAUGGUUUUGUUUGAAGGCAUGUCGACUAAAAAGCUCAAGAGCGUGAUGAUAUUCUAAUGCCUGCAUCUCAUAAAUUUUCCUCACCCCCCAAUUUCGAAGCACUUGUUUAUUUCUGGUGGUUAUUAUAAUUCGACUCCCAGGCGUCAACCAAUCAAGACUUCCGAUUAAGGAUUCUAAUUGGUUGAAGAAAGUCACAUCAUCAAAAACAAUCAGAACCUUCAUACGGCUGAGCCUUCUAAAAUUGAGGUCAAUAUAAGGCAUCACAUCUUUAUCCUUCAAUAAAUUUGAAAGAAGUUUUUGUCGUAAGCAAGCUAAUCCUCCUGGUCUUUGUGACUCUUCUCUAACAUUUUCGAGGAAGCAAGAACCUUCAAAAUCACCCGAGAUUUUGUCGAAAAUAGCUCUAGCAAUUGCUGUUUUGCCUAUACCACCAAUGCCCCAAAUCCCUAAAGCAUAAACAUCUUUCGACUCAACACCUAAUAGGGAUUCAAUUUCCUCAACUGUUGAUUCCACUCCAACCAGCUGGUUUUUGUUAUCACGGGGCUGAAACACUUCAUCCAAUCUCUUCAAAAUGUGAUUAACAACUUCAUUUGUAAGUUCCGACUCACACCUAGCAAAUACAUAAAAUUAGCCAAAGUAACUUCAAAUUAAUACGAGGAAUUUGCAUUAAGUAUGAAGUAAGGGAGAUUGUCAGUUUUCUUAUUGAAAUUAAUAUAUACCACCACUAGUCUACAAUCUCCCAGUAAAUUAAUAACUCUUAAAUUACAGGAAUAUGUGUGAGUUUUUUUUUUUUUUGGAAAAAUUAUCACUGCACUACCUCUCUUUUGUCUUAUAUUCAUCCAACCACCACAAAAUUAUAACAUAUUCUUUACACCACCUUUUUUUUUUAAAUUUAUAUCAAUUAGCCACUUUUGCACUAACACCGUUAAAUAAUUUAAACAAAAUGAUAAAUUUACCUCUAAAUAAACUAAAAGAUCAUUUUAUUUUAUAAAAGCUUGGAAAAAUAAAAAAAAAUUAUAAUUAAAAAAAUACCCCUAAAUUUAAUAAAAAAAAUCUCAAAUAGAGGUGCUCAGCUAAUUUUAAUUAAAUUUAGAUUUUAUAAAAUUUUAAUAAUUAUGUUUUAUUAAAAAUUAUAAUUUUGUAAUAUUUUAAUAAAAAUAACUGAAUUUAUUAUUAAAAAAUUAUAAUUUUGUAAAAUUUAAUUAAAAUAACUGAAUUUAUUUAUUAAAAAAUAAAUCCUAAAAUUUUAAUAAUUUAGGGGAUUUUUAUUAAAUCCCAAAAUUUUGUAAUUAUUUUUAUCAUUUUAAUUUUUUAUUAAAAUAAUUUUUAUUAUAAUAUUGGGAUUUAUUUUUUAAUUAAAUUUAGGGAUAUUUUUAUAAUUAUAAUUUUUUUAUUUUCUUAGUUUUUACAAAAUAAAAAUGGUCUUUUAAUUUAUUUAAUGGUAAAAUUUUCAUUUCAUUUAAAUUAUUUCAUGGUGUUAGUGCAAUAGUGACUUAUUGAUACAAUUUUUUUUUUAAAAAUGUGGUGCAAAGAACAUGUUAGAAUUUUGUAGUGAUUGGAUGAACAAUAGGUAAAAGGAAGGUGGUGCAAUGAUAAUUUUUUUUUUUUUUUUUUCCUAAUGGUGGUGUAUGAGUGAGAGGUUGCAAUUGCUUAAAAACCGACAGACCACCACUAAUUUUGUUAGAUGUAUAUUGUAAAAUUCUCGAGCUUUUAUUAUUAAUUCUUUCAAAAUUAUUUUAUAAUUAUGGGAGCACAAAAGUGGGGAAGUCAGGAAGUCUAGAAUUUGAUGCUUAAAAAUUUUUAAAAUUGUAGUUUAGCAUCCGGAAAUUUAACUAAGAGUGCUGCGUGAAUUUUAUUUAUUGUUAAAUAUUAGUAUGAGAAAUUAAAGGUUUAACUUUUCACCUGAUGUUAGGAGAAUGAAAUCCACACAAACUUGCUGCUUCCUCCAAAGCAUUCCUCCAACUCUGCAGCUUCUCAGUAUUCUCCUUUAAUCUUUCUUCAAGCUUCGAAAAUGAAUCUCCAAAACUCCCAGUUUGGUUUCUCACGUCUGAUGGAUCAACCCGAUAGAAAACCGGAAUCACAAUCUGUGCAUACUCCUUCUUGCAGUCGAGGAUCUUUACAAGUUCAUCGAGACACCAUCUGGAAGAUGCAUACCCUUCUGAGAAGACGAUAACUGAAAUGGCUGAUGCUUCAAUUGCAUUCACAAGUGACUCUGAAAUUUCAUCUCCUCUGUUAAGUUGGUCAUCAAUGAAAGUUUGGAUAUUUUGUCGACACAGAGCAGAAUAGAGAUGGCUAGUAAAGUUGUCGCGGGUGUCCUCUCCUCCGAAACUAACAAAAACAUCAUACUUCUUGUUGUUUCGAGAAGAAGAAGCCAUAAUCAACAGAAACAGUUGAAUUGAUUAGAGAGAGAUUUUGAUUCGGAUGAAAACAAUUAUUGAACCAAAUGUGAGCGACUCUGUAGAAUAAAUCGAUGCCAUGAACCUUCCUUCAAGUUCCUUGAUAAUUUUUCAAUUUCGUCUCAUUGUCCAAGUACCGUGCACUCCACGAUGAUUGAUUAAUUCCACUGCUUUGUAGACCUCUAGCUGAAAAUUCCACAUGAACACCAGACUUUUCAACACACGGCUUCUGUGCUUUCAUACUCAUAACUAUCAGCAACGAGGGGCUGAUAUUUUAGUUUUUAUCCUCAAUUUAUCUAAAUUGGCAAGACGCAUUUUAGGGUGUAUAGGCACUCUAAAAACAAAAUCGUGCAGACCUUGUUAAGGCCCAAAGCUACACAAUGUAGGAGAGAAGGCCAAUAAUUUUAAUUUUACAAUACACAUCAUGUGCCUCUCAUACGUUAUACUCUUCAUCUAACAAGGUAAAGUUCAAUACCCCUCGAAAGUUAUUACAUGAAUAUUUUGCUCCAAGUACUGAUUUGGACAUUUUCUCCUAUUAUUAAAAGUGAUUAGAAAAAGGAAAGAAAUAAAAAUACAUUCAUGAAAAUCUCAGUCUUCUUCGUUAUUGUUGAAACAUGUGCUUGGAUCUUCUAUUGAAUUCGUAGAAUCUGGGAAGCAAAAAAAUUGGAUCCCACAUUUUUUCACCCCGCAGCACUCACACUUCAAAGGCGGAAAAACAUUAAAGUGGACUGCCUCAGGAAUGCAUUCGCAUUUCCAAAAACCAUUAAAAUCCUCUUCACAGAACAGAUAGUAGCCCAAAUGUAAGUGAUCUGAUUCUAUAUAAUUAACUCUGCUCUGAAAUAACUGUGUGUCAUGCGAACCACAAUCUUUAGUAGUUUUCACUUUGAGCUCAAAAGAAAAUGAAAACCAUCUUCCACAAUCUACAUGACGGUUUGAAAAUGCUAAAAUAGCACUAAAUGCAAAGCCAUGCACUCUGCUACUAUUGAAGAAAUCUGGUGGCAUCUCCAAGGUUAUAAAAGAUCCCACACUUUGAAACUUAAACCACUUUGGAAUUUCAUUCCCAGGUAGUACUAUAUGAGCUUUGCCCAUGGAAAAACCUCUCUGUACCAAAAAAACAUAAUUUUAAACCCAAAAAAACAAUUGUAGAAAUUUUAAACAAAGAGAGUUAAAGACACACAUUUUCCUGUAUUUGUUGCCAACGGACAGCUAGCUUAUGGUCCAUAUGCGGAAUUCUCUCGGGAUCCACAACAAUUCCUGCAGUAUAAUUGCCUUCCAAUUUAAAAUUAUUGCUCCGGUAAAAAAAAAUUGCCUAUAAGAUUCAUUACUUAGAGAACAAACCUAAAAAUGGUUGCAGUACCAGGCGACGUCGUUCAAGGAAUGGAAGCUUUGGUGAGGAUGGAAACCUUUCACUAUAACUUAAGAAGAGGUAUCGCAACACGAAAAGUUGGGUAAUUCUUUUUGGUAUUCUCUCAAUAUUGGUUUUCGCUAGAUUCAAUAAUAUUGGCGAGGAAAAUUGGCCAAGACAUUCGGGAAAUCUUUGAAGAUUUGAGCAACCACAGAGAGUAAGAACUCCAAGAGAUUUCAACUUACAUAAGCUGCUUGGGAGACUCGUAAGCCUUUUACAAUAUGAAAGGUCCAAGUACUUGAGCCUAAGUAGACGCUCAAUUGAUGAGGGCAGUUCUUCAAUUGCAGUCCCCCUUAAAAAAAACCAGCUUAUAUUACCUGAUGAGAUCUCUGGAAGCCCUUUCAGUUUUGAGCAGCCCGAAAGAUCAAGUUUGGUAAGAAAUUCGAAGUUAAAUAUUCCAGAUGGAAGACUUUUCAGGUUUUUGCUACCUCUUAGAUUCAAGAUAACUAGCUUGUUCAGACGUGGCAUCAACGUGGGAUUUGGAGUUUUGGCAAUUAGCUUAUUGCAGGCAGCAGGGAUUAUCUGGUUUAACUUGCUAUAAUGCUGGUCGGUCAAAAAAGAGGCCAAGACAAAAUCGUUACCACGUAUAAUAAUUUAAUGUUGUUAUUGAAAGAUUGCACAUACAUAAUAAGAUAUGCAUACCUUCACACAAUCCCAAAGUCGUUUAAUGUCACUAUCAGGCACUUCAAGUAACACAAGUUUCUCUGCACUAAGGUUUGAAGGUAAUGACUUCAACGGAUAUCCAUACCAGUGUAGAUAUUUCACUUCACCAAAUCCCGGAUCUUGCAAAUAAGAUAUCUUACAUUUGUUCUCUCCAUUGAAUGACGAACUAUAGAACUUUAAAAAUCUCAAUUUAGGCAUUUUUGUGAAAGUAUUAGGAUUUAGACGGAUCUCUUUUACUUUUGACAUAUCCAAACAGAUGCCCUCAAUUUUUUCUGUCCCCUAAAAAUAAAUAAAAAAAAUAAAGUUAAAAUCAAAUGAAAGAUGAUAUGUAUAUUCCACUAAUGAAUUGCACUUCAACCCCACCAAGAAAAACAAUUUGGGGCAAUUUUGUCACUAAUUUACAAUUAGAGGUAACUUAGUUAUUAAUUCAAUUUUUAUUUAUUCUUGCAUGGAGUUUAUGUGGGAUUGGAGCGGGGCUCUCUGUCAUUACUCGAAUCAAAUUUCAAUAAUUCAUGUUUAUAGUUAUUGCUACGCAGUUAAGAAACAUAAUAACACAAGUAAUAAUUAACAUAAAAAUUCUGCAUGUGUAAUAAUUUUACAUAUCAAUUAUGCUUGCAAACGGUUAUGCAAAUUGUCGUCGCAUUUAUAAUUUAUUGCUACGUCAUCUAACCACUAUUGUUUUUUCUAAUCAUUGCCACUCUUCCAUUAAUUCUAAGACUCACGAGUGCGAGCGUAUGUAAAUAUAUUCACAUGAAGUUUUUAAACACUACAUUGUUCCAAAAUAAUAAUACACAACAAACUACUUACCGUAUUAUACGUAAGAACUUCAUAGAUAUCUUCAUGAUGCCAGAGCCUACUGCGGUUUUCAGGAUUAGUUGAUUCUUGUCGAACAAUUUCCCGACCCAAUUCUUGUAGUAAAUCAUGCACUGUUAUCUUGUUGUAUGAAUCAAUAGCAAUGAGAGAUUUAUCAACAAGAACACUCAUUCCUAUUUCUGGGUAGAAGCCACUUGCAUUAAAAAAUUUCAUUAUUAUAUCUACAUCCUCACCUUGAAAGAAACAAGCAACAUCAAGGAAAAUAUUUUUCUCCUUAUCGUCCAAACUAUCAUAACUUAUUUUUAAUACCUCAAGAAUACUUGGAUGGAGGAUUCUUUGCAAUUUAUCUAUUGCACUUUCCCAGACUUCUUUUUCCCUUUUAUGCAGAAAGCAACCCAAAACUUUAAGAGCUAAAGGAACACCUUGAGCAUAUUUCAUUACUUUGCUUGAAAGUUUCUCAUAACCAACAUCAGGAUGGUUUUGUUUGAAGGCAUGUCGACUAAAAAGCUCAAGAGCGUGAUGAUAUUCUAAUGCCUGCAUCUCAUAAAUUUUCCUCACCCCCCAAUUUCGAAGCACUUGUUUAUUUCUGGUGGUUAUUAUGAUUCGACUCACAGGCGUCAACCAAUCAAGACUUCCAAUUAAAGAUUCUAAUUGGCUGAAGCAAGUCACAUCAUCAAAAACAAUCAAAACCUUCAUGCGGCUGAGCCUUCUAAAAUUGAGGUCAAUAUAAGGCAUCACAUUUUUAUCCUUCAAUAAAUUUGAAAGAAGUUUUUGUCGUAAGCAAGCUAAUCCUCCUGGUCUUUGUGACUCAUCUCUAACAUUUUCGAGGAAGCAAGAACCUUCAAAAUCACCCGAGAUUUUGUCGAAAAUAGCUCUAGCAAUUGCUGUUUUGCCUAAACCACCAAUGCCCCAAAUCCCUAAAGCAUAAACAUCUUUCGACUCAACACCUAAUAGGGAUUCAAUUUUCUCAACUGCUGAUUCUAGUCCAACCAGCUGGUUAUUGUUAUCACCCCGCCGAAACACUUCAUCCAAUCUCUUCAAAAUGUGAUUAACAACUUCAUUUAUAAGUUCCGACUCACGCCUAGCAAAUACAUAAAAUUAGCCGCGGUAACUUCAAAUUAAUUAAUAGGAGGAAUUUGUAUUAAUUAAGGUAGAUUGUUAGUUUUCCUAUUGAAAUUAAUAUAUUCCACUAUAAGUCUACAAUCUUACAAUUAAUUGAUUAACUCUUAAGUUACAGGAAUAUGUGUGAUUUUUUUUUUAAUGGUGGUAUCUGAGUGAGAGGUUGAAAUUGCUUGAAAAACUACAAAGCACCACUAAUUUUGCUAUAUAAAAAUUGUAAAAUUCUCGCGCUUUUAUUAUUAAUUCUGUCAAAAUUAUUUUACAUGAGCACAAAAGUGGGGAAGUCAGGAAGUUUAGAAUUUGAUGCUUAAAAUUUUUAAAAUUGUAGUUUAGCAUCCGGAAAUUUAACUAAGAGCGCUGCGUGAAUUUUAUUUAUUGUUAAAUAUUAGUAUGAGAAAUUAAAGGUUUAACUUUUCACCUGAUGUUAGGAGAAUGAAAUCCACACAAACUUGCUGCUUCCUCCAAAGCAUUCCUCCAACUCUGCAGCUUCUCAGUAUUCUCCUUUAAUCUUUCUUCAAGCUUCGAAAAUGAAUCUCCAAAACUCCCAGUUUGGUUUCUCACGUCUGAUGGAUCAACCCGAUAGAAAACCGGAAUCACAAUCUGUGCAUACUCCUUCUUGCAGUCGAGGAUCUUUACAAGUUCAUCGAGACACCAUCUGGAAGAUGCAUACCCUUCUGAGAAGACGAUAACUGAAAUGGCUGAUGCUUCAAUUGCAUUCACAAGUGACUCUGAAAUUUCAUCUCCUCUGUUAAGUUGGUCAUCAAUGAAAGUUUGGAUAUUUUGUCGACUCAGAGAAGAAUAGAGAUGGCUAGUAAAGUUGUCGCGGGUGUCCUCUCCUCUGAAACUAACAAAAACAUCAUACUUCUUGUUGUUUCGAUAAGAAGAAGCCAUAAUCAACAGAAACAGUUGAAUUGAUUAGAGAGAGAUUUCGAUUCGAAUGAAAACAAUUAUUCAAUUUCAUGAACCUUCCUUCAAGUUCCGUGAUAAUUUUUCAAUUUCAUCUCAUUGUCCAACCACCGUGCACUCCACGAUGAUUGAUUAAUUCAACUGCCUUGUAGACUUUUAGCUGAAAAUUCCACACGAACACCAUACUUUUCAACACACGUGCUUCUGUGCUUUAAUGCUCAUAACUGCCAGCAAUAAGUAGGGUGAUAUUUUAAUUUUUAUCUCUGAAUUUAUCUUAUCCGUCCUCAUCUCUCAAUUAAUUGUAUUUAGUUUCCAAAUUAUUCUUUUUUUUUGUUUUAAUAGCUCUUAUUCAUGUUCCUUAGCGUUUAAAGUCUAAAAAAAAUUAGUUAUUUAUUUUUUAUAACUUAUAUAUGAUUUUUAAAUAUUUAUAUUUAAAUUAAAAAGUAAUUUUUUUUUGUGACCUUUGCCUAAAUGAGAAAAUGUUUCAAUGAAAAAUAAAUACUAUAUUCUAAGAAUAUUUCUAUUCAAUAUUGUUAUUUCCUAAACUAUAUUGUCAUAUGUGGCUAAUUGUCAAAGCAAUAGCAAGCUGUUAGCUUAAAGCAAAGCAUAUUCAUGCUUCACCCAUGAGAAUACAACCAAUUCUAAUGCAUGUAUUGUGACGCACGUGCAAACUAAAAGGAGGCACAUGGGUUAAUUGUCAAAGCAAUAGCAAGCUGUUAGCUUAAAGCAAAGCACGUGCGUGCUUCAUCAAUAGGAUCUGUGAGUGGAUUAUUAUUAUUAUUAUUACUAUUAUAUAUUUCACAAAACAUUUAUGUUUGAUAGUAUGAUUUAGUAUAAUGUUAUGAUUAUAUGUACGUACAUUAUAUGAUUGACUGAGUCAUGAGAUGUAAUUGACAGGCACCAUAUGUGUACAUUUCCUCAUAGGCUCUACGCAUACGUAUUGAGAGUUAAAUUACUCGACCCUUGUGAUAUUGUAAAUUCUACUGAGUAUUGAGAGGUUUUUCUCCCUUUUUUACUCGUGUGAUGAUGAUCCCAGUGAGUAUUGAGAGUUAUUUUCCCUGUAUAUUAUUUGGUGCAAUUUUGUCAUGUGUGUAUAUACGAGUUCAUGUUUGCUUUUGUAAAGCGUUCAGUGUAAAGUUAUGUCAUACAAUUAUGACGAGCACUAAAGCACUAAUUUAUUUUUAUAUAUAAUUAUAUUCAUUCAUUGAGCCGCAAGCUUACUAUUUUCCUAUUUACCCCAUUUCUCUAAGGUUUCCAUAGGAUUUCGUGUAUUUCAAUUUCUGAUCAAUUGAGGUUGGGCCACGACACGCAUUACUGCACGAAUUACAUUUUGACCACGUUUAUAUUUAUAUGUAUAUUUUUGAAGUGUAUGUAUGUUCAGUGAGAUAUGAACUAUGUAAGUUUUUAAUAAAUUUUUGAAUGAGGCACAUAGAUUAUUAUAUGUUUAUAACAAAGGCCAAGGCUAGUGUUAUAUAUUCAUGAAUUAAGUUUAUGUCAUGAGCUUUAGAUAUAAAAUUGCAUGAUUCACCCCAGAUCCAACAGAAGGGUUGAGGUGAUUUGUGUCAUGUAUGAUAUGUACAUAUUUAUAUUCAAUAUAACCACCAUUUGAAUGAUAGUUUUUUAAAAUCAGUGCACAUGUGUCGUAUCAUAACUCACUUGUUGUAUGGCUAACAUGGUACUUCUGAUAUAAUCUAAAAUUUCUUCCUUAGUUAGAGGCAUUUGUUUUAAAAUUUUAUUUAAAAGAAGGUCAUUUUAAAUUUCAAAAUGUAAAGUGUAUUUUCUACAACACUAAAGGAUGAAACAUCCUUCAAUAUAGAUUUCUUAAUAAAUUUUAAGAGAACUAACAGAAAGUGGUUAUUUCAUUCAUGGUUAUUAAAUCAAAAUUUGAAUUAGAUCAUCACUGGUCCAAAAUAAACUAUCGUCAUUUCAAAUUGAAGCAUGAAACCGUGAAUGGAUGCAUCCUUAAAUAAAAGGAUACAUUUUUAUUAUAUAUGACACUGUUUAAUUAGAUAUAUCUUUACAGUCAGGACACAUUUUUAGAGCACCAUUUAUAUUGAAAAUAUUCCAGCAUAAAAUAUGUCUCUCUCCUUAUACGAGUAUUUUGCAAAUAAUUUGCAAAUAAUACAGAGCCACCACGAGUUCAAAAAUAAUAAAACAAUAACAUUGCUCACUUGCUGGACUGGGCUGGACUGGGCUGAUUGGGCUGGGCCUGCUUUCAUCAUCGCAUACACGGUGAGGGAAAUUGAAAUUGAUGAUGGCGUUGGCCGCUCAAUUCCUGCUUCGGAUUCCCCAACUCGGAAGGAAAAAUAUAAACUUUCCGUCGUAUAAGCAUCGCGGGAAUUAUCAGCCAUUGUUGUUGUCUUGCAAUUACAGCACCAAUGACAAUUGUUCUUCAACUUCUUCUUCUUCUUCUUCUUCUUCGAAGAAUUACUUAGAAUUGACGGACGAUGAGAUGUUUCGCGAAUGCUAAAUGGACGCGUACAAAUCGUCGGGACCAGGCGGUCAGCACCGCAAUAAGCGCGAAUCUGCCGUACGUCUCAAGCACGUACCGACCGGCGUCAUAGCACAUGCCGCCGAACACCGAUCGCAGCACAAGAAUCGCGCGUCAGCUUUGUCGCGCCUCCGCACUCUUUUGGCCCUCAAAGUGAGGAGCAGUGUGAAUCUUGAUGCGUAUUCGCCGCCGCCACAGCUUCUUCAAAUCCUUCCUCCUAAGUCUACUAUUAGAAGUUCAGAAGUUGGUCCACAAAUUGGACCUAACAAUCCUAAAUUUGCUUUGGUAUUACUCUAUUCACUCUUGCUUUGUUUUUUUGUUUUCUGUUAAAAUUUAAGUCAUCGUAAUGUUUUUUUUUUUGGUUAACUUCAGGGAAUGCAAGCUCUGCUUGAUCUAAUUUUCGUAGGUUAAGCACUGGAGCAUUGUCACGGUUGAUUCUAUUGGAUGAUUCUCUUCGAAUGGCCGUGAAUGAGUUCAGGACUUCUAAGGUAUGCUAAUUCAUAGCUGAUAGUGUGUAUUACGAUAAGAUUCAACCUGUUGGUUAAUUUAAAAUUGUUAUAUUCUUUCUUAUUUGUGCAACAAAUAUAAUAAGUCUGUUUUUUGUGGUUGAGUGUCUGCGUCAGUGCCUGAUGGCAUUUUUUGUGGUUUAAGUAGCUUUAUAGCAUAUUUGGCUCUCUGUUUAUGAAUAAUGUUCAAUAGCAACCUGCCCCAUUGAUACGAGAAAUGUAUGAUAUAAUUUUUCAAGAUACCUACCUGCAUUAUGAAUUGUUAUUGGAAGGAAGUACGAGAAUAAAUUAAGAGCAAAGACUGAUUAAAAGAUGUAUCUUUCAUUAUUAAGCGAAGUGUAUGUUCUGCUUCUCAUUCACUUUACCAGAAUUACAAAAGUUUUAUGUUAUUGAUGGUUGGAUAGUUUCUGGGUUAUCCUUGUUUUUUUUUUUUGUGUUAAUUGCUUUACAUACAUUAUGUGUGUAAUUUUUUAAUGGACAAUCUUCAUUUGAAACAUGAAAAUUUUAAAAAACUUUCCGAUUUGUGCAGGGUAUGAAGCCUCUUAAGUAGGACUUCUUAGGUGCUACUAUUGUGUUCGGCAAAUAUUUUCUUCUUUUAUUUUUCUUUUUUCAGUCACCAUAAUGGGAGUCAUGGUGAAACAACUUACUAAUCACUCUGGACAGGAAUGGGCUUCUGUAAGUGAAGCACACUUAUUUCACUCUUUCCUUAGUAUGGAGCUGCUUACCGUUGGGAUGAAGAUGGUAAUAGCUGCUUUAGAAAUUAGUUUUCUUCAGUAGGAAAAUUCUAAAUCUUGGAAAAUUUAAAGUUGUACUAGAAAACAAGCUGCCUAUUCAACCAAUGGCUAAAUGUAGCAUAGUAGUCUCCUUAGACGAUUAAUUAGAUUGCAUUCCUUUUGAUCUCUCUCUUUUCAUUUUUUCUCCUUUUUGACUUGCACCUCUCUGUUCCUUUCCCCAAAAAAAAAUUUGCACUUCUCUGCUGAUGUCUUCCCAAUAUCCUAUGAUGCACAAAUGCACAAAUACUCUUGAAAUGUGGUGAAAUGUUUAUGGUAUUACUUGUCGUAGCAGAAGCAUCCUCCUAAAAUUAUUUAUAAGAAACUCUUUUUACUCUCUAUGCCAGUGGAGUGGGCCUUCAAAAGGAAAGGAAAAGUAGUACCUAAAGUUGUGAAAAGGAAGAAUUUGCAAGUCAAAAAUGAAUAUAUUAUGCAUGGCUACAUAAAUUGGUACAUAUAGCUUUUGCACCUAAUCUGAUUAUCUCGAUUCCUGGACCCAGAACUAAUAGCCUAAUUAUUACACAAGAUAUUUUGCUGCUGUCAUACUACUUGCAUAUAUGAAUGCUGAUUUUUAAACGGAAAUAUUUAACAGAGCACUGACAGAAACAGAGGUAACACCCGAGCCGGGUUACCGUGGUAAUUGAAAACAAUCAAUUAACACGAUAAAUCUGGUGGGUUUGUAGUUAAUUCUGCCAGCGCUCUGUUAGCUCCAGUAUUUGACUUAUUGACCUAUCUGUGGUUGAAAGAAAAAUGAUUUAAGUAAACUUUCGAAAAUGUUUUAUCCUUGUUUUAUUUCUGAAUAUCAGCAGUGCAUCAUUUUGAAAAUGUGACUAUGGGGUUUCAGGAUCCUCUCGAGCCAGUUUUGUUGUUCACAAAACCCCUUGUGCCAGAAAAAUUGGAUGCUGCAGGUAUUGUUCCGCCAUCAGAUUCUUCUACGAGGAAUGGCACUAUAGCAAGAACUCACAAAUUUCAUGGAAGAAUUGGUCGAGGGGGGCGGAUAGUAUUUGAUAGAUGUAAUCCUCUUAUGCACUCCUCAACUGAUAGUGCCACGUCUUUUUACUUGCCACCAAAACCCCGCACAUCUAUGUACAGUUAAAUUGUCCGAGCUCGAGCAUUAUUCGUUAGGGAGCCAAGUGUAAUUAUGCUCCGGCUGAUAUUUAUGUAGUUAAAUUGAAUACUUCCAUUGUCCGAGCUCCAGCAAUUAUUUGUUUGGGAAGCCAAGUGUAGUUAUGCCGAGGGCAAGCAAAAUACUGGGCUUGAUGAAUCUUUUGAGGCUUGGUCACAGGUAUUUCAUGCCGUGCAUCAUCUUGCCUUAUUCUUUUUAAAGAAAUGACCUUGCCCUAAUUUUCCUUUCAAGUUUAAACUUAAUGAGCUUUUAUUACAUCCUUUAUUGUUGAAAUGCUUGUGCUAAUCAUAGUAUUUUCAAAAUUUCCGCGCCCCAGUUGAUUAUAAAUUUUGUGUGAAUAUUACAAGAUAAAACUUACCUUUAAAAUGUUAACGAACCUGUAAGAUUGGACUUCUCUUUAAGACCUUGAAUUAAGUGGAGGGUGUUUUGGGGUUAAUAAACCAGCAACUAUGCAUAUACUUGGCCAAUGAGGAAUCCUACUAGUACAGAAUAAGGUUGCACAAGACAGUUGAAUAGAUGACGCAAUGGAGACGUCUCUGUAUCGACUCAAUUCAAACUAAUUGUACAACUUCAUUUCUGAAGGAGUCACCAUUUUUAAUCCCAUUUGGAGAAUGUGUACAUCAGGUGCUAAUGCUUAUAAUGAAAAUGAUGCACUAUGUUUUGUGUUUUUCGAAUUUAAAAAUGUGUCUAAUAGUGUAUUUUCAGAAUUGGACUAUAAAAAUAAAAAUAGAGAAAACGAUAUAAAAUUAAGGUAAUACUGGACGAAAAAGUAUGGCCAAGGAAGCAGUAAUAUUUGGUGCAUUUCAUUUUUUCAAUAAAAAAAUGAAAACAAAAUUUUCAAUAUCUAUUCAUCAUUUUUUGGAAAAAAAAAAAAAAGCUUAAAGAAUAAAUGAAAGGGUGUUUUAAAACAAAAAUGUGAUUGGUGUUUGAAAAAUGACUGUCUCGGUUAGGUAAAACAGUCACAUAAUCAUUUUUUUUUAAAACACAAACCUUUUGGUUCAUAAAUAAUCACACAAAUUCUAAUGUUUUAUCUAAAAGAGAGUCUGUGUAUCUCAAAAGAGACAUGUGUGACAUUUUCUAAAAACAAAAUAUCUUUAUAGUUAUUUUGCCAAAUCACGUGUUGCCUUUAGAAAUAGAAUAGAUUUUAAUUUGCCCAAUUUACAAUAAAAAUCUUUAAUUUAUCACCUAAAAGUAAUUUACCCUAUUUAUUAUUAAGAAGAUUAAAAAAAAGAAAAUUCAUCAAUACAUUCCUUAUUUGCCCCUCGUCUUUUGGACGAAAAUGAAGAAUAAAUUGAGGUUUACAUUGAGAGCAAAUUAGAGAUUAUCAUUUUAUUUGGGAAUGAAUUGAAGUUUAUCCUUAGGAAUAAAAAUUCAAGAGAAGUACACGAAAAAGGUAAUAAUUUUCACUUUUUAUGGAGUAUUUGGAUAAGGGUAUUUUGCACCCCACUAUUUUUAUAAAUCCACCCUAUUUCUAGAAACUAAUUGCAAUGAAUUCACAAUAUUUUUUAAAAAAUACAAAUUAAUAAAAAUUUUGUAUAGUUAAUAAGUUAAAUCCUUCUAUUGAUUUUCUUCAUGAGUUCUUUGACCAUAUUUAAUCAUAAAGUUUAAUACAAAAUUUAUUUUAGUAUUUUAUUAUUAUGAUAUAUAGCGACUAAAUUACCAUAAUAAACAUGAGUUAUUGUAUCUAAUAAUUUAUGUAUCUAAUUUUGUGGCUUAUAAUAUAAUAUUUUUAAAUAAAAUCUAAUUGUGAUUUUCUCUACUUUAAUGUGUAAAUAACAUAAAAUUGACAUCCCAAUAAUUUACAUGAGUAUCAUGCCCUAAAGAUACUACUUUAGUUUAAUUAAAGAUUAAAACUUACACUAGUAAAGUAGUAUUAGAAACAAUGAGUUUGGUAUAAAAUUAGAAAAAUAUUUAAAUUAAAGUAAAUUCUUAAUAGUUUUACCUUAUAAGGGUAAAAUAAUCAAUUUAAACUUAUGACAAAGCAAUCUUUGUAGCUAAAUAUAAUAAAAUAAUCUAAAUCAUAAGAAAGUAAACUAAAAUAAAUCUAGUUAAUUAACUCUACAAAGUUCUUCUUUGUUUGAAAAUUUUAAAACAUAACAUGUAUGUUUUAUAAUUAUUUUUUAAAAAACGGGAUGAGUUUGCAAAAAUUAUUAGACGGAAAUACCAUCACCCGGAGUAUUUUAGUAAAGCACCUGAUAUUCGUUUCAGACGAAGUAUUAUUAUUUUGAUUUUUCAGGAAUAUCAGUAAAAUUUUCAUAUAAUAGUGGAAUAAGCCCAAUAAAUAAUUGUAUAAAAAUUUUUUGUCAUAGCCAUAGUCUCAUUGAGGUGGAAGCAGGGGAGGAGUAGGCCAAGCCAGGCCACAGAAAAUAUUCAAUUGAAAAAGCAAGAAAGGAAUGAGCGUGUGGAUGGUAAGGGCUCGGGCUCCCUCUUUCAUUAUUCCAAUAACAACACUCAGGAUUGGAAAUGGAAAUGGAGAUGUAAAAGGCCGGCGCUUGCCCCUAUUGAGCAAUAAGAAUUGGCAGUUUCAGUUGCAGUUGGAGUUGCAGCAGAGGAAUGAGGAGAAGAAGAAGAGACAAAAUGUUACCAUCAGUUAUACUAACAGUAGCAGUGGAGGGGAUUCUGCUUCUGCUGCACUGGAAUUGGAGGUUAAUGAGACAAAAUGUUACCAUCAGUUGUUCAGAAGCCAACUGUGCUUAUAGGUAAUUCUGUUGGAAGCCUAGCUUGUGUUAUCGCUGCCUCAGGUAUAUUUAUUUUAACUUCCCCUUGGACAUCAGAUAUUUUUCAACUUGCUUGCAAAGAAACACUUGUCGCUAAUUAUCCUUUUUGGUAUCUAUGGUUUACGAUAAACCUGCUAUAUUUUCUACCAUAAGAAUCCAGUCAAACCCUUGUUCGAGGGCUUGUUCUGUUGAAUUGUGCUGGUGGCAUGAACAACAAGGCAAUUGUUGAUGAUUGGAGAAUCAAGCUAUUGUUACCAUUGCUUUGGUUCAUUGAUUUUUUGUUGAAGCAAAGGCCAAUUGCUUCUGCUAUAUUUGAGCGUGUGAAACAAAGGUAUUUUCUCUUCUCUCUAUUCAGUCCAUUGUUCAUUAUCCCAAGACACUAGAGUCAAAAUUAAAAAAAAAAAAAACUCUAUGAUGUGCAUAUCUUGGUGCUGUAGGGAAACACUGAGGAAUAUUUUACUGUCCAUUUAUGCAAAUAAGGAAUCUGUGGAUGAAACACUGGUUGAGGUAUUAAUAUUCUCCUCUUAUAUGCCAUUUUAACCUGUUACAAAAAUGGCUACUCAGAAUUCAUGAAUAAACCUCAAAACUGCAGAUCAUACGAGAGCCUGCCAAUGAGGAAGGGGCACUUGAUGCAUUUGUUUCGAUUGUAACAGGCCCACCAGGGCCGAACCCAGUUCAAUUGAUGCCAUCCAUCUCUGUACCUGUACUAGUUUUAUGGGGUGAUGAGGAUCCAUUCACACCCCUCGAUGGACCUGUUGGUAAAUACUUCUCAUCUCUGCCUUCUAAACCCUCAAAUGUGAAGUUAAUUGUAUUGGAAGGAGUAGGACAUUGCCCCGAUGACGACAGGCCUGAGUUGGUCCAUGAAAAGAUGCUUCCUUGGUUGGCUGAAACAUUUAAUUUCUGAGGAAUUACUUUCUCAUCAGCAAGUUUUAAUGAGCAUUAUAUAUUAUUCCUAUUGUAAAAAGACAAAACAACUCUUGUAUUUAUGUUGUACAUAUCAAUUCUUAUUCAACCGCUUGGUUAUCUUUUGGCGCCGAAAGGAAUGUUGGAGAAACUGAUCUCUGACAAGUUGUAGAAGCUCCAAAUUGAUUCAAGAAAUGUAUCAAAUUAUUCAAUAAAAAAUAAAAUUCAGCACAAUAAUAAAGAAUAAUGAUUUAGUAAUCCAUAUUGCUCAUGUCAAUGAUAUGAGAAUGAUAAGAUCCAAUUUUAUACAUGAAAAAGAUACAAUAAUCUAAAUCGAAAUAUAAGUUCACAGGCAUCCUCAAUCCUUUCCUUACAAGUCAUUUUUGUAAAUAUAAAUGCUAACCAUAGACGAUACCACAUCAACUAUGCAAUCAAAUGCACCAUUCCAAAUAUGGAAUUGGUAGAGAUACUUGAAAAAGUGCAUACAUGUUUAAGCAAAUGGAUUCACAACUCAGGUGAGUUGAGUGAAAAUGACACCUAUCUCAGUCUUCUUCGUUACAGUUGAACCAUGUGCUUGGGUCUUCCAUUGACGUAGGAUCUGGGGUGUGAAGUAAAUGGAUCCCACAUUUUUUCACCCCGCAGCACUGGCACUCCAAAGGUGGAAAAACAUUAAAGUGGACAGCCUCAGGAAUGCAAUUGCAUUUCCAAAAACCAUUAAAAUCAUCUUCGCAGAACAGAUAGUACCCCAAAUGUAAGUGAUCUGAUUCUACAUAAUUAACUCUGCUCUGAGAUAAUCGUGUGUCAUGCGUACCACAAUCUUUGGUGGUUUUCACUUUGAGCUCAAAAGAAAAUGAAAACCAUCUGCCACAAUCUACAUGACGGUCUGAAAAUGCUAAAAUAGCACUAAAUGCAAUGCCCUGCACUCUGCUAUUAUUGAAGAAAUCUGCCGGCAUCUCCAAGGUUAUAAAAGAUCCCACACUUUGAAACUCAAACCACUUUGGAAUUUCAUUCCCAGGUAGUACUAUAUGACCUUUGCCCAUGUAAAAACUUCUCUGUACCAAAAAAACAUAAUUUUAAACGCAAAAAAAAAAAAGAUUGUAGAAAUUGUAAGUAGAGAGAGAGUUAAAGACACACAUUUAGCCAUACUUCUUGCCAACGUACAGCUAGCGUAUGGUUCGUAUGCUGAAUUCUCAGGGUAUCUUCAACAAUUCCUGCAGUAGAAUUACCUUCCAAUUUAAAAUUAUUGCUCCGGUCAAAAAAAAUUGCCUGUAAGAUUCAUAACUUAGAGAACAAACCUAUAAAUGGUUGCAGUGACAAGCAACCUCGUUCAAGGAAUGGAGGCUUUUGUACGAAUUUGAACCUCUCACCAUAACUUAAGAGGAGGUAUCCCGACACGAAAAGCUGGAUAAUGCUUUCUGGUAUUCACUCAAUAUUGGUUUUCGCUAGAUUCAAUGUUAUUGGCGAGGAUAAUUGGCCAAGACAUUCGGGCAAUCUCUGAAGAUUUGAGCAACCAUGGAUAUCAAGAGCUCCAAGAGAUUUCAAUCUAUAGAGGCUGCUUGGGAGACUCUUAAGCCUUUUACAAUCUGAAAGGUCCAGCCACGAAAGCCUAAGUAGACGCUCAAUCGAUGCGGGCAGUUCUUCAAUUGCAAUCCUCCUUAAAAAUAACCAGCUUAUAUUACCUGGUGAGAUCUCUGGAAGCCUUUUCAGUUUUGAGCAGCCCGAUAGAUCAAGUUUGGUAAGAAAUUCCAAGUUAAAUAUUCCAGAUGGAAGACUUUUCAGGCUUUUGCUACCUCUUAGAUUCAACGUAACUAGCUUGUUCAGACGUGGCAUCAACGUGGGAUUUGGAAUUUUGGAAAUUAGCUUAUGGCAGGCAGCAUGGAUUAUCUGGUUUAACUUACUAUAAUGCUGCUCGGUCAAAAAAGAGGCCAAGACAAAAUCGUUACCACGUAUAAUAAUUUAAGGUUGUUAUUGAAAGAUUGCACAUAUAUAAUAAGAUAUGCAUACCUUCACACAAUCCCAAAGUCGUUCAAUGUCACUAUCAGGCACUUCAAGUAACACAAGUUUCCCUGCACCAAGGUUUGAAGGCAAUGACUUCAACGGAUAUCCAUACCAGUGAAGAUAUUUCACUUCAGCAAAUCCGGAAUCUUGCAAAUAAGAUAUCUUACCUUUGUUCUCUCCAUUGACUGAAGAACUAUAGAACUUUAAAAAUCUCAAUUUAGGCAUCUGUGUGAAAGUAUUGGGAUUUAGACGGAGCUCUUUUACUUUUGACAUAUCCAAACAUAUGCCCUCAAUUUUUUCUGUCCCCUAAAAAUAAGUGAAAAAGCAAUAAAGUUAAAAUCAAAUGAAAGAUAUGUGUAUUCCACCAAUGAAUCGCACUUCAACCCCACCAAGUCAAAUUUUUGGGGCAAGUUUCUCACUAAUUCACAAUUAGAGGUAGCUUAGUUAAUAAUUCAACUUUUUAUUUAUUAUUUAGUCGAGUUUAUGUGGGAUUGGAGUGGACUCUUCGUCAUUUCUCAAAUCAAUAAUUCAUGUUUUUAGUUAUUGCUAGGCAGUUAAACUUUUAAUUGCAAAUGCACAAAGAAACAUAAUAACACAAGUAAUACUUAAUAUAAAAAUUCCGUCUGUGUACUAUACAAAUUGGCAUAUCAAUUAUGCUUGCAAACGAUUAUGCAAGUUGUCAUGGCAUUUAUAAUUUAUUGCUACGUCAUCUAACGGAUAUGGUUUUUUCUAAUCAUUGUUGCUCUUCUAUUAAUUCUAAGACUCAUCAGUUCGAGCAUAUAUAAAUAUAUUCAUAUCAAGUUUGUAAAUGCUAGAAUAUUUCAAAAUAAUUAUCCACAACAAACUGCUUACCAUGUUAUAUGUAAGAACUUCAUAGUAAAUCUUGCAUUCUUAUCUUGUUGUAUGAACCAAUAGCAAUGAGAGAUUUAUCAACAAGAACACUUAUUCCUAUUUCUGGGUAGAAACCGCUUGCAUUAAGGAAUUUCAUUACUAGAUUUACAUCCUCGCCUGGAAAGAAACAAGCAACAUCAAGGAAAAUACUUUUUUCCUCAUCGUCCAAACUAUCGUAACUUAUUUUUAAUACCUCUAGGAUACUUGGAUGGAGGAUUCUUUGCAAUUUAUCUAUUGCACUUUCCCAGACUUCCUUUUCUCUUUCAUAUAGAAAGCAACCCAACACUUUAAGAGCUAAAGGAACACCUUGAGCAUAUUUCAUUACCUUGCUUGAAAAUUUCUCGUAACCAACGUCAGGACGGUUUUGUUUGAAGGCAUGUCGACUGAAAAGCUCAAGGGCGUGAUGAUAUUCUAAUGCCUCCAUCUCAUAUAUUUUCCUCACCCCCCAAUUUCUAAGCACUUGUUUAUUUCUGGUGGUUAUUAUGAUUCGACUCACAGGCGUCAAACAAUCAAGACUUCCAAUUAUAGAUUCUAAUUGGCUGAAGCAAGUCACAUCAUCAAAAACAAUCAGAACCUUCAUGCGGCUGAGCCUUCUAAAAUUAAGACCAAUAUCAAGACUCACAUUUUUAUCUUUCAAUAAAUUUGAAAGAAGUUUUUGUCGCAAGCAAACUAAUCCUCCCGGUUUUUUUGACUCUUCUCUAACAUUUUCAAGGAAGCAGGAACCUUCAAAAUCGCUAGAGAUUUUGUUAAAAAUAGCUCUAGCGAUUGUUGUUUUGCCUAUACCACCAAUGCCCCAAAUCCCUAAAGCGUAAACAUCUUUCGACUGAACACCUAGUAGAGAUUCAAUUUCCUCAACUCUUGAUUCUACUCCAACCAGCUGGUUUUUGUUAUCAUUCGGCCGAAAAACUUGAUCCAGCAGUCUCUUUAAAAUGUGAUUAAUAGCUUCGUUUAUAAGUUCCGAUUCAGGCCUACCAAAUACAUAAAAUUAGCAGCAGUAACUUCAAAUAGAAGGGAUUUGCAUAAAAUUUGAAAUAAAGGAGAUUGCUAGUUUUCCUAUUGAAAUUAAUAUAUACCACUUAUUUUUUUUUCAUAAGGAUAAUAUUGCAAAGUGAUGGUACCAGGAGAGUUAUUAAAUAUUGUAAAAAUAGUCAGAAUAAGUAGUAUAUAUUGAUUUGAGUAAGAGAAUUUACAAUCUCCCUAUAAAUUAAUAACUCUUUAAUUGCAGGAAUAUGUUACAUGUGGAAGAGAUUUUUUUUUUCCUAAUGGUAUAUGAGUAAGAGAUUGAAAUUGAUUAAAAAACGACAAAACACCAUUAAUUUUGUUAAAAUAUAUUGUAAACUUCUGGAGCUUUUAUUAUUAAUUCUGCAAAAAUUCUUUUAUAGGAGUUCAAAAGUGGGGAAGUUAAAGAAGUCUAGAAUUUGAUGCAUGAAAAAAUUUAAAAGUGUAGUUUAUCAUCUGGAAAAUUUAACUAAGAGUGCUGCGUGAAUUUUAUUUACAGUGUUGAAUAUUAGUACGAGAAAUUAAAGGUAACUUUUCACCUGAUGUUCUGAGAAGGAAAGCCAGACAAACUGGCUGCUUCCUUCAAAGCAUUCCUCCAUGUCUGCAGCUUCUUUGAAUUCUCCUUAAACCUUUCUUCAAGCUUCGAAAAUGAAUUGCCAAAACUCCCAGUUUGGUUUCUCACGUCUGAUGGAUCAACCCGAUAGAAAACCGGAAUCACAAUCUGUGCAUACUCUUUCUUGCACUCGAGGAUCUUUACAAGUUCAUCGAGACACCAUCCAGAAGAUGCAUACCCUUCUGAGAAGACAAUAACUGAAAUGGCUGAUGCUUCAAUUGCAUUCACCAGUGACUCCGAAAUUUCGUCUCCUCUGUUAAGUUGGUCAUCAAUGAAAGUUUGGAUAUUUUGUCGACACAGAGCAGAAUAGAGAUGGCUAGUAAAGUUGUCGCGGGUGUCCUCUCCUCUGAAACUAACAAAAACAUCAUACUUCUUGUUGUUUCGAGAAGAAGAAGCCAUAAUCAACAGAAACAGUUGAAUUGAUGAGAGAGAGAUUUUGAUUCGGAUGAAAACAAUUAUUGAACCAAAUGUGCGUGACUCUGUAGAAUAAAUCGAUGCUAUGAACCUUCCUUCAAGUUCCGUGAUAGUUUUUCAAUUUCAUCUCAUUGUCCACACGAACACCAUACUUUUCAACACACGUGCUUCUGUGCUUUAAUGCUCAUAACUGCCAGCAAUAAGUAGGGUGAUAUUUUAAUUUUUAUCUCUGAAUUUAUCUUAUCCGUCCUCAUCUCUCAAUUAAUUGUAUUUAGUUUCAAAAUUAUUCUUUUUUUUUUUGUUUUAAUAGCUCUUUUUCAUUAUCCUUAGGGUUGAUUGUUAAACAUAUGAAGUCUAACAUUUAAAAAAAUAUUAAUUUUUUUUAAUAACUUAUAUAUAAUUUUUAGACAUUUACAUUUAAAUUAAAUAAGUAAAUUUUUGCGACCUUUUCUGAAAUGAGAAAAUGUUGGAAUGAAAAAUAAAUAAUAUAUACUAAAAAUAUUUCUAUUCAGUAAAUUUAUUUCCUAAACUACGAAGCCUAAUCCCUUUUACUCAUUUUGAACUUUGGAGAACAAAUUAAAAAAUCUAUUUUAAUUUACUUUUUGUGACUUAAAUUUUUUUAUUAUAUUUGAUCAUAAAGAUUGAUUUGACAUAAGUCUAAAUUGAUUAUUUUAUCCUUAUAAGGUAAAACUAAUUCUUUAACUUCAAUAUUUUCUAAUUUUAUAUCAAAUUCAUUAUUUUUAAUACUACUUUAUUAGUAUGAUUGUAAAACAUUAAUUAAAAAAACAUAAUGUCUUUAUGGCACAAUACUCAUGUAAAUUAUUAGCUUGUCAAAUUUACAUCAUUUACACGUAAGAUAGUGAAAAUAAUAGUUAAAUUUCAUUUAAAAAUAUUAGUUCACAUAAUUAAAUACCUAAAUUAUUAGAUACAAUAACCCGUGUUUAUUGUACAAUUUGGCCAUUUUAUAUCAUAAUACUAAAAUAGUAAAGUAAAAUUUAUAUCAAGUUAUGAUCAAAUAUACUCAAAGAAAUCUAAUAAAAAAAAUAAUAGAAGGAUUUAAUUGAUUAACUAUACAAAAUUUUUAUUAAUUUGUAUUUUUUUAAAAAUAUUAUGAAUUCAUUAUAAUUAUGGUAUACAACAUGUGAAUUUAUCAAAGCCUAAGUCAACCCAAACUAAAAUCAAAUUAAAAUGAUUUUAGUUGGGUUGCGUUGGACUGUUGCCCAAACUUUGGGUUGGUUUAGUUUGAAACUUGCGCUUGGAUCUUCGGUUGAAUUUGGGGCUUACAAUAAAUCGACCCCACAUUUUUUCUUCCCGCAUUCCGUAGAAUAAUAUUAUAUGUAAUAAAAUAACACAAAAUUUAUUACACAAGGCACAAAUGACAAAAAAUAAUUUUCAUCUUGUAGUGAACUUUUACUUUUCUUAUUGAUAAUGUACUAUUUUUUUAAUUCUAUUUACUUCUGUGAACAUAUAAUUGUAGGCAUCCACAAAUGUUAAGGAUAAGCAAUUAUUUCAUAUAAGUUAUUUCACAACUCCUGUACUUAUAUCAUCAAUUGCUUGACCUUUAGUUAUUUUCCUUGCUAACUUGAGUGAGACUCACCGAUGCAGCUAAUAUUGGAUUUCUUGGAUGAAGCUGCUCAGAAGCCAAUAGUGACAUGAAAAUACCAGGUAUAUUAAUUUAACUUCUACCUUGUGUUUUUGCUGCCUCAGGUAUAUUAAUUUAACUUCCUCUUGGGCAUCAGAUAUUUGUCAUCAUGCUUGCAAAGAAACACUUGCACCUGAUUAGCCUUUUCGGUUAAUAUGGUUUGCGAAAACCUGCUAUAUUUUCUACCAUAAAAAUCCAGUCAAACACUUGUUCGAGUGCUUGUUUUGUUGAAUUGUGCUGGUGGCAGCAUGAACAACAAGGCAAUUGUCGAUGAUUGGAUAAUCAAGCCACGGUUGCCAUUGCUUUGGUUCAUUGAUUUCUUGUUGAAGCAAAGGCCAAUUGCAGAUGCAAUCUUUGAAGAUGUGAAAAGAAGGUAUUUUCUCCUCUCUAUUCAGUCCAUUUUUUGUUAUCCUAAACCACUAGAAUCAAAAAUUAAAAAAUUCUAUGAUGUGUAUAUAUUGGUGCCGUAGGGAAACACUGAGGAACAUUUUACUGUCCAUCUAUGCAAAUAAG
rnacentral:lncRNA from 1 species